AAGUGUUCUUGAGUUUUAGAGGUGCAGACACCCGCAAGAACUUUACCGAUCACCUCUACAAGGCCCUAAUUCAAGCAGGGAUUCACGCAUUUAGAGAUGAUGAUGAAAUUCGGAGAGGAGAGAAUAUAGAUUUCGAGCUCCAGAAGGCAAUACAACAAUCAAAAAUAUCGAUAAUCGUGUUCUCCAAAGACUAUGCUUCCUCGAGAUGGUGCCUCGAUGAACUUGUAAUGAUCAUGGAACGGAAGAGGAAUGAUGACUGCAUAGUUUUGCCAGUAUUCUAUGAUGUGGAUCCAUCCCAAUUCGGACGUCAAACAGGGAGUUUCGCUGCAGCAUUUAUGGAACAUGAAAAGAGCUUCAACGAGGAGAUGGAGCGGGUGAGUGGGUGGAGGAUUGCUUUGAAAGAAGUUGCAGAUUUAGCUGGAAUGGUUUUAGGAGAUGGGUAAGUUGUAUCUCUUGAUGAAACUACACGUAGCAUAAGACUAGAAUGCUAGUCGUGAACUCUUAAUUUCUUUCAGUUAAGUGUACUGAGAAGAAAAAUAAAAUAAAAUACUUAAGAUUUCUUCGUAGUUUUUUUUUCAAUCACGAUUUGGUUUUAACUAUCAAAUCAUUGACACACAACCUGCUUUAAUUUCUUAGCUAAAUGUUGUUUAUUUCUAUUACUUAUAGAGAGACUACUAAUAAUCGCACAUUUUAUUUUACUUUUGGAUAUAGGUACGAGGCACAGUUUGUCCAAUCUAUUGAGGAGAAGGUCUCAAAGAAAUUGGAUCAAAAAAUGUUUCAUUUACCCCUUCAUUUCAUUGGAAGAGAUCCUCUAGUGAAUUAUAUCAACUCAUGGUUGCAAGAUGGGUCCCAUGAUGCUGGCAUUGCUAUGCUCUAUGGAAUUGGUGGAGUUGGGAAGACAACCAUAGCAAAGAGUGUUUUUAAUCAGAAUAUUCAUAAAUUUGAAGGAAAGAGCUUCCUAUCAAAUUUUAGAUCAAAGGAUAUAGUUUGCCUACAGAGACAACUUCUUUCCGACAUCCUAAAAAAGACUGUUGAUGAGAUAAAUGAUGAAGAUGAAGGAAUUUUGAAGAUUAAGGAUGCAUUAUGUUGCAGGAGAACUCUUAUUGUUCUAGAUGAUGUGGACAAAAGAGAGCAUUUCAAUAAAAUCAUUGGCAUGCAAAACUGGCUUUGUAAGGGAAGUAAAAUCAUUGUAACAACCAGAAAUAAGGGUUUGUUUUCAGCUAAUGAUAUUGAGUGGGUCCGGUGCAAAGUUGAACCGCUAGAUAUUGAAAAAUCACUUGAGCUUUUCUGUUGGAAUGCCUUUGGACAAGCUGACCGUGUUGAUGGUUUCAUCGAAGACUCUUUGAGAAUAGUACGUCAUUGUAAAGGACUUCCAUUAGCCUUCGAGUUAUUGGCUCUUCCUUAUCCGGAAAAGGAAGAGAAAUAUGGGAAAGCGCAUUACAACAAAUGGAAGUGAUUCCUAAUUGUGAAGUUCAAAAGGUUCUUCGAAUAAGUUACGACUCUCUUGAUGAUGAUUACCAGAAGGGUUUAUUCCUUGAUAUUGCUUGUUUCUUCAAUGGAAUGGAUGUGGAUGAUGCAGUUAGGAUACUGGAUGGGCUUGAUAAAGGUGCAAGAUUUGGGAUUGACAAUCUCAUCGAUAGAUGUCUUGUUGAAAUCAACAUUCAUCAAAGGUUGUGGAUGCAUCAACUAGUAAGAGAUAUGGGAAGGGAAAUCGCUCGUCAAGAAUCACCCAAAUGUCAAAGAAUAUGGCGCCACGAGGAUGCUUUUACAGUUUUGAAAGGAACUACUGUAAGUAGCUCACUUUUUUAUAUGUCUACUUAAAUGGUUUGUAGUGCCUUAACAUAUUCUUUCAUUUACUUUCCGUUCUCAUGUACUUUUAAUAUUAUUAUGCAGGAUGCUGAAAAAUUGCGUGGCCUUACCAUUGAUAUGCAUGCAUUAAUGGAAGAUAAUUAUGCAGAAGUUAUAUGUACUGAUUCAGUGGUUCACUGCAAGCGCCGCAGGCUUAACUUCUUUCAGCAAUGGUUUUCUGACUUUUCCGAUGGGGAAAAAUUACAAACUAGCCAAACAAGUUUGUUUUCCAUCCUCAGCACGGAUGCUUUUAGAAAGAUGCCAGAUGUUAAAUUUCUCCAGCUAAACUACACUAAUUUUCGUGGAAGUUUUGAGCACUUCCCUAAGAAUUUGAUAUGGUUAUGUUGGCAUGGAUUGUCUUUGAAAUCCAUACCAAAUCACGUAUGCUUGGAGAAGCUGGUGGUUCUUGAUCUAUCUAGAAGUUGUCUAGUUGAUGCUUGGAAAGGCAAACCGGUAUGUAUCGAGUCUCUCUCUCUAUAGCAAUAUCUCUCAUUUUCAAUUCAUAACAACUAAAUUCAUGUAUUUUCGCAGUUUCUUCCAAAAUUGAAAAUUCUUGAUCUCCAUCACUCUCUUGAUCUCAUUAGAACCCCAGAUUUCUUGGGUCUCCCAGCCCUUGAAAAGCUAAUACUUGAAGACUGCAUCCGUUUGGUUCAAAUUCACGAAUCUAUUGGUGAUUUACAAAAAUUGUUGAUCUUAAAUCUAAGAAAUUGUACAAGUCUUAUGGAGCUUCCAGAAGAAAUGAGUAGAUUGAUAUCACUUCAAGAGCUCGUUUUAGAUGGUUGCUCAAAUCUUGAAAGCCUGAAUAUGGAGUUAGUGCAUCAUCAGUGGCGCAGCUUACUUCAAACCGAUGGAGUUGUUGCAAGUACAUCAUAUAUUACAUCUCUUCCAUUGAAGCUAUUCUUUCCCUCUAGGUUUUCAGCAAGGAAAAUAUUGAGAUUUACCUCGUUUUCACUGCCACGCUCCUUAAGGAGACUAGAUUUAAGUGGAACAACAAUGCGUUCUCUUCCAGAAAGCAUCAAGUAUCUUGGUCUACUCAGAGGCCUAUAUUUAAGAAAUUGCAAAAUGCUUGAGGCAGUCCCAGAGCUUCCAUCCCAUUUGUGGUCGUUAGAUGUGUCCUUUUGCUAUUCACUGCAAAGAGUUUCAAAUCUAAACCCUUGGAAUAAAGCAGAUGGUUGUGAUCAAUUAGUCGAGUUCCAAGAUGUGAUGAAGCAAGAAUUAAUCCAAAAGUUCGACUCACACAUGUUCAGAAUAAUAGAAAUAGUUAGUGCUCAAAUACAGCCAUCGAGAUUUCAGGUCCUCCCUCGCCCAUGUUAUUUUCUUUGAAAUCUACAUUUGAAUAUUUUUCUUUUGCUCAUUUUAUAGACAUUGUUUUGGUGGUACAGAUAACAUUUAUAGAUGGCAUAUUCAACGUUGUUGAUGAAGAUGAGAUGUUAAGGGGGUUUCAUGAGGAUAAAUGGCUAAUUCAGAAUGAGUUUGUAGAUAACUUUUCAUUCAAAAUAUCCUCACCUCCUCCUGCGCACCGGAUAUGUGGCUUUAAUCUAUUCGCAAGGUUUUGUAUGACGUCAGAGUACAGUCACAAUGAUCCUUUUUAUAUUGAAAUCAGAAACAAUACCAGUGGUCGAUCCUUGCUUUGUAAAGGAUACAAGCGUGGGUAUGACGUGAAAUUCCAAUCGCUAAAGCUGUUCGGUGGUCCAAUCGGUAACGCUGUACUCCAAUCGCUAAUGCACACGAAAUUAGGGGUCGAUGAUCCUACAUUUGAUAAUGGUGAUGACGUGAGUAUUUCAGUGCUUCAGGAUGAUGCAGCUAUUCAAAUAAAGACGAUUGGUGUACAAUGGUUGCAUGAAGAGGAAGGAAAGGAUGAUAAUUUUAUCCAAUCAAAGGAUGAAGUUAUCAAUGCCCACAACAGUAGCGAUGAUGAUGAUGGUGAUGCAGCACACGUAGCCAAAGUAGAAAUAGCUUCUCAUCUAUUUAGAAAAUAUUAUUGUGCUUUCCGUACUGAAUUUUAUGAUGGCGAUUGUUGUAACCUAUUUUUGGGUCCCCAAAUAAAUGACAUAAAAUAAAUUUUGAGGAGAAAAGCCCAAAUUUGGAUGUUUAUGGACUUGAUUGGAUUUUUAUUUGAAUUUAUAGGAGUUUUGAUUGCAAGAAAAAUUGAUUUUUAAGUCAAUUUGGGCUUUAAUUGGAAGAAAUUUAAGUUCUGGGGCCAAAUUAUAAUUUUAGGAAUUUAUUAAGUCAAAUCAGGGGCUUAAUUGCAUAAAUAUUGAAGUUUAAUGGCCAAUUAGGGACUUAAUUGAGAAAAUCCGAAACUAGGGACCAAUUUGGAAAAGGUGCCUUAAAUUACUGUUCACUUUCUUCCUCAAAAAGCUGCCUGAGUGGCUGCUUUCCAGGCGCGUUUUCCGGCUCGUGUGGCCUCCAAAUCCGACACAACAUACACCAACAUGUCCACAUGAAAACCCCUUUAUCCCGAAGAAUGAUCAGGUCGGGUCGAAAAUGUCAUAAACGGCUCCGGUGAGUGGCUCAAAGUGGCCACCUCGGGCAGUUCACAGCCUGGAGCUGCCAAAUUUGGCAGCUCGAGGUGCACACUUUGAGCCAACGGUUGAGAUGCUUCCCAACUGAAUCAAGGGCUGAAAUUUUUCCCCAACGUAGACAAGAUUGCCCUCUUCCACAGCCUAUAAAUAGAGUCGGAUUUGAUGAUCUGAGGGUUGAAAAUUCAGGUCCAAAGUCAGCCAAAAACCAGCAUUUUCGCCCAAUUUCUGCAGAUUUUUCUUCUUCUUCUUUCUUCCUCUGCAACAGGAAACCGACGCCGUCUUCCUCCAACUCCACCGCUGCAACCACCGGCUGAACCACCUCAUCGCAGCAGCCACAACCUCUUCGGCCAAGUGAGCCCCUCUUCCUUUCCUCCUCCUUCCUUUUCCUUUCCUCCUUUUCUUCUUCCUCCCUGUCUACUGUUCACUGCAUGAACAGUAGGCGUGAAAUAUAAUUCACGUCCUACUGUUCACGCAGGACGUGAAUUAUAUAUAUAUAUGUGUGUGUGUAUUAUUAUAUUAAUAUUAUAUAAUUAAUUAUAUAUGUAUAUAUAUAUGUAUAUUUUUUCUUUAAAAAAUAUAUUUUGAAAAAUCUUAAAAAAUAUUGUUGAUUUUUCUGCAUGUUUUUGUCAAAGUGGUUUAAUGUUGGUUUGUAUUUUUAUACCGUAAAGAUACAAAACCAGUGUUAAAAAUACCCGGUUUUCGUCAAAAUAUCAAAGAUUUUCAGAAUAAAAAAUGUUUUUGCUUUCAAAAAAAUUCUAAAAAGUCCCUAAAAAUGUUGUUGAUUUUUCUGCAUAUUUUUAUCAAAGUGGAUUAAUAUUGGGUUGUAUUUUUAUACCGUAAGAAUACAAACCCAGUAUUAAAAUACCCGAUUUUUGUUAAAGCAUCAAAAAAUAAAUAUUUUCCAAAAAAGGGUUUUGUUUUCAUGCAUACGGCCUAGUCUCUCCAAUAUAUAUAUAUAAAUAUUAUAACAUCAUAUUUUCACACAACAAAGAAAAUUUUCAAAACAAUAUAUGUAUUAGCAUGCAUUUUGGCUUUAAUAACCAGUUUAUUUAAGCCAUGAGAACUAGGCCAAUAUUUCAAAAAUUCAAAAAAAUCUUUUUUUGUUUUCUUUUAGUAUUUGGGAUUACGAAUUUAUACGUAAAACGUAUUCCUAAAUAUUAUUAAUGAAAUUUUGGUAUGGACGUUAGAACGGUUAGGAUUUUACCCGAUAAGAUAAAGUCUUUCUUACCGAGGAGGAUUUUUCUUGAACCAUAGACAGACCAACAACUAGGAAAACACGAAAAUACCUUAGUUUUAUCAGACAAUAAAACAAUGCAGCUUACCUUAGGUAGGGCGUAUUUGGGGUGCUAAUACCUUCCCUUUACGCAACCAGUCCCCGUACCCGAUCUCUGAGACCAGUUAGGGUUCCUAGUGACCAAAAUACUAGGUGGCGACUCCCAUUCCAUUUUCUACCAAUAAAAGACAAUAUUUUUUUUAUCCCCAUAGAUAUAGAUAGAUUUACAUUAUAGAUUAAGAAAAUGGAAAAACUAUGUUUUUUCGCCGCGACGCCGCACACGUGCGACAGAAUGGCGACUCCACUGGGGACCUUGUAGACUAAGCUUUGUUUUUGUCUGAUUUGUUUGUGUUUUUAUGUGUUUAUUGUUAAUAUGCCUUUCCGUUUAUUUGCAUAUUUUUUUUAUUUUACGCAUAUUAUUCAUGCAUUGUAUAAAAUUGUCUCAUGCAUCACUUGCUUUUAUUUUUGAGAAGCACACACAAGCUUAAGUUAAGUGGGGAAUUAGCGAUUUACCCUAAGACUAUCGGUCAGGGUUUAAAUGCGUGAAACACCCAACUCAUAUCCGAGUGCCUGCUUGGUAAUGGCGAACAUACGUGUCUUAGCUAUUCCUUGCAACGCCCCCAUACUGUCUUUACGAAGAACGUCACUGGGCAGAUAUGAGAACCUUCCAGACUAGAUAGAAAAACUAUCCACUCUCACUUAUUAAAUAGAGCUUGUCCUUAGGUUAUGUAUCUUUUUUGCAAUAUUAUACUCAUUGUGCAUCACUUAUGCAUCACAUUUUCGUCACACAUUUUAUUUUUAAAUUAUCAUAUGCAUUUCAGAUCGUGAAACAUAGGUCCCACACCCAGAGUCCAUCAAACCCGUUUAAGAUCAAGAAUGGAGAAUGAAGAGAGGGCCAUCCUAGAAUCCCGCUACCAAAGUGAAUUGGAAGCCGUAAGGAAUGAAGUGUCUCGAAUGACCAAUCUACUUGAGCAACUUUUAAGAGCCAAGAACGGGGAGGGAACGUCUACCCAACCACCUAUAGGAGCACCGUCAGUUCAUGUCCCGGGGGUAUCUCAGAACUUGGGGGCAGAUUCAGUGACGGGGCAGCACUUUGCGCCUACCAUUCCCAUUCAGCCCCCUCAAGCUCACAUCACAGCAGAUGGGCCUUCCGAUAAUAGGUCCACUGGAUUUAUGAACGAUGACAAGAUAUCAGCCUUGGAAGAAAGGUUAAGAGCAGUCGAGGGAAAUGACUGGUUUGACCCCAUGCGAGCGUCUGAAAUAUGCUUGGUACCAAACAUCACGGUACCAAAAGAUUUUAGGAUACCGGAGUUUAUAAAGUACACUGGGUUGGAAUGCCCAAACACUCACCUUCGAUCUUAUUGCAAUAAGAUGGCUGAGGUGAUUCAUGACGAUAAGUUACUGAUCUACUUUUUCCAAGACAGUCUAUCGGGGUCGGCGUUAAGUUGGUACAUGAGGCUGGAUAAUGCCAGGAUUAAGAAAUGGAAGGAUUUAGUUGAGGCUUUCCUUAAGCAAUACAAGUUUAAUUUGGAAAUUGCUCCAGAUCGAACAAGCCUUAUGUCAAUGGAAAAGAGAAGCCAAGAAUCAGUAAGGGCUUAUGCGCAAAGAUGGAGGGACGAGGCCAUGCAUGUGCAACCCCCUUUGAUAGAAACGGAGAUGGUGACUUUGUUCGCCAAUACAUUCAAGGCACCCUACUAUGAGCAUUUAAUGGGUAGCUCAUCUCAACAUUUCUAUGAUGUGUACGCAUAGCGGAAAGAAUAGAGCAAGGGAUUAAAGCUGGACGCAUAAUUGAGCCAUUGGAGACAAAGGGUUUUUUCGGAAGAAAAAUGAAAGGUCCCGUUAACAACUUCGAAAGUGGGUCCAAUGACAAGAUAGCAGAUUCAUAUAACCCACAAAUACCUACCUCUCAUGUGGCCCACAUAAACUUUAACAAAUCUUUUUCCCCUAAUCGAGCAAAUAACCAGUCAAACACCCAAAACAACCACCAAAGACCAAACACAAGAUACAUUUCAGAACAACUACCGCCAUUACCCAUGCCUUUGAAGGACAUGUAUGCCAAACUACUGAGCAUUGGACAAAUAGCUCCUAUCCCUACAUUACCACUACAGCCACCAUUCCCCAUCUGGUAUAAGCCCGAGUUGACUUGCGAGUACCAUGCUGGUAUUCCCGGACAUUAUCUUGAAACGUGCUACGGUUUCAAGAACAAGUUGUUGAAGCUCAUCAAGAUAGGAUGGGUGUCAUUUGAAGACACACCCAAUAUCAAUUCAAAUCCAUUGCCUGGUCAUGACAAAAGUAAUAGGGGAUAAAGGUUGGAAAACUUUGGUCAAGAAUCGUCAAUAAUGAAGAAGGCGAGAUCGAAGGAGAAGACAAGGAAACGCAAGUGGGGAAGGAAGAUGAAGCAUUGCCUCGGUUGACUUUCCACACACUAGAAGAACUUUCAGAACGGGUUGACCCAAGAACUUCUCGUAGUUUUCAAAAUGUCAAACAACUUUAUUUGCCUUAGCAUGUUUUUGUCAUUUGCUUUUGUCAUUGCUUUUAUUUUCUCUAAUAAUAGGCAAUCAGGGCUCAUGAUGUCAGCCAUAUUUUGUGUUUGUCUUUGAGCCUACCUUAUCUUUAAAUAAAUGAUGAGAUUAUGCACUUUUUGAACAAGUUUGAGUGGUUACAAAUAAAGUAUCAUAAAAUGGUUUAAUAUGAAAUUUAAGAAAAGCUACAUUUGAAAUACAACCUCACCUCUGGAUAACAUAAUGAAUUGAUACAUCACUUGUAAAUUUUCUUUCAAGAUAAAAAUAGAGUUUAUCAAUCCUAACAAUGUGCAUUUUUUUUUUAAAAAAAAAAUAUUGUCCUUUCACUCUCUAAAGAGUUUUUUGUUGGUGGUUUUGUUUUGAGUCGAAAUGAGUUUCUUCUCUAUAUAAAAGCCCAGACUAGGAUCGCACCCCUACACUGGGGGCAAGACGAGAUGUUUUAUGAAAAGUUUUACGAAAGCCUAUAGAUUUGAAAACCAAGCUAAAGCAUUUGACAAAAGCAUGACAAAGAGGCAAAUACAAGUCAUACAUUUUGAGAAAAGGACUACUUGAAGAAAGUCAAAGACUUCUUCUCCAAGAAUAUGAUAGGCAACACAAGAGAUAAAUCCAGCAUACGACUUCAAAAGCAAGUUCAUGUUAAGAGGGAGUCUCAUGAACUAGAAGAAGAGGCUGGGACCUAUGUUUCAAAACCAGGUAUAAAUGCAUGCAUUGCAUCUAAUCAUAAAUCAUUGCAUAUAUGUUUUUUUGGAUCGUUACAGGAGGAGAUCUUAGCGUAUUCCAACAAGAUUAUGGACGAAGAAAGAAUCAUUAAGUUGAUUCUAGAACAACAAGAAGAGAAGAUAAUGGUUUUCAAACCCUGCUAGCAGGAAUAACGACAUCGAUAGCAUUCGGUAUAAAAGGAAUCACCAGAUGGGAUUCCAAGUUGUUUGAGAUCGCUAGAAGGGACCUCAAAUUUCAGCUUUGGUAUAAAAGGAAUCGCCAGAUGGGAUUCCAAGUUGUUUGGCUAAAGGAGAUCGCCAGAAGGGAUCUCAUAUUUCGAUGAAGGUCGCCAGAAGGGACCUAAUAUUUCAGCUUUGAAUAAAAGGAAUCGCCGGAUGGGAUUCCAAGUUAUUUGAGAUCGCCAGAACGGAUCUCGUACUUCGACAUUCAUCAAGGAAGGUCGCCAGAAGGGACCUUAUAUUGAAACCAUUUCUUAGAAAAGCAUGGAGUUUAGUAAGAAUUCUCCCCCCUGGGUAGGUCACCCAUACAAUGAGACCAUCAUUUUUCCUGGGUAGGUCACCCAUACAAUGAGACCAUCAUUUUUCCUGGGUAGGUCACCCAUACAAUGAGACCAUCAUUUUUCCUGGGUAGGUCACCCAUACAAUGAGACCAUCAUUUUUCUGGGUAGGUCACCCAUACAAUGAGACCAUCAUUUUUCUUGGGUAGGUCACCCAUACAAUGAGACCAUCAUUUUUCUGGGUAGGUCACCCAUACAAUGAGACCAUUUUUUCUUGGGUAGGUCACCCAUACAAUGAGACCAUCAUUUUUCUGGGUAGGUCACCCAUACAAUGAGACCAUUAUUUUUUCUUGGGUAGGUCACCCAUACAAUGAGACCAUCAUUUUUCUUGGGUAGGUCACCCAUACAAUGAGACCAUCAUUUUUCUGGGUAGGUCACCCAUAAGAAUGAGACCAUUCUUCAUCUUUUUUUACCUGGGUAGGUCACCCAUAACAAUGAGGCCAUUCUUCCCUCUGGGUAGGUCACCCAUAAUAAUGAGACCACUCUUUCCCUUUUCCACUCGGGCAGGUCACCCAUAAUAAUGAGACCACACACGCAUUUUUGUAUUUGGUUAUGGGUAAAGGAAUCGUCAGAUGAGAUUCCAAGUUGAUUGCGAUCGCCAGAAGGGAUCUCACAUUUCGAUAUUGGUCAAAGGAGGUCACCAGAAGGGACUUCAUAUUUUAGCCUUGGUUAAGAAGAAUCGCUAGAGGGGAUUCCAAGUUUUUGGGGUUAAAGGAGAUCGCCAGAAGGGGUCUUGAGAUGACUAAAUUUUGAUCAUAGUUUUGGGUUGAGGAGGACUGCUGUAAAGACAAAGUUUUAGAGCAAUCGAACUCCGGCCAGAUCAGUUUCAGGAGCUCAGUUUUGGUUUAUCUUUAUAAAACUUACUGCGCAAAACCUCUGCUCCGUAAGCUUUAUAAAGAGGGGGCAUCUGUUGUAACCUAUUUUUGGGUCCCCACAUAAAUGACAUAAAAUAAAUAGCCAAAGGAGGUUAGAAAAAUAACAGGAGGCAGAAGCGCUCAUCAAAUGGUCAGAAAAAUCGGUCAAGGAGAUUAAACAUACAAAGAGGGAUUUUUGACAAUAUAUUCUUGAAUGAUGAGAGCCCUAUUGAGAAGGAAAAUUUGAAUUUUGAGGAGAAAAGCCCAAAUUUGGAUGUUUAUGGACUUGAUUGGAUUUUUAUUUGAAUUUAUAGGAGUUUUGAUUGCAAGAAAAAUUGAUUUUUAAGUCAAUUUGGGCUUUAAUUGGAAGAAAUUUAAGUUCUGGGGCCAAAUUAAAAUUUUUAGGAAUUUAUUAAGUCAAAUCAGGGGCUUAAUUGCAUAAAUAUUGAAGUUUAAUGGCCAAUUAGGGACUUAAUUGAGAAAAUCCGAAACUAGGGACCAAUUUGGAAAAGGUGCCUUAAAUUACUGUUCACUUUCUUCCUCAAAAAGCUGCCUGAGUGGCUGCUUUCCAGGCGCGUUUUCCGGCUCGUGUGGCCUCCAAAUCCGACACAACAUACACCAACAUGUCCACAUGAAACCCCUUUAUCCCGAAGAAUGAUCAGGUCGGGUCGAAAAUGUCAUAAACGGCUCCGGUGAGUGGCUCAAAGUGGCCACCUCGGGCAGUUCACAGCCUGGAGCUGCCAAAUUUGGCAGCUCGAGGUGCACACUUUGAGCCAACGGUUGAGAUGCUUCCCAACUGAAUCAAGGGCUGAAAUUUUUCCCCAACGUAGACAAGAUUGCCCUCUUUCACAGCCUAUAAAUAGAGUCGGAUUUGAUGACCUGAGGGUUGAAAAUUCAGGUCCAAAGUCAGCCAAAAACCAGCAUUUUCGCCCAAUUUCUGCAGAUUUUUCUUCUUCUUCUUUCUUCCUCUGCAACAGGAAACCGACGCCGUCUUCCUCCAACUCCACCGCUGCAACCACCGGCUGAACCACCUCAUCGCAGCAGGCACAACCUCUUCGGCCAAGUGAGCCCCUCUUCCUUUCCUCCUCCUUCCUUUUCCUUUCCUCCUUUUUCUUCUUCCUCCCUGUCUACUGUUCACUGCAUGAACAGUAGGCGUGAAAUAUAAUUCACGUCCUACUGUUCACGCAGGACGUGAAUUAUAUAUAUAUGUGUGUGUGUAUUAUUAUAUUAUAUAUUAUAAUAUAUUAUAUUAUAUAUGUAUAUAUAUAUGUAUAUUUUUUCUUUAAAAAAUAUAUUUUGAAAAAUCUUAAAAAAUAUUGUUGAUUUUUCUGCAUGUUUUUGUCAAAGUGGUUUAAUGUUGGUUUGUAUUUUUAUACCGUAAAGAUACAAAACCAGUGUUAAAAAUACCCGGUUUUCGUCAAAAUAUCAAAGAUUUUCAGAAUAAAAAAUGUUUUUGCUUUCAAAAAAAUUCUAAAAAGUCCCCAAAAAUGUUGUUGAUUUUUCUGCAUAUUUUUAUCAAAGUGCAUUAAUAUUGGGUUGUAUUUUUAUACCGUAAGAAUACAAACCCAGUAUUAAAAUACCCGAUUUUUGUUAAAGCAUCAAAAAAUAAAUAUUUUCCAAAAAAGGGUUUUGUUUUCAUGCAUACGGCCUAGUCUCUCCAAUAUAUAUAUAUAAAUAUUAUAACAUCAUAUUUUCACACAACAAAGAAAAUUUUCAAAACAAUAUAUGUAUUAGCAUGCAUUUUGACUUUAAUAACCAGUUUAUUUAAAUCAUGAGAACUAGGCCAAUAUUUCAAAAAUUCUAAAAAAUCUUUUUUGUCUUCUUUUAGUAUUUGGGAUUACGAAUUUAUACGUAAAACGUAUUCCUAAAUAUUAUUAAUGAAAUUUUGGUAUGGACGUUAGAACGGUUAGGAUUUUACCCGAUAAGAUAAAGUCUUUCUUACCGAGGAGGAUUUUUCUUGAACCAUAGACAGACCAACAACUAGGAAAACACGAAAAUACCUUAGUUUUUAUCAGACAAUAAAACAAUGCAGCUUACCUUAGGUAGGGCGUAUUUGGGGUGCUAAUACCUUCCCUUUACGCAACCAGUCCCCGUACCCGAUCUCUGAGACCAGUUAGGGUUCCUAGUGACCAAAAUACUAGGUGGCGACUCCCAUUCCAUUUUCUACCAAUAAAAGACAAUAUUUUUUUUUUGUAUCCCCAUAGAUAUAGAUAGAUUUAUAGUAUAGAUUAAGAAAAUGGAAAACUAUGUUAUUUUCGCCGCGACGCCGCACACGUGCGACAGCGAUUUCUCUUGGUGUUUUUUGGCAAAGAAAGGUCUUCAACCUGUAUUAAUAUAGGAUUCAUUCAGUAGAGUUUGUGUUUUUAGAUUUCAAACAUAAAUAAUAAAAAAAAAACUUAUGAGAGAUUUUUUUUUUUUCUAAAAAACCUUAUCAUGAAAAGAGUUUUGUAUCUCUAGUAAUCUUCCAUCUUUCUUUCUUUUUUUUACCUUUUAUUUAUAAAUAUUUGUAAAGGCUUUUAAAUUUUUUUUCAAAAUCACAUAAUAUCAUCUGAUUAUCAAAAUUAAAAAUUUAAAGAUCAAUUUUGAUUGAAAAUUAUCAAAUAAAAAGAUAGACAGGUAGAAAUAAAAUUCAAUAAUCAAAAAGUGAAAAUCCUGAAAUUUUCACUGAGACUCUUUCUUUUCAUAAAAAAUAGGUACUUUGAGAUCUUGGUUCGAAAGUCUCAAUAUCCUGAAUUAAAAGGUGCAAUUUAUUCAUGAUUUCGAUUAACGAUCGAUGAGAUAUGACUUGAUUUAUUGGAUACCGCCUGUAAAGAAGAACCGUGAGAGUUGAUGGGGGCUAGGUUUAGCAGAUGGCCCCAACUGAGGGAUUAUGUCUCAUGUCCCUUUUGGUAAUUAUAACAAGAAUUACUGGCCCUAGUAAACGCGUGAUAAAUGAUUCGAGCAAAUAAUAAAAAAAAGUCCUAACAUGGAAAUGGCUCCACGGUUAUGUCUAUUUUUAUAUUUCAAAAAUAUUUUUAAGAAAUUUAAUAGUUAUUAUUUUUUUUAUUUUAAAUUUUUUUAGUAUGCUGAUAUAAAAAAAUAAUUUUUUAAAAAUAAAAAUAAUAUUAUUUUAAUAAUUUCUUUAAAAACAGAAAGUUGGUGAGCUGAUUAGAGAACAUCAGCGAAGGGAAAGUGAAGAUUGCAGGUACUCUCGCUCUCUCUCUUAUCUCUUUUAGUAUCAUGUUAUAUUGUGCAAUGUAACUCUGCUGUAACUGAGAAUCACUUAAAUUAAUUCACUGUUAGAAACUAAUUAUUGAUGAUCUCAUCAACCGGUUUUGUUGGUUCAGCAUAGAGAUUUAUCAUAUGUACACAUAUUUUUCUGAAAGGGCAUGGAGGAUUUGAUUGCUGGGAAAUAACUUGAAAACUGUUUUAAAGAUAAAGUAAGAUAAAAAUAUAUGAAUACUUCAGCUUAUUGGUGUGCUGUCGAUCUUGAACUCCUUUUUUUUUCUUAAGAUAAAGGAUCCUGGUCUACUCAGAGCCCUGCCUUUAAGAAAUUGCAAAUGCUUCAGGCACUCCCAGAGCUUCCAUCCCAUUUGGGUUCGUUGGAUGUGUCCUUUUGUUUUUGACUGCAAAGAGUUCCAAAACUAAUCUGGUGGACUAAAGCAGAUGGUUGUGAUCACUUAGUCGAGUUCCAAGAUUAGAUAAAGCAAGAAUUAAUCCAAAAGUUUGACUCACCCAUGUUAAAAAUAAUGGAGAUGGUUAGUGCUUAAAUACUGCCAUCGAGAUUUCAGAGUUUUAUUGUUUUUGAAAUCUAAAUUUGAAUAUUUUUCUUUUGCUCAUUUUAUAGACUUUGUUUUGGUGGUAUAGCCAGCUUUCUAUAACCGCACAUUCAGAGUUGUCGUAUAUUUGUUUUUGGAUAGUAAACGAGAGAAUUAUAUAUUAAGCAGUCCAUCAAGUAGGUGGUGAUGCAACCAUAUUAUUCGAUAGUUUCACCCACAUUUAACUAGUGUUUUGCCUAUGUUUUAUAUAUAAAAUAUCUUGAUAUUCUUUAUUUUAUGUUUUGAAGGCACUUUUGGAUGAAAGAUGCAAAAAGGAGUAAAUUGGAGGUAAUUGGCAGAUUUGACCUUCAUUCGAUGUUUUGUGCAGAGCGUGAGCUCUAAAGGUCAAAAUGAAGUGAUUUCAGUGGCAUUAAAAAGCUAACAUCCAUACCUUUCUGGAUAUCGAAGGAAAGAAAAUAAAAUAAGGAAGAGCAUGGAAAUCGCAGCCUUCAAAGUCAAAUCUCGCAAUCUGCUAGUGUUGACCUUCGUCCAUUCCAACUUGAAUAUCUAGAGCUACAGAAGUCCAAAUGAUGCAAACUCAAUUUGGUUGGAUGCCUGACUCAAAGAGAUAUAAACGCUCCAAAUUGAAGCAAAAAACGAUAUCAUAUGAGGGAGAUAUGAUUUUUCAAAUAUGACAACUGAAUUCUACUAGCAAACAGGUUUCGUGAAGAAACGAGUCCAAAUUACAUUCCGAAGCAUCUAAACCGAUAUCCAAGUUUUUAUUCCAGCAAUUUAGCUCCUCUAAGUCAAAGCUUGAAGAUUUCAUGCAAGGCUAUUUCUUCUUUUUUAGGAAAAUAGUUAUUGAAGUACUUAAAUGUAAACAAUCUACUUAAGGGAGGACUAUUUUGUAAAAUAGAGACUAGGGUUUCCUAUGAUAUAAAAAGAAUGAGAGGAGAAGGGGGGUAGCCAGCCAACAAGAGAAAAACACCCCCUCCUCUAAGAAACCCUAAAUCAUGCAUUCUUCCUUCUUUUUUAUUAGUUGUUCGACAAACAUGCAAGGCUAAACUCGUUUCUUGGUUGCAAGGACAUGGAAACCUUCGGAUUUCAAGAACUGUGAGAUUUAUUUUAUCUUUUCUUUUUAGUUUAUAUUAUGAAUAUGUUUGUUCUCCUAUGCUUAAUUUUCAUAUGAUUAUUUAUUUUAAUUGCUCGAGCGGACUCUAAGUUAUUAUUGUAGACAAUCUAUUGCUAAGUUUGAUAUCAAAACCGGAGUUGUGGUAUAUAAACUUGUGAAGCAACUGAGUUUAAUAAUUGUGGCGGAUCUACGUUAUUAAUCUUAGGGAGAACAUUCAAUCAAAUCAAACAUAGACUGCGGACAGUUAUAUUUUCUUGAUUAAUCAACUUAUCCAGUUCUUAAGGCUGCCAUUGAAUUAAAUUACUAGUGCGGACACUGUGAUUGUUUGAUGAUUAGGGUUAGUUAUACGGCAGAUCCGUUAACUAAACAAUGUUAAGAAGAGAUAAAUAUUCAGAAUAUAAAUUCCUGAGCUCCAUAAUCAGAUUGAGAAUUUAAGGAAAAGACUUCGUGAUGAGAGACAUCACAGAAACGACUUGGAGAGGAGAAACCAAGAGCUCAAUGCGCGUGUUGACUUUUGGAGGGAUUAUGUGAACACACGACACCUCUAGUUCGAGGAACAGAUGGAGCGCAUAAUUAACCAGUUUGAGGAAUUUCGAAUAAUGAUGGAUCAUCAUCGAGAUGAAAAUAUCCCUAAUCGUCCUCGUAGUGUUUAACGUUUGUACUUGUAAACCAUUAUGCCCAUGAAUAAAAAUCCAUCGUUCUCGUCUUCAUUUAUGAAUUUUGCUUUUGUGGAAUUGCCAUAUUUGAUGUGAUUUAAAAGAACUUCAUUUCAUCUGAAUCUUGUUGGAUCCCGUUAGGAAUUUUGUGUUGUGAAAUAUCUGCAAAACAAAUAUGUAAUGCUCGUGGAGUUAGAUGAUAUGCAAUGCAUCUUACCUGUUUUUGAAAUAUAGAUCCCCGUUCAUCUUGUUUAAAGAUCUUGACUUUGAGUGAGCUCUUUUGAUUUACACGUACUUCAAAUCUACUCAAGCCGACCCAUGUUGUUCAUUCUUCGAAGAUACGCUUUGUUUGAGUUUCCCAACAAUCACUGCACUUUUCUCUAUUGGUAACUUCACUGAGAGAAUUAACUUCUCCCUAGCCCGAUAUUGUUCUAUAGGCAACAUUCCCAUUAUUGAAGAUUCUUUAACCAAUUCAUAUGGUCAAUAUAAGAGGAUUAUCCCGCUUCACCUGGGAUUUCAUAUAUUUCUCUUACUGAAGAUGCGUCAGUUAUCUUGUUGUCUAACUGAUCAUAUUGUGAGAGUCAACAAUCUCCUUUCAUGGAUACUGCAAAUCAUACUAUUUCAGCCCUCAUGCUGGAAGAAGUCCACAGUUUUAUCAUGCUGGAAGCAAAUUUCUUUGUGCCAUUAAGGAUCUGGUAACCGCUUCUCUGCCCCCUGGGAGAAUUAACUGCCUCAUUCAUUUCCUCCUUUCUUUUGUUCAUUAGAAUCUCUGAUUUUCUAAUGGUGCCUCUGUAGUGUGCCAUAUAUUCAUUUUUCUUACAAAGAAAACCUUUUUUCAAAAAUGAUUUUUCAAAAGAUCUGUUUUGUUCUCGAAAACUGAAACUCUCAAUGUCUGUUUAUAACAAUGUUCAGACAACUCUAGGGCUUUAGUAAAUCUCUUGGUAAAAGUAAUCUCAGAUGAAGGUAAGUGAUGAGAUGACCUUCUGCUUUGGUUUUCAAAGUGUUCAAGUGAUUGCUUGAGGUAUUUUCAGAGAAAAGAAACAAUUUGCCUUUAUCUUUAGAAACACUCUUUUUAACAGCAUGAAUAAUAACGAGUAAUUAUUUGCUAUGCCAUGACUCUUUAUGGAAAAGUCUCUUAUAUUUUGAGAACGCCGUUUAUUGAUCCAGGUUGCUUACUUGAUUAGAAAGGACUUCAAAGGCACGUAAUGUAUUUCAUGGCUCAAGGCUAUAAAAGAAAGAGUAUUCCAUAAGCUCAAAAAAGUGUUUAAGGGCUUAUAAACUAUAGAUCACUAUUAUCUUGUCUUGGCAUUUUCUUUUGCUAUCUUGACAACAAAAAUGAUGAUAAAUAUUCCAAAUGAGGAACUUCUUUUUUUUUUUUUUUAUUCCCAUCUUUGUUAGGAAUUCAAUUGUUUGGAAUUUUAUUGAAUUUCUGUUGUCAAACUUUCUUUAAGCUCACAUGCCUUUAAGAAAUUUCUUAAUCAUAUUUCUCUGUUUGCCCCCUAGUGUAGGGUGUGAUCUUAGUUAAGGUUCUUGUGAAAAAAAAAGGCUUUAAAUAGACUCGGCUCAAAUUGGGACUGCAAAGGAUAAUUUUAAAGAAAGUGAAAGGAAUAUCAAAGAUGGCCUUUCCUCAUUUCAAGUAAGAUCAGUUAAAACCAAUAAACUUUGUCCACAUCCAAUGUAAUGCUUUGGAUUUGUAAGAGACCAUGUUUUGGAGUCCAUGACAAACUAAUGUACUACCAACCAUUAUUCAUGCUGAUAAAAUGUGGAUCAAGCAUAAUUUGGGUGAUAGUUGUUCCAAUUGCAUGUUUUUUUUUACUUGUUUGGUCAUCUCUUUCAAGGGAAUUGCUCUGAACAUUAUUCCAAACAAAACAUUGAUUUAUUUCAUUGAAAUCACAAACAAAAUCAGUUCUUUUAAAACCUCAUUUAAGAAGAAUGGAUUCUCCUGUAAAAAGAGUUUGAAAGAUCGAAUUGUUGAGUCAUUGAGAUCAUGCAUGGGUUUUUUUUUGGUGAUAUAAUGCAAAGAGAAUUUCCUGGCCAAAGCUUCAUUGAUUUGAUUGGAUGAAACACAUCAUACAUAAUACUUCUUCACAGAGUCAGAGUUCACAGGCCUAGGUAAAUCAUCUCCAUCCAUCCUAGUUAACAACAGAGCUCCUCCGGAGAAUGCUUUCUUCACUACAUAUGGGCCUUCAUAGUUUGGUGCCCACUUGCUUCGGUCUUCACUUGGCAAUGGUAAGAUUUUUCUCAGUACAAGAUCCCCUUCUUUGAAUUCUCUUGGUCGGACUUUCCGGUCAUAUGCUUUGGCCAUCCUUCUUUGGUAUAGCUGGUGAUGACAAAUUGCAGUCAACCUCUUCUCAUUUAUCAUGUUUAGCUGCUCAUAUCUCACUUUAGCCCAUUCAGCUUCUUCUAGUUCAGAUUCUAUUAGUACUCUCAAAGAUGGAAUUUCUACUUCCAAAGGCAUCACUGCCUCCAUCCCAAAUACUAAUGAGUAAGGUGUAGCUCCAGUGGAUGUCCUUACUGCUGUACGAUAUGCAUGCAGGCAAAGGGAAGCAUCUCAUGCCAAUCCUUAUAAGUGACUACCAUCUUCUGGAUAAUCUUCUUGAUAUUCUUUUCGCAGCUUCAACAGCACCAUUCAUCUUUGGUCUGUAAGGAGAUGAGUUUGAAUGUUUAAUUUUCCACUUCACACAUAAUUCUGUGAUUAUUUUCCCAUUAAAGUUCUGGGCAUUGUCGGUCACUAUCUUCUCAGGUGAACCAUACCGACAUAUCAAAUCUUUCUCAAUGAAGCACUUGACCACUUUUUGAGUUACAUGAGCAUAAGAGCUGGCCUCCACCCACUUUGUGAAGUAAUCAAUGGCUACUAAGAUAAAUUGAUGCUUAUUGCUGGCCUUUGGGUUAAUUGGCCCAAUCACAUCUAUUCCCCACAUUGCAAAUGGCCAUGGUGAUGUCAUAUUAAACAGAGGAGCUGGAGGUGCAUUUAUUUUAUCACUAUACACCUGACAUUUAUGCAUUUUCUAACAUAAUCAAUGCAAUCUUUCUCCAUGGUCAUCCAGAAGUACCCAUCGUUGCAUUUGUCUAGCCAUCAUGUGCCCACUUGCAUGAGUUGCACAAAUUCCUUCGUGAAUCUUGCAAUGCUACCUUAGCUUCGAUUUCGUCUAGACAUCUUAGUAAAGUUCCAUUGAAUGAUCUUUUAUAUAGAAUUUCUCCAUCCAGGUAAAAUUCCAUGGCUAACCUUCUCAAGGUCUUCAUAUCUGCUUUAGAUGCCCCCAAGGGAUAUUCUCGAUAUUGGAUAAACCGCUUUAUAUCAUAAAACCAUGGGUUCCCAUCUAUUUCUCCUUCAAGUGAACAACAAUGAGCUGGAAAAUUUUUAAUCUCAAUGUGGAUUGGUUGUACCCUGAUUCCGUAAUCAAUUUUGGCCAUAGAAGCUAAGGUUGCCAAAGCAUCAGCAAACUGGUUUUUGUCUCUUCCCAUAUGGGUAAAGUCUAUCUCAUCAAAGCCCUCAGUUAGUUUUGAGAGAUAUUGUUGAUAUGGGAUCAAUUUUUCUUCUUUGGUCUGCCAUUCGCCUUUCACUUGACAGAUUAUUAACAUUGAAUCCCCAUAAACAUCAAGCUUCUUUAUUUUCAUCUCUAAAGCAGCUUCUAACCCAAGGAUACAAGCCUCAUAUUCAGCAGUAUUGUUGGUACAUUCAAAUUGUAGUUUGAUUGAGAUGGGAUAUUGCUUCUGGUCAGGUGAGAUUAUCACAGCCCCUGCUCCAUUGCCAGAUACAUUCACGCCCCAUCAAAAUACAUAAUCCACCAAUCAUUCUUCUCUUUGUCUUCUUCUACUAUCAACACAUCCUCAUCCGGGAAGUCAAAGUUCAAAGGCUCAUAAUCUUUGAUAGCAUUAUCUGCCAAAUGAUCAGCAAUUACACUUCCUUUUACGGAUUUUCUUGUCUUGUAUACAAUGUCAUACUCGACCAACAUUACUUGCCACCUUGCUAUUCGACUUGACAAGUAAGGUUUCUCAAAGAUGUAUUUAAGAGGAUCCAUUUUUUAGAUCAACCAGGUGGUAUAAUACAACAUAUAUUGUCGAAGACGCUUCGUGCUCCAUACAAGAGCACAACAUAGCUUCUCAAUCAUAGUAUAUCUGGAUUCAUAAUCAGUAAACUUCUUACUCAGAUAAUAGAUAGCUUGCUCCUUUCUUCUAGACUCAUCAUGUUGUCCCAACACACAACCCAUUGCUUCCUCAGUUACUGUCAAAUACAAGAUCAAAGGUCUUCCAGGCACAGGUGGCACUAACAAAGGUGGAUUCUGUAAGUAUUGCUUUAUUUUAUCAAAAGCUUCUUGACAAUCUUUGUCCCAAGUACCAGGAUUCUUUUUCCGAAGCAAUCGGAAAAUUGGCUCACAUGUUGCUGUUAACUGAGAUAUGAAUCGUGCAAUGUAAUUCAAACGUCCCAAGAAACCUCUUACUUCUUUUUCGGUUUUAGGAGCUGUCAUAGCCUGAAUUGCUUUCACUUUAUCAGGAUCGACCUCUAUUCCUUUGUUGCUUAUCACAAACCCUAGCAACUUUCCAGACUUCACCCCAAAUGAGCAUUUUGCAGGAUUCAAUUUCAACUGAUACUUCCUUAGUCUAUCAAAUAAUUUUCUUAGAAUCUGAACGUGAUCUUCUUCAUUCGUAGACUUGGCAAUCAUGUCAUCCACAUACACUUCAAUCUCUUUGUGUAUCAUAUCAUGAAAAAGUGUCACCAUUGCCCUUUGAUAUGUGGCUCCAGCAUUCUUUAACCCGAAUGGCAUCACUUUGUAGCAAAAUGUUCCCCAUGGUGUGACAAAAGUGGUCUUCUCUUUAUCUUCUUCAGCCAUUUUAAUCUGGUUAUACCCGGAGAAUCCGUCCAUGAAGGAAUAAGUUGAGCUUCUAGCAGCAUUGUCUACCAAGACGUCUAUGUGAGGCAAAGGAAAAUUAUCCUUUGGACUAGCUUUGUUUAGAUCCCUGUAGUCCACACAUACUCUGAUUUUGUCAUCCUUCUUUGGUACUACCACUAUGUUGAUACCCAUUGAGGGUAUUUAAUGACUUCUAGAAAACCAGCAUCCCAUUGCUUCUUUAUCUCUGCCUUGACCUUGAGUAGAAUAUCUGGGCGAGUUCUUCUCAAUUUCUUUGACAGGUUUACAUCCUUCUAUCAAAGGCACUCUGUGUACUACAAUAUCAAUGUCUAAACCAGGCAUAUCUGCAUAAGACCAGGCAAACACAUCCAUAUACUCUUGUAGUAAUGAGGUUAAACUGCAUCUUUCUUCUGUAGUAAUCAGAGUUCCAAUCUUUAACUCUCUUUUAUCUUGCUCGGUGCCUACAUUUAUCACCUCUAAUUCUUCUUUUGCAGGUUUCCAAGCACUCAGACUGUUCUACCUGUCUAGUAAACUCUUUCAUAUAAUCUUCAUUCCAUUCUUCUUCAUCCAUUGCAAUCAUAUCCUCAUCAAAGUUUGGCCAUUCAUUUUCAAUGCAAUAUGUUUGUGGAUUUAUGGAGGAUUCGCUUUCAGAACUCCUGAAAGCGAGAGGUGUUUUUAGUGUAAAUGCGUAUCUUGUGGCCAAACAAAAUAAAAAAGAUAACAAUAGUUGAAGAAAAUGCAUGAUCUCAAUAUUAUUUGGAAAGCUGACUCAAUAAUUAUGAAAAGACCUUAUGUUGACAUCUUGGACCAAGAUUUCCAACUAGGUACAAAACACAAAGCAAACUACAAAGCAAAGCACACAAAUACAUAAAAGCAAAUAUAAGCAGACGCUUAUUCAUUACUUCUUGAAAACAACUGGGGCUUCUUCAAUCUCCCAAUUAUGGAAUACUUCGUCAACCGCAAGCUUUCGCACAAAGGCGUUGGUUGGAACCUCUUCUAGAGAGUGGACAGUUAACUGAGGCAACAAUUCAUCUUCUUUUGCUGUUUUUGGCUCGUCAUCAGAAUUCCAGCCUUUUCCUUCACCUUCCUCUACAUUGUUGAUAUCCAUGAAAGCAAGUUUCUGUCCCAAGACUUCCAUCAUGUUUUCAGGUUUAUCACAUAUGCUGACUUUGGGAAAGAAACAUGGAUGGGUGGGAUUACAAUGUCUUCUUCUUCUGGCUUUCUUCCUUCCAUUCGGCCAACCUUCUUUCUCGCUUAAUCCUAGCAGCUCUCUGGUAAUCAUCUUUCUUAGGCUUAAAGCCAAGCCCAAACCUCUGAUCAGCAGCCUUAAUUUUCAUUCUGUUGACUCUCUGAGAUUUCCAGCAAUUGGAUUAUUCUGGAAUGGUAGCCCAUGUUUCAAAAAGCACUUAGCUAUCAUUCGGGCAGUAUCGGAAAUCAUUGGUCUUCUUAACACCGUGUUCUCUGGUACCCAUUCAGUAUUCACAACCUCGAAGGCAUGGAGAUUUCCAUCUUUGCAAUCUUCUGUUUCAAUAUAAGGGACCGACACAUUCCUCAUCAUGGACAAGGUUUCUUCUGCCUUAACUUUACUAGAGUACCAUUGAUAAUGUACUUCAAACAUUGGUGUAGAGAUGAUGUCACAGCCCCAGCGGCAUGUAUCCAUGGCCUUCCCAAUAACAUACUAUACGAAGGAUGGAUGUCCAUCACUUGUAAGGUUAUCAAAAACAUCUGAGGCCCUAUAAACAAUUCAAUGUCAAUGGCCCCUAUCACCUGUCUAGGGAACCAUCAUAUGCUCUAGCUGUUAUUGUGCUUGGUCUCAUGUAAGUAGCAUCAAUUGACAUCUCAUCUAUCAUAUGCUUUGGUAACACAUUCAACGUUGAACCAUUGUCCACAAGCACUUUGCCAAUCAAACAGUCUUUACAUUUCAUGGUGAUGUACAAAGGCUUGUUAUGCCCAGUCCCUUCCGGGUCUAGCUCAUUCUUCCCACCAAAUGUUCCAUCGUAUCUUGAGUAAUAUCCUGCGGCACAUAUGCUUCAUUCAACACCUUUUGCAAUGCUUUACGGUGUAACUCAGAACUCAAGAUAAGUGACAUUAAAGAGAUUCUAGCAUGAGUUUUCUUCAAUUGAUCAACCACACUAUACUCACUAUGCUUCAUCAACUUCAAAAAUUCAUUAGACUCGUCUUCACUUAUAGGUUUGUUCACUUCCAUGCCUUUAAAAACAUCAACUAUUUCUUUUCCUUUAGCUUUCCUCUGCCUCUCUAACUCUUCCGGUGUAAAACACCGACCACUUCGAGUUAAACCGCCGAUUUCAGUGUGAAAGAUAGGAGUAGGAUUCUUAAUGUUGAAAGAAUACCUAUAAUUGUUAGGCAUUGUGCCAUAACUUUCACUGUUUGUGCAUACAGGCUUGGUCAGGAUUAGUUUUGGUGGACCACCCACAGUUGGUUGGAGUCUACAAACUUCCAUUUUUGUCUCCUGACGGCCUAUCAUCCCAACUUCACUACUCUCUUCUUCACUCUCUAUCCUUAACAUGCCGAAAGUCAGCAUCCUUUUCACUUCUUGGUGAAAUUCUUCACAAUCAUCAAUGUGAUGUCCCACCUUGCCAUGAAACUUACAGUAGUUAUUUUCAUUCAUCACUGGUUCAAACUCAGAUAAAUAACCAGACUGUACCAACAUACCAUACAGUCUUUCCAUGGAAACCUUCAAAACUCUUUCCUUCUUACCCUCCAUUCCUACAGCAUUCACUCCUCCACUGCUUGUGGCAUGAUUGGGCAAAGGAUUGGAAUUUACAUUCGGUGAAUCAUCAAAAGUUAUCCAUCCAGCUUUUAUCAAUUGUAGAAGCUUGUUUUUAAAUGCAUUACAACUUUCAAUGUUAUGCCCUGCCACGCCAGCAUGAUACUCACAUUUCAGAUCUGGCUUAUACCAAUUUGGAUAUGGAGGUUGCAGUGGGGUUAAGGGAACAGGGGCUACUUGCCCAAUACUCAACAACUUUGAGUACAUUUCUCCCAAGGGAAGUGGUAAUGGUGGCAAUCGUUCUUGGGUUCUUUGAAAAUUCCUUCUUGGAGGAUUAACAAUAUGGUUACUUUGUUGGUCAUUUGGUUGGCUUUGUUGGUUGGUAGGGAAAGGUUAAGUGAAGUUUACACUUGCAACUUGUUGGGUAGAUAUUUGGAAGUUAUAAUGAUGGUAAUUUUUUAUCUUACCCUUAUACUGUCCUUCCACAUUAUUCACAUCGAGAUCCUUCUUUUUCCCAGUAAAGCCUUUCUUCUUAGUAGGCUCUGACAUUCUCCCCGCUCUUAUCGCUUGUUCUAUUCUCUCAGAGAUAGUUACAUCAUCAUAGAAAUGCUGAGCUGAACUACCCACCAGGUGUUCAAAGUAGGGAGAUUUUCUUUUUCUAACAAAGAGGGUUGCACAUGAGAUGCUUUUUCACUCCAUCUCAAAGCGUAUUCUCUGACAGUCUCUUUGUUGCCCUUCUCCAUGACUAACAAGCUUGACCUGUCUAGGGCUACCUCCAUGUUGAAUUUAUACUGCUCCAUAAAGGCUUUUACCAAAUCUUUCCACUUUCUGAUCUUAGUAUUAUCCAGCCUUGUAUACCAGCUUAGUGCCGAUCCUGAAAGACUGUCUUGAAAGAAAUGGAUGAGAAGUUUCUCAUCAUUCACUACUUCUGCCAUCUUAUGGCAGUAAGAUUUAAGAUGAGUGACUGGGCAUUCAGUUCCAGUAUACUUGAUGAAUUCUGGUACCCUAAAUUCUUUGGGUACGGCUACAUUUGGAACUAAACACAUUUCUGCAGCAUGAAUAGGAUCAUAUAAGUCUGCCCCUUCGACCGCCUUCAAUCUUUCUUCCAGAGCGGUCAAUUUAUCAUAAUCGACAUAUUUAGAGAAUUUCAUCCUAUGUGGGUCAUCAGUUGCCAGGUUUACAGUAACUGGCACUUGUGCUGGUGGAACAUUGGCAAUGAACUAUUGUUCAAAUGAAGAGGGAUUUGCCCCUAAAUUUUGAGAUGUGAAUACAAAAGGAGCUGCUAGCACAGAUACAGAUGGAGUUGCAACUGCUGGCUGAGUAGAGGUAUCUUCCCCAGACUUGGAUACUAGGGCCUGCUCGAGUAGACUUGUAAGUCGUGUAAUAUCGUUUUUCAUUUUCUCCAACUCUUUUUGAUAAUGAGCCUCUAGAUCAGCCCUUUCUUCGUUCUCCAUUAUCUUCCUUCGUAGUCGAGUGUAAUGAAUUUUAUGGUCUUUUGGGGGACCUAUAUUUCAACCUGAAUGAAUGCAAGUAAACUAAAUGAAAUGCACAAAUGGAUGCAAAAUGCCAUAUGGUUUAUGCAUGCUUGUUAUUGGUUUCAAAUUUUCUUUUAACUUAUGACGAGGAACAAACCAGAUCAGAUUCUCUUAAAAAAGUUCUCACUGAGGACUCCAAACCUACAGGAACUUGAACUGAUUUAGGGAAGAAAUUUGAUGCCAUGUUCUGAUGGCAAACAAUCCCCUUCAUCAUGUUGGUUCAAUUCUGAUCUGGUAAAAAAUUCCUCAAUAGUAAUGGGUUUUUCAAUCUCACACUUCCUAUGAGGAUCGGUGGAGAUUUGAUGAGAAUAUGAAAUGUAUAUAAAAAUGAAUGUGAAUGUGUUGACAUUUGUUUGUGUCCUAAAAGGUAUAUCUUAAUUGAUAGGAUGUAGCUCAUAAGAUUUGGCUCAGUUUAUUCUAAUCUUAAAGAUUUUCUUUGGUUCUUAGAUUGCCCGAAUUACCAAUGGAGUAAUCGGCCUCUUAACCUUAAACAACAUGAGUAUGGGAAGAAAAUUCCACAAUACCCGUUGCAUAGGGUGAGUUACAAUCCAAGCGAAAGUCCAAAUGAGCAUCAGUGGACAUAAGUCACACUUGCCACCUGAAUCUUUCUUUUCUAAUCUUAAAAAGGACGAGCUCGGGUCCAGAGCUUUUAUGGGUUCACCGUGAAGUGUGUGAAUACAUAAAUAAAUAACAUGCAUGCAUUUUCAAUCUAAAAAAAUUGAAAUGAUUUACAAUUGAUAUUGCAUAAAAUAAAUAGUGCGAAUAAAAUAAAUGCUCAAAAAAUAAAUAGCAAUAAAAAAACAAAUGAAAAGCACACACAAACAGUUGGUUCAACACUGUCCCCAGUGGAGCCACCAUUUUGUCGAUACACGACGUCGGGCGACGACUCUGCUUUUUUUAUUUGUUUUACAAAAAUAUUUUUUUUUUUUAUUGGGGGAAAUGAAGAUUUUAUUGGAAUCGCCAUCUAGUAAGAUGAGGGAACUAGAAAUCCCAAAUUAGACACUGGUCCCAGAGAUUCGGGUACUGGGUUAGUUAUGAUUAAGGGAAGGUAGACACCACCCUUAAAACAUCAUUUCAAGAGAAAGGUUACCCUUACUUGUGUGUUUUUUAUUUGUUUCAAAUAAUAUUAUAUUUUGAGCUUAUUUGUAAUUUUUUUAAAUGGUUAACGUCGGUCCCUAAAAAUAGAAGACACGUUAAAAAUGACAUCAGUCCUUAAAAAUAGGAGACUCGUCUAAAAUAUCGACGUUUAACCCUAAAAAGGAGAUUUACGUCUGAGUUACCAAAAAAAAUAAAUUAUGGACAUAAUCCAUAUUUGUUUGGUAUUUAAACUUUUUUUUUUGACAUCCGUCCUUUUCUAUAAAAAGAGACGUGUCGACAAACAAUAUGUGUUUAUAAAGAACAAAUAUUUUGAUGUCAUUAAAAAAUAGGUAUAAUUAUUCUUGAGAAGUUGGGCUUUGCGCCCACGAUCGAUAAUAUGAUAAGAUAAGUGUUGGACCCGUUUCGUUUUUUUAAUAUUUAUUUUUGUUUUUUUACAUGCAAGAAAAUUUAUAUUCAAAAUAAAAAAAUGUCAGAAAUCUCAAAAAAAUUACCUGAGUGCCACUGUAUAGGUAAAAGAUUAAAAUACCCUUGGAUUUCUCGAAAAAUUACGAAAAUGCCACUGGCGGCGCAUGUGGCUCAUGCGCAAUUACUGUUGGCGGCGGAGAAAUUUUCCGGCGAGAUCUAUGGCCAACCGAUGGUCGAUUCUGGUAGAUCCUAGGUCGAGGAUUCUUUGCAGCAGGGGAGAAACUUUAUGUGGUGGUGCAGAGGCUUGAGAUGGGCGAAAAGUGGAGAUCGGAUGAGAGAGAGGGAGUCGCCGGCGAGAGGAGAGAGAGAGUCUGAUAUUACGCUACAGUGUGAACGCGUGCACGGUACACCAGUACCACUGAACACUAUGAGCCGCUGGAUCUCGGAUGAAAUGAUCGGAUGGGUGUGAUUGGCUAGAUCUGCAUGUUGAUCGGACGGUUCGGAUGAGCUGAGCGUUGAUCUGGUGUGGCGCGGUGCACCGAAAGAUCGGUACAUCGGGUGACGUGGCAAGAUGGUAUCAAAGGUAAGAUUAUUUCAACGGCUGAGAUGGAUUUGGGUUUUAAUCUAGUGUGGUAAGCCCUAUUGUAUCCUAUUAAAUCAAAGGUCUAGAACUGAUACUAUUAGAUCUAACGGCUAGGAUAUUUUUGGUAUGUUUCAAAUUGUUCAAAAAUGACAGUUUUGACCGGAAAUGACGGUUUUGACCCGAAACGUCAUGAAAACUCAUUUUUUACCCUGGACGACAUGGUUUGACCCGUACUGACCUGGUGGACUUGGUUUUGGUAAAAAAUUACGGUUUUGACCAAAAAUGACGAUUUUGACCCGAAACGUCAUGAAAACUCAUUUUUUACCCCGAUCGACAUGGUUUGACCCGUACUGACCCGGUGGACUUGGUUUUGGUAAAAAAUGACGGUUUUGACCCAAAACAUCAUUAAAACUCCUUUUUUACCCCAGUCGACAUGGUUGGACCCGUAUUGACCCGGUGGACUCGGUUUUUAUGAAAAGAUGCGGUUGACUUGAGAAAAUAUAUUUUUGAAUUUUAAAUUUUUUCUUAAUUUUUUUGAUUUUUAUGAAUAAUAAUAGAAAUAAAAUAACAUUCAACAAAAUCUUGGUGCAUCCAAAAUUGGGUUACAACACAUAUUAUUGGAGGACAAUGUGAAACCAACAAGGGAAAUGCAAAGGAGGUUGAAAUCACCUAUGAUGGAGGUAGUGAAAGCUGAAAUUUUGAAAUUGUUAGAUGCAAGAGUCAUUUAUCCUAUCAUGGACAGUAAAUGGGUGGCGCCAAUCCAUGUGGUGCCUAAAAAGACUAGAAUCACGUUGGUGAAAAACAAAAAUGAUGAGCUCAUUCCUACUCGCAUCUCAAGUGGAUGGAGAAUGUGUGUUGAUUACAGAAAGCUAAAUCUUGCUACACGCAAAGAUCAUUUCCCAUUACCAUUCAUGGAUCAAAUGCUUGAAUGCCUAGCAGGUAAGUCUUUUUAUUGCUUUCUUGAUGGAUAUAGUGGAUACAAUCAGAUUGUUAUUAAUCAUGAGGAUCAAGAAAAGACUACAUUUACAUGUCCAUUUGGCACAUAUGCAUAUAGGAGAAUGCCCUUUGGUCUAUGUAAUGCACCUGCAACUUUUCAAAGAUGUGUCAUAACCCAUUUUUGGGUCACUCCUAAAUUAAUUUUUAUUUUCUCAAAAAAAAAAAAACUGCACGGUGCCGUUUUGAACGGCACGGUGGUGCUUUUUCUCCCUUGCGAGACAAGGGAGAAGAAGAUUUUUGAAAUGUUUUCUUCCCACUUUCUCUCUCCACCCCACUUGUCCAAAAAUCCCGCAUAACCCAUACCCACAGAACCAUACCCUGCAACUAUUAUGGAAGAAACAUGAGACAUACAGAGACCCAUGCCUUGCACUUGAACAGGCAUGGUGACCCUCUCCCCCGGCUGGCUAUAAAUACAUGGGAAUUGAAGAAGGAAAGGGGAGGGGGUGGAAGGUUUUGAAAGGAGAAAACGAGGGAAACAUUUGAAAACAAAGAAGGAAGGAGAGAUUUGAGAAAGAACUGGAGACGCGAACCGCUGCCAUUCUCCAUCACCACCAGCACCGUGAGCACUACCAACGCCAUUAUCAUUCUUCCUCAGCCUCUCACCAUCCUCCUCCCCCUGCUGCAGUACCCUUGAAGAAGAAGAAGAAGCCUGCACCUCUUCACAAACAAGAAGAAUAGCAGCAACAUCGUCAAUGCCAUUGCCAAGUCUUGGAAGUGAAAAUGAAGAAGGAGAGAAAGGAGGAAGAACCACCGGCUGCUAUCCGCAUAGCCACCACUCGCGCCACCCUAGAGCCACUGCCAGCUACUGUCGUCCUCCCCGUCGUUGAUAACAGCCCUGCACCGUGAGAAACAAAAGAAGAAGAAGAAACAGAGACAGACAGAGGAAAAGCAGAAACAUAGGAGAAAGGAGGAGAAGCUGCCGCCUGGAACCACCAUCUGCAGCCACAUUCGGCCACCACCGUCACCACCAGCACUGUAAGCAACAACAGUUGCUACCACAGAAAUAGAAGAACAGCAGAGGGAAGGGGCAGAGAACCCAAAGCAGCAGGGAGAAGAAAACAAAAGGGAAAACAGAAACCGCCAACUGCCACCAACCGCCAACUCCACGACUGUUUCCACCGCUGACUUCAAGUCAUCCUCCCCGUCCAGCCAGCCAUCACCGCCACGCCAGGUGAUCCACCCCUCUUCCUUCUUCUUCUUCUUCUACUUCGCUGCAUCAUCUCCACUAUUCAUGUAGCAUGUGAACAGUGGAGAGUGCUCCACUGUUCACUGUUUUGGCCCAGCCCAAAAUGAGUGGGCUGGGUCCGGUCCAGUCCCAAAAAAUUUUUAAAAUUUUUUUUUUUUAAUAAAAAUUUGUGAUUUCCCCGCAUAUUUUUUUUACUAAAUUUUGCUUAAUAUUGGUUUGUAUUUUUAUAUCGUAAAAAUAAAAAUCUGGUAUUAAAGUACCCGGUUUUCUUCAAAACUUUGAAAAAAUGUUUUUGUUUUCAUGCAUACGGCCAAGUCUCUCAAAGAAAAAAAAAAUACAUCAUAUUUUCAUACAACAAAGAAAACUUCAAUAUAUAUAUAUAUAUAUAUAGCAUGCAUUUUUGGCUUUAAUUACCAGUUUAUUAAAGUCACGAGAACUUGGCCAAUAUUUCAAUAAUUCCAAAAAAAUUAUUUUGUUUUCUUUUAAUAUCAGGGAUUAUGAAUUUAUACGUAAAACAUAUUCCCAACGUUUGAAAGUGCGAGAGACAAAAAAAAAACCUCAACAUUUGAAAGUGCCCAAACAAUACUAGGGGGCAUGAAAGAAAAUUCUCAAUCAUCAAAGCUGCCCACACAAAGCUGGGGCAUGAAAAAAUAAAAUCCAAAAGAUACAAAAGAUUUGAGCUUCUCACAAAAAUAACUGAGAUGAUGAUGCUCAACCAAGUGAAGAAUAAAAAAUGAAUGAGAAAACCAAGCCCAACACUGGGGGGCACGAUAGACAAUUUUUGAAAGACAUUUAAAUGACAAAAGGUCAAGAAACAAGCACAAGUGAUUCUUAGUCUUAAAAUCCCUUAAACACCUUUUGAGCCUGCAAAAUAUUCUUUUCUUCAUAACCAAGAGCCUAAACCUACAUUACGUGCCUAAUCAAGCCCUUUUUGAUCAAAGGCAAGCAAUCUGGAUCGGUAGGCAGUGCUUUCUCAUGCGAACCAAAUCAUUAUUCAUGCAAAUAAAAUAAAUGCUUUGAAAAUCGGUUCUCCGUAACCUUCAAAUUGAAUUUUGAACCGUAUUUGACCAACCAAAUGUCACUUCAUAUUUUUCACCAAAAGCAAACAAAAAGUUUUCAUCACUUUUGAAAACCUCUCCAUAGGAAUCACUUGAAUUUCUUCAGAAUAAGUUUGCUUUGAAUCGAUGUCAAGAUGAUUUUUGUGUCUAGAAUAGCUUUGAAAUUCCAAAAAUUCUACAUGAAAACAAUUCUUUGUCAAACCUUUUUUUCAUCCCUAAAGAAAACACCAUUCGAAUACUUGGGGGCAUGAUUAAGCUGGGGGGCAAUCAAAAACUCCUGGUAGGGCUGGCUUCAUGAUUCCCUUUCUAAGAAAAAUGUCGGGCAAAAUUGGAAACCCUUGAGAUAAAUGGUAGAGGACAAAGAAGUAUGAUGAUAUCAAGUCUUUCCUAGGAGUCAAGAUCACAAGAGAUGACUCGAGUAAGCAAGAGCGAAAAGGCCAUUGAAGUUCACUACCAACACUCCAACUUUUGAGAAAAGAGAGACACCAUGAAGAAAUUAGGGACCUAUAUUUCUCAGGUAAGUAUACAUGCAUAUCAAUCAUAAUGCAUUGCUUUCAUCAUUAACAGAUCGAUGUGACAUCUUCUUUCGAGCGCGCCUUUGAGCCCUCACUUCUCAGGUAGUGCGUUUUCUAACCCUACCCCCUUUCGAGUGUGCCUUUGGGCCCUCGCCAUGUUUUUUAGCUGGGCAGGUCACCCAUUACAAUGAGACCAUUCUUUCACCUGGGUAGGUCACCCAUUACAACAUGACCACUCUUCAUUCAUUCCAUUUUUGGGUUGGUCACCCAUUACAAUGAGACCAUUCUUUCACCUGGGUAGGUCACCCAUUACAACAUGACCACUCUUCAUUCAUUCCAUUUUUGGGUUGGUCACCCAUUAUAAUUCGACCAUUCUCCAUGUUCUUUUAUCUGGGUAGGUCACCCAUUAUAAUGAGACCAUUCCUCCAUUUGGGUAGGUCACCCAUUACAACACGACCACUCUUCCUUUCUUCCAUUUCUGGGUAGGUCACCCAUUACAACACGACCAAUUCUCCAUGUUUUUUAGCUGGGUAGGUCACCCAUUACAACAUGACCACUCUUCAUUCAUUCCAUUUUUGGGUAGGUCACCCAUUACAAUUCAACCAUUCUCCAUGUUCUUUUAUCUGGGUAGGUCACCCAUUACAAUGAGACCAUUCCUCCACUUGGGUAGGUCACCCAUUACAACUCGACCACUCUCUUUUUUUCUCAUCCUGGGAAGGUCACCCUUUACAACUCGACCAUUCUCCAUGUUUUUUUAUUUGGGUAGGUCACCCAUCACAAUGAGACUAUUCCUUUACCUGGGUAGGUCACCCAUUACAAUGAGACCACUCUUCCUUUUUCUACUUGGGUAGGUCGCCCAUGAAAAUAGACCAAGACCAGUGUGAGUUUGUGCGGGUAGAUCGCCCAUGAAAAUAGACCAAGGUAAGUGUAUGUGGGCAGAUUGCCCCUGAAAAUAGACCAGUGUGAGUUUGUGUGGGUUGGUCGCCCAUGAAAAUAGACCAGUGUGAGCGUGUGUGGGCAGGUUGCCCAAGAUAAAUCAGAUCAUUUUAUUUCCUUUUGUUUUCUUUACAAACUUACUAUGCAAAGUCUUUGCUCCGUAAGCAUUGUAAAGAGGGGGGCAACUAUCAAAACCCAUUUUUGGGUCACUCCUAAAUUCAUUUUUAUUUUCUCAAAAAAAAAAAAAAAAAUUGCACGGUGCCGUUUUGAACAGCACAGUGCUGCUUCUUCUCCCCUACGAGAUAGGGGAGAAGAAGAUUUUUGGAAUGUUUUCUUCCCACUCUCUCUCUCCACCCCACUUGCACAAAAAUCCCGCAUUACCCAUACCCACACAACCAUACCCUGCAACCAUUAUGGAAGAAACAUGAGACAUACAGAGACCCAUGCCCUGCACUUGAACAGGCAUGGUGACCCUCUACCCCGGCUGCCUAUAAAUACAUGGGAAUUGAAGAAGGAAAGGCGAGGGGGGUGGAAGGUUUUGAAAGGAGAAAACGAGGGAAACAUUUGAAAACAGAGAAGGAAUGAGAGAUUUGAGAAAGAACUGGAGACGCGAACCGCUGCCAUUCUUCGUCACCACCAGCACCGUGAGCACUGCCAAUGCCAUUAUCAUUCUUCCUCAGCCUCUCACCAUCCUCCUCCCCCUGCUGCAAUACCCUUGAAGAAGAAGAAGAAGCCUGCACCUCUGCACAAACAAGAAGAACAUCAGUAACACCGUCAAUGCCAUUGCCAGGUCUUGGAAGAAACAAAAGAAGAAGCAGAAACAAAGACAGACAGAGGAAAAGCAGAAACAGAGGAGAAAGGAGGAGAAGCUGCCGCCUGGAACCACCAUCUACAGCCACAUUCGGCCACCACCGUCACCACCAGCACCGUGAGCAACAACAGUUGCUACCACAAAAAUAGAAGAACAACAGAGGGAAGGGGCAGAGAACCGAAAGCAGCAAGGAGAAGAAAAAAAAAGGGAAAAGAGAAACCGCCAACUCCACCACCGUUUCCACCGCCGACUUCAGGUCAUCCUCCCCGUCCAGCCAGCCAUCACCGCCACGCCAGGUGAUCCACCCCUCUUCCUUCUUCUUCUUCUUCUUCUUCUUCGCUGCAUCAUCUCCACUAUUCACGUAGCAUGUGAAUAGUGGAGAGUGCUCCACUGUUCACUAUUUUGGCCCAGCCCAAAAUGAGUGGGCCGGGUCCGGUCCAGUCCAAAAAAAAAAAAAUUUAAAAUAUAUUUGAAUACAAAUUUGUGAUUUCCCCGUGUAUUUUUUUUACUAAAUUUUUCUUAAUAUUGGUUUGUAUUUUUAUAUCGUAAAAAUACAAAUCUGGUAUUAAAGUACCCGGUUUUCGUCAAAACUUAGAAAAAAUGUUUUUGUUUUCAUGCAUACGGCCAAGUCUCUCAAAGAAAAAAAAAACUACAUCAUAUUUUCAUACAACAAAGAAAACUUCAAUAUAUAUAUAUAUAUAGCAUGCAUUUUUUGCUUUAAUAACCAGUUUAUUAAAGUCACGAGAACUUGGCCAAUAUUUCAAUAAUUCCAAAAAAAUUAUUUUGUUUUCUUUUAAUAUUAGGGAUUAUGAAUUUAUACGUAAAAUGUAUUCCCAAUAUUGAAAAGGUAGUUUUUUUUUUAUUGACGUUAGAAUGGUUAGGUUCUACCCAAUUAAGAUAAGAACCUCCUUAUUGAGGAGGGCUUUUCUUGAAUCUUAGAUAGACAGGACCAACAAUUAGAAAACACGACCAAACCUUAGAUUUUGAUCAGACAAAUAAAACAAUGCAGAUUACCUUAGGUAGGGCGUAUUUGGGGUGCUAAUACCUUCCCUUUACGCAACCCGUCUCCGUACUCGAUCUCUGAGACCAGUUAGGGUUCCUAGUGACCAUAAUACUAGGUGGCGACUCCAUUUCCUUUUCCCACUGAUAAGAGACAAGAAUUCUUUAUCUCCCUAUAUUUUCUCUGAUACCACACUUAAGUGAGGGUGGACGAUCGUCGCGACGCCGCACACGUGCGACAAGAUGCAUGAUGAGUAUUUUUUCUGACUAUGUUGAAAUAAUAAUUGAGGUUUUCAUGGAUGAUUUCACGGUGUAUGGUGAUUCUUUUGAUAAAUGUCUAGAAAAUUUAUCUUUGAUCUUGAAAAGGUGCAUUGAAACUAACCUUGUCUUAAACUAUGAAAAGUGUUAUUUUAUGGUAGAACAAGGAAUAGUUCUUGGGCAUGUUGUGUCUUCACGUGGAUUAGAGGUUGAUAAAGCUAAAAUAGACGUUAUUUCAUCAUUGCCUUACCCCUCCUGCGUGAGGGAAAUUCGCUCUUUUCUUGGCCAUGUAGGUUUCUAUUGAUGCUUUAUCAAAGAUUUCUCGAAGAUUACAGCACCCUUGUGUAAACUAUUAGCCAAAGAAGUGGAUUUUGUGUUUGAUCAAGGAUGUAAAGAUGCCCAUGAUGAGCUUAAGAGGCGUGUCACAUCUGCCCCUAUCAUUCAACCACCAAAUUAGGAUGAGCCUUUUGAGAUAAUGUGUGAUGCGAGUGAUUAUGCGGUAGGGGUUGUCCUUGGGCAAAGAAUAGGGAAGAAUUUGCAUGCAUGUUGGACGGAGCACAAUGCAAUUACCAUACAACCAAAAGGAACUUUUUGCAGUGGUGUUUGCUCUUGAAAAAUUCAGGUCAUAUCUACUUGGUACAAAAGUCAUUGUUUUUACUGACCAUGCAGCUUUAAGGUAUCUUUUGAAGAAAAAGAAGUCCAAACCAAGAUUGAUUAGGUGGAUCUUGCUUUUACAAGAAUUUGAUCUUGAGAUGAAAGACAAAAAAGGUGUCGAAAACCAUGUGGCUGAUCACUUGAGCCGACUGAGGACUGAGGAUAUACAAACCAAAACAAUACGAGAGACAUUCCCCGAUGAGCAGUUGUAUGUGUUACAUUUCUCUACAAGACCAUGGUAUGCUGAUUUGGUGAAUUAUUUAGUCAUCAAAGAAUUCCCACCAUGGUUUGUCUACAUCCCAAAAAAACAAGUUACGAGCUGAUGCUAAAUAUUAUUUUUGGGAUACUCCUUAUCUGUGGAAAUUUUGUGUGGAUCAAGUAAUUAGGAGAUGUGUACCACAAGAUGAAUUUCAUUCCAUUCUUACUUUUUGUCAUUCUCAUUCUUGUGGUGGACAUUUUGGAGCAAAAAGAAUGACCCAUGAGGUACUUGAAAGUGGUUUUUAUUGGCCUUCUAUUUUUAAGGAUGCAUAUCAUUUUUGCAAAUCAUGUGAAAAAUGCCAAAGAACAGGUAAUAUCACUCAUAAGAAUCAAAUGCCUUUAACGAAUAUUCUUGUAAGUGAAAUUUUUGAUGUUUGGGGUAUUGAUUUUAUGGGUCCAUUUCCUUCUUCGUUUAGCAAUCUUUAUAUCCUUCUUGCUGUUGAUUAUGUGUCCAAAUGAAUUGAGGUGAAAGCCACACGAACUAACGAAAUCCUUAGGUAAAUUCAACAUUAACAAUUACAAUUCAAAACAUUAUUCAAUAAUUAUGCCAAUACAACAAACAAUAAAUUCAAAAUAAAUAGAAACAAUUAAACACAAAUCAUCCAAUAAUAGAGUAAAAUUAAUAAUUCUUCCAACAUAUUCAAUUACUAAUUCUAAGGUAAAUUCAACAUUAACAAUAUUAAUUCAACAAAUUAUUCAAUAAUUAUGCUAAUACAACAAUAAAAUAUAUUCAAUAAAUUAAAAAAGAAUUAUAGCCUAACAAUUAAAAUCAAUGGAUACAAUUAAACACAAAUCAUGCAAUAAUAUAGAAAAAUUACUAAUUAUUCCAACAUAUCCAAUUACUAAUUCUAAGGUAAAUUCAACAAUAACAAUUAUAAUUCACAAAUUAUUCAAUAAUUAUGCCAAUACAACAAUAUAAUAAAUUAAAAACAAUUAUAGACUAACAAUUAAAAUCAAUUAAAUUACUCAUUAUUCCAACAUAUUCAAUUACUAAUUCUAAGGUAAAUUCAACAUUAACAACAAAUAUUCAACAAAUUAACUAAUAACAAUUAUGCCAAUAAAACAAUAAAAAAUAUUCAAUAAAUUAAAAAAAAAAAAACUUUAGACUUGAGGGAAGAAAUAUGCAUACCUUAAUAAUGUGUUGAAUUCAAAACGUUAUCUACAUUACAAAAAAAUACACCAAAACAAAAAACAUAACAAGAAUAAAAAUAACUAAAAAUAAAAUAAAAUGAAAUAGAAAAAAAGACAUACAUUUUAAUGUGAUAAAGAUUCACAACAAAGCUUGCUAGAGAUUCUAGGUGAAAGCCUUGAACAAUUGAGAGGAAAAACGGAGGAGAAGAAAAAAUGAACUGAAGGGGCGGUCGUUGGAACUUAUAGGCAGUUUUACCGACGGAUUCACCGAUAGAAAUAAAAAAUUAUUAUUAUUUUAAUUAAAUCCAUUAGUAAUGUGUUAAAAAUACGUCGGUAAUUUUUGAAUUUCACACCGAAAUUUUUUAUUACCCUCAAUAUUUUUCGCAGUCCGUCGGUAAUUCCGUUGGUAAUCGGACACAGUCAGAGGUGCAUUCAAUGCAUACCCUUUGGAAUUCGCAUAUUCCGUCGGUAUUUUUGUCGAUAAAAUUUGCUCACCGACAAAUUACUGAUGGAUAUGAUUACGUCAGGAUGGACGUCGGUGAUUGUGGCAUUCUAUUGUAAUUAUUAUCGAACUCUCUAUGAGAUGUCGACAGACAUAAGUCCGUUGGUAUGGCCGUCGGUGAUUGUGGCAUUGUGUUGUAAUUAUUUUUCAACUCUCUGUGAGAUGCCGACGGAUGUUAUUCCUUUGGUAUGGAUGUCGGUUAAUCCAUCAGGAUGGACGUCGGUGAUUGUGGCAUUCUAUUGUAAUUAUUUUUGCACUCUCUAUGAGAUGCCGACGGACAUAAGUCCGUCGGUAUGGACGUCGGUGAUUAUGGCAUUCUGUUGUAAUUAUUUUUGAACUCUCUAUGGGAUGCCGAUGUCCGUCGGUAUGGACGUCGGUUAUUGUGGCAUUUUGUUGUAAUUAUUUUCCAACUCUCUGUGAGAUGUUGACGGAUGUUAUUCUGUCGGUAUGGUCGUCGAUAAUUGUUGCAAUGUACAAGAAAUGUUGUAUUUGUAUUUCCUAUUUACCUUCCUGCAAAAACUUCAAUGAUAAACUGUCCAUCGCACAAAACAAUAACAACAGUGCUUAAACAAUAAAUAUAUAUUUCAUGUUACAAAAUAUAUCAUCCAUAAUGUAAAUUACAUGAAGAAAAGGGUUUUACACAAGGAUUCGUUUUGAUAGUUAGUCAGAAUUUUCUUCUUCUUCGUCAUCAAUUGAAUAGUCAUCACCUUCAUUGCAAUCUUCAAUAUGGAUAUCAUCUUCUUCAUCGACAUUUGCUUGUCCGCUAGAGAUCAAAACAAUGUUCAACUCCUCUACGUCAACAUCAACAAGUCUAUCAUCAUAAACACGAAAAUUUGAAUUUUCUUCCAAUUCAAUCGAAGGAGCAACUCGAUAUGGUUCAACCAACUCACUAACUUGAAAGACUUCAUCCUGCACACUUGUGUCUUCAUUCUCAUCCUGAACAACCUCGACACGACCUCGUGGUUUCGUUUUUUAAAUGGACAACCAAUCAACUCUUGAUCGAUCCUUUCUAAAUAAAGGGGUGUAUGUGUAAUAAACUUGUUGACAUUGCUUUGCGAAAACAAAAUACCCAUUGUAGCAUUUAACUUUUCUUUCAGCCCGAGGCUUAGUGAAGACAAUGACUUAGGCGCACUCCUUUCCAUUUGAUAAACCUUGUAUAUAUGUAAUGUACAUCAAUAAACAGUAAAUGAACGAGAAUCUCGUAAUGACAUGCAUACAUACAGUAAUUUUGCAGUUAGAAUGAGUCAGCUGUGAGUUAUUGGAGAGCAAAUAUUGUCGAUGCUACCUUCAAGUGAUAAUGAGUGUAUGAUAUUACAAUAUAUAAUUAACAGUAUAUUACUGACAAAGUUUAAUUAGUAUUACACAUAUAUACACUUACUGAAUAAAAGGUCUCAGCUCAUCACAGUUAAAUAGAACAUAGUUGUGUGCUUGUUUGAAUUCUAUUUCCAACAAAUAUCUUCCUCUUACGGUAUUUUUAGGUGUGGGUCGUCCAGUAUUGGAGAAUAUUGACAAGUUCCCACUAGAAGGCACUUCACCGCCAUCAUCAUGCCGUGGAAUGCGAUUGAUUCUUGUUCUCAGAUGAGGUUUGAAAUAGUACAAGAUAAAUGUUGAGAUCUCCUCAACAAUAUAGGCCUCACAUGUCGAAGCCUCAACAUGCGCCUUGUUCUUAACCUUUUUCUUGAGAUUAAACAAGUACCUGCAUUGAAUUACAAUUCAAGUAUUUUCAAUUAAGAAAAACAUAGAAAAUACUUUUAUAUAUGAAUCACAUUGCAACUGUAAUAUCUAACCAUUCAAAUGGGUACAUCCAUCUAUACUGGACCAGUCCUCCAGCUUUUGCCUCGAACAGUAGAUGUAUAGGGAGAUGCUCCAUUGAGUCAAAAAGUGAUUGAGGGAAUAUCAUCUCAAGUUUGCAUAGUGUCUCAAUGAUAUUUGUUUGAAGCCUCUCAAUGUGCUCAACAUUCAACUUGCUGGAGCAUAUAUCUCUGAAGAAAUGACUCAUCUCCGUCAGUGCAUCCCAUAUUCCCUUUGGCAACAAAUCACGAAAAGCUAAUGGGAUGAGUGUUUGCAUAAACACGUGGCAGUCAUGACUCUUCAUUCCAUACAAUUUGCAGUCCUCUAUAUUAACCGGCCUUGAUAUGUUCGAUACAUGUCCAUCCGGAAACGCAGACUCUUAAGCCAUUUAUAAACUAGCAGUUGUGUGUUUUUCUCUAACACGAAGCUUGCCCUUGGUUUUGCGACCCGUGACUCAUCAUAAACCAACUCCAUAUUUUUACGGUUAUAGUAAAAAGCUAUAUCCAAUCUAGCCUUGAUGUUGUCCUUUGUCUUCCCCUUCACAUCCAUGAUGGUGUAGAAAAUGUUCUCAAACACGCUCUUUUCGAUGUGCAUGACGUCAAGGUUAUGACGGAGCAUAUUGGUCUUCCAAUAAGAAAGCUCCCAAAAGAUACUUCGCUUGACCCAAUUAUGGGUCAAACCAAAACCAGGAAACUUUUGCUUACCUGAUUGAAUGCCAAACACAAUGUCACAGUACUCUGAUACAACAUGAUGCAAUUAUUCACCAGAAAGAUGCGGGGAUGCAACAUCUUUUUCAACUCUGCCAACAAAUCUUUUAUGUUCUUUCUGUACCUGUGAUUAAGUGGCAAGAAGCAACGGUGACAGUAAAAAGAAGAAGCUUUACCUCCAUUUGCUAACGUGAAUGCCUUGUUGUUUUCCAUGCAGUAUGGACAUGCGAGUUUCCCAUGUGUGCUCCAACCAGAAAGCAUUCCAUAAGCUGGAAAAUCAUUGAUAGUCCACAUCAAAGCCACCCUCAUAAAGAAAUUUUGUUUUCUCGAUAUAUCAUAAGUCAUAACUCCGGAGGACCACAACUGCACCAACUCAUCAAUCAACGGUCGAAGACAAACAUCUAUAUUUCGCCCCGGGCUACUUGGACUGGGUAUGAUAGUAGAUAAAAACAUGAACUCCGGCCUCAUACACAUUCCCGGUGGCAAGUUAUAAACUGUGAGUAUGACCGGCCAACAAGAAUAGGGAGCAGCAAACGAUCUAAAUGGGUUGAAUCCAUCUGUACACGACCCAAGACGCACAUUCCUUGAUUCACCUGAAAAGUCAGUAUGCACACUGUUAAAGCAUUUCCACGCUUCACCGUCAGAAGGAUGCACCAUCACACCAUCAACCGCAUCAUGUGCUUGGUGUCAUGUCAUGUGCUCAGCAGUCCUUGGUGACAUGAAUAACCUCUGUAGUCUAGGUGUGAUCGGGAAGUAUCUAUGUUUUUUAUAUGCCACUAGAGUCUUUCCCAUGCCAGUUUUGGGUUUGUAACGGGAAUGCCCGCAUGUCAUACAUGUCGCACGUGUACGAUGGUGUGGCGAUCGUCCAUCCCCAACCCUUCAUGAGGGUGUAGUAUGUUGUCUAUUUGGCAUGGAAAAUAUGGUGAGACAAGGAGUUCUUUGUCUCUAAGCUAAAAAAUGGACAGGGAGUCGCCACCUAGUAUUCUGGUUACUAGGAACCUUAACUGGUCUUUAGAGAUCGGGUACAGAGACUGGUUGCGUAAAGGGAAGGUAUUAGCACCCCAACUACGCCCUACCUAAGAAUUAAAUAUCCAGAAUAUGCAUUACGUGUAAAGUCAUACCCCGGAUACUAAGAGACAAACAAAAUAAAAUUUUUGUUGUUUUUGAAAUAUUGGCCAAUAUUCUCUUGACUUUAAUAAACUGGUUAUUAAAGCCAAAAUGCAUGCUAAAACAUUUUUUUUUUGGUGUUUGAAAAAAUACAAUAUGAAUUUUUAGCUUUGAGACACUUGGCCGUAUGCACAAAAACAUUUCUUUUCUCUUUUUUUAAUUUUUUUGUAUUUUAUGGAAGUUUUUGAUGGAAACCGGGUAUUUGAAAAUCAGAUUUUUGUAUUUUUAACAACAUAAAAAAAAUACCACCAAAUAUUAAUCAAAAUGACAUAAAAAUUACGCGGAAAAAUUAUAAAAUGCUGAAACACAUAUUUUUGAUUUUUUUCUUUGAAAUGGGCCGGAUUAGGCCCAAAUAUAUGGGCUGGGCCGAACCUGGCCCAAAGAAUGGGCUGGUUACUAUGCACCUAGUAACCGGGUUACUGUGUGUACAGUAACCAGAGAAUUAAUCUGUGGGUUACUGUGCACAUGCACAGUAACCGUGAAUUAAUUAGGGAGUUACUGUGCACAGCACAGUAACUCGCUAAUUAAUCUUCAUCUGCUGCAGAACGUAAACGUUCUGCAUGCAGAUGAAGCUGAACCAAAAAAAAAAAAACGACGGGAAAGGCUACCUGGAGCGGUGGUGAUGUUGGCAGCAACUGAUGUGGCAGGGGUGGCGGCGGCGGAACUGGCUGUUCGCGGUGGCCGGCUGUGCUGUUUUCCUCUCUCUCUCUCCUCUGUUUUACUCUCUUCUCUGCUUCUUCUUCUUCUUCUUUUAUUUCGUUCUCUCUCCCUUCUCUUCUGCUUUCUUCUCUCUGUCUCUCCCUUCUCUUCUCUUCCCCCUCUCUUUCGUCUCCUCCUGUUCCUCCUCUAUUUAUAGAGCCCGUGAGCAUGUUUUUUCAUUGUGGAGCCAAGGAACGGGUCAUGCGGCGGCUGGUCGGGCGCGACUAUCCAGGCGUGCCUCCCUCGGUUUCGGUCGGUGGGCUAGAGGGACCGGCGGUCGGUGGGCUUGAGGGACCGAUGUCAUUAAAUAUGCAUUCUUUUUCCUUCUUUCCUGCUGUAUGCUCGGUGGGGAAGAAAGGGGAACAUUGCCGUUCAAAAAUGGGGACCCAAAAAUGGGUUACAACAGUUGCCCCCCUCUUUACAAUGCUUACGGAGCAAAGAUUUGUGCAUAGUAAGUGUUGUAAAGAAAAAAUAACAUUGGUCUUCCGAAACUAGUCGUCUCAAAAUUUGAUUGACCUAAAACUUCAACCGGACCCAAAGUCCUGUGUAUGGUUGGGCUAAACUGAGAUUCCUUUCGCCAAUCCCCUUUAACCCGAAAAAAAAGAAAGAAUGUGAAGUGUGGUCUCAUUGUAAUGGGUGACCUACCCAGAUAUAAAACAUGGAGAAUUGGUCGCAUUGUAAUGGGUGACCUACCCAGAAAAAUGUUGGCGAGGGCUCAAAGGCGCACUCAAAAGGAGGUAGGGUUACAAAACGCUCUACCUGAAUGGUGGUGGCUCAAAGGCACACUUGGAAUGAGUUGAGGGCUCAAAGGCACACUUAAAAGGAGGUAGGGUUAGAAAACGCACUACCGAAGGGAUGAGGGUUCAAAGGCGCACUCAAAAUGGAGGUGAGGGCUCAAAGGCGCACUCAAAAUGGAGGUGAGGGCUCAAAGGCACACUCAAAAUGGAGGUAAGGGCUCAAAGGCACACUCAAAAGGAGGUAGGGUUAGAAAACGCACUACAAAGGGAUGAGGGCUCAAAGGCGCACUCAAAAUGGAGGUGAGGGCUCAAAGGCGCACUCAAAAGGAGGUAGGGUUAGAAAACGCACUACCAAGGGAUGAGGGCUCAAAGGCGCACUCAAAAUGGAGGUGAGGGCUCAAAGGCGCACUCAAAAGGAGGUAGGGUUAGAAAACGCACUACCAAGGGAUGAGGGCUCAAAGGCGCACUCAAAAUGGAGGUGAGGGCUCAAAGGCGCACUCAAAAUGUAGGUGAGGGCUCAAAGGCGCACUCAAACGGAGGUAGGGUUAUAAAACGCACUACCUAAAAGAUGAUGUUGAAACAAUGAUUGUCAAUGUUGAAAAGCAAAUGCAUUAUGAUUGAUAUGCAUGUAUACUUACCUGAGAAAUAUAGGCCCCCAUUUCUUCAUGGUGUCUUUCUUUUCUCUCAAAAGUUGUAGUAUUGGUAGUAAACUUCGAUGGCUUUUCCACUUUUGCUUACUCGGGUUACAUCUUGUGAUCUUGACCUCUGGGAAGGGUUUGAUGUCAUCAUACAUCUUUGUCCUUCACCCAUUAUCUCAAGAGUUACCAAUUUUGCCCGACAUUUUCCUUAGAACAGGAAUCAUGGAGCCAGCCCUACCAUGUGUUUUUGAUUGCCCCCCAGCUUGAUCAUGCCCCCCAAGUGUUCAACUUGGGUUUAGUUUGGGGUGAGGAUAUGUGAAAAUGGGUUUUUUGGUACAAUGAAAUGUUUUCAUGCAAAAUGUUUUGGAACAUCCAAGUUAUUCCAAUCACAAAAAUGAUUUUGACAUUGGUUCAAAAUAAACUUGUUCUAAAAAUUCAAGUGAUUCCUAUGGACAGGUUUCUUGAAGUGAUGAAAGCUUUUUGCUUUUGGUUUAAAGAUGAAGUGACAUCUGGUUGGUCACAAAAGGUUUAAAUUUCAAUUUGAGGGUUAUUGAGAACCGAAUUGAUUCAAAGCAUUUAUUUUAUUUGCAUGAAUAAUGAUUUGACCGCACGAGAAAGCACUGCAUACCGAUCCAGAUUGCUUGCCUUUGAUCAGAAAGGGCUUUAUCAGGUAUGUAAUGUAGGCUUUGGCUAUUGGUUACGAAGAAAAUGGAUAUGUUGCAGGCUCAAAAAGUGUUUAAGGGAUUUCAAGACUAGGAUCACUUGUGCUUGUUUCCUGACCUUUUGUCUUUUGGAUUUGUUUUUUUUUUAAAAAUUGUCCUGCCCCCAGUGUCGGGUUUGGGCUUUUCUCUUUGUUUUCUUGUUUUUGUUUGGUUGAGCACAAUCAUAUCAGUUGUUUUUAUGAGAAGCUCAAAUCUUUUAACCAAUCGCUUUUUCUUCACUGUUUCAUUUAGAUGAUAAUGAAAGAAAAACAUUACAUGAUCAAUUCCAGCACCCAUCUUCACUGCUUUGUCUGGAUGGUAAAAACAACAAAACUCUCUUAUUUUGCCCCCCAGUGUGGGGUGUGAUCCUAGUCAAGGUUAUUUCCAAAAAACAUUACUAGGCUCAAAAUGGGACUGCAAAGGAUAUUUUAGCCUUGUGAAAGGAUUAUCAAAGAUGGCCUUUCCUCAUCUCAAACUCAUGCAUUGAGGAUCGAUAGGUCUUGCUUUCAUGCGCGUAUGCAAAGUGAUUUAUUCAGUCAAAUAAAACUCAGCUUUUGAGUCACCUCAUAGUGUUGUUUGUCUUUGUUGUCUUUUUUUCUUUCAAGUUUUCUAGGUAUAUGUGUACCUAUUUAAGGAAUCACUUGAAUUUUCAAAAUGCAUUUGUUUGGACAAAUAUCAACACGAUUUUUGUUUUUGUACUCACUUUGGAGGUCCCAAAAAAAUAUCCUUGAAAACAUAUGAGAUUAAUGUAUGGGUUUGGAAGAAAGGAACACCAAAGGAUUCUUCAUGUUGUAGUGUUGUGAGCAAAGUUGCGCUCAAAAUGUUAUUUACAUGUAAUAACAACAAAGAAGAGUGUGAUGUGAACACAAGAAAACACAUGAUCUUAUUUCACAAGAGAAGCUCAUUAACAGAGAAAGUCUUAUUCAAAAGCAUUAACAAAAGGCAAUAACAAGGCAGGCUUCAUUCCUCUAUUUUGGCGAAUCUGUUCAUAGGCUAACCUCCUCUCAAAAGCUCUGCGUAGAGGACUCAAAGACAAUGCGGAACAACACCACGGUCAAAAAUUCAAGCUAUCAUGCUGGACCAUUGAUGCUUUCCAAUUCCCCAAACAUUCCAUCCUAAUAUGCUUCAAGCAUGAUUAGGCAACGGGUUCGUAUUCACAUUGGGGGCUUCCAACUCUAUCCAACCAGCCUUGAUUAAUUGCAGAAGCUUUCUCUUGAAGGCGUUGCAGGUAUAGAUGUUAUGCCCAGUAAUACCGGCAUGGUAUUCACAUUUGAGUUCUGGCUUGUACCAAUUAGGAUAAGGUGGCUGCAGAGGUGUUAGAGGUUCUGGAGCUAUUUGCCCAAUGCUCAAUAGCUUUUGAUACAUCUCAUUCAGGGGUAAUGGUAGUGGAGGCAGUUGUUCUUGAACCCUUUGAAAAUUUCUAAUUUGGCUUUUGGCUUGAAAGUUUUGGGGUUUAGGUUUUUAGAUGUUGGCAAUUUGGGAUGGAGUAUGGUAAUUUUGGGAUGUAUUAUUUUUACCCAUGUAGCCAUCUUCAAUAUGGUGAACCUCUUUUCUUUCGAAGCCUCUUUUCUCGGUUGGUGCAGAAAUUCUACCACUCUUGACACCUUGCUCUAUGCGUUCACAUACUAUCAUAGCAUCAGUGAAUUGUUGGGUUGAACUACCCAUCAUAUGUUCAUAAUAUGGUGCUUUGAGUGUGUUGGCAAAUAAAGAGACCAUCUCUUUGUCCAGAAGUGGGGGAUGUACUUGAGCAGCUAAUUCUCGCCAUCUUUGAGCAUAUUCCCUUAUGCUUUCUUUAUCCUUUUUCUCUAUAUUGGACAAACUGGUUCUGUCGGGCGCAAUGUCCAUGUUGUAUUUGUAUUGCUUGACGAAAGCAUCCACAAGAUUUUUCCAGUUGCAAAUUUUUGUGUUAUCCAAUCUCAUGUACCAACUCAAAGUUGCCCCACUUAAACUGUCUUGGAAAAAGUGCAUUAGUAGUUUUUCAUCAUGUACUACCUCAGCCAUUUUAUUGCAGUAGGACUUGAGAUGAGUCAUGGGGCAUUGUGUUCCACUGUAUUUGAUGAAUUUAGGAACACGAAAUUUCUUUGGGAUAACCACGUUUGGGACCAAACACAUCUCUGCUGCCCGUACCGGGUCAUAUAAGUCUACCCCUUCAAUGGCUUUGAGUCUGGCUUCCAGCGCCUCUAUCUUAGCUUGAUCAAUGCUAUCAGAUGACUUAGCCUUGUGGGACUCAUUAGCAGAUGCCUUCACAACUGUUGGGGAUGGUGCAGGUGUCGUUGACUGCACAAAUGUUGGAUUUUGCUGAGGUUCUUGACCAUGUUCGCUCAUUCUUUCCUCAGGCUGAACUGAAGUAGGAGCCGGAUCAAAGGUGAUCGGUUGAUUAGAAGGACCUUCAUCAGAGGUAUUUCUUAGUGUUUGCUUGAGUAAGCUUCAAGAAGGGCUUGCUCGGAUGCAAAACAAUGUAUACGGAGCAUACAUCCUAAAGGCAGGUUCUAAUCUUUUUAAGUGAGACAAAAGGUAGGUUUACUAUUUGGUCUCUAAAAAAGGACUCUCGUUGUCCCAGUGAUCGCCCUCGUGGAGGCAAUAUAGGGGCUUGUAGGCAGUGAGAUGGCACGUGUCCAACUAUUACCAGUCUAAGCACUCAACGAAGAGUUGGGGUUUACACAAACUUAAACCUUGACUAAAAGUCAUAAGGUAAGCUGCUAGUUCCCCCCUAACCUGAAGCUUGUGUGUGCUAAAAAAAAUUAACUAUGUGAUGCAUGAGAUAAAUAUGUACAAAAAUUAAAGCGCACAACUAAAUAUGAACAAAUAUAUAAAGAAAAUGCAUAUUUAAAAAUAAACACGCAAACCACAACGAUAAAACACAAUCAUCAGACAAAAACAAAGCUUAGUCCACAAAGUCCCUAGUGGAGUCGCCAUUCUGUCGCACGUGUACAACGGUGCGGCGAUCGUCCACCCCCAACCCUUCAUGAGGGUGUAGUAUGUUGUCUAUUCGGCAUGGAAAAUAUGGUGAGACAAGGAGUUCUUUGUCUCUAAGCUAAAAAAUGGACAGGGAGUCGCCACCUAGUAUUCUGAUUACUAGGAACCUUAACUGGUCUUUAGAGAUCGGGUACGGAGACUGGUUGCGUAAAGGGAAGGUAUUAGCACCCCAACUACGCCCUACCUAAGGUAAGCUGCAUUGUUUUAAUGUCUGAUAAAAUCUAAGGUUGUGUUGUGGUUUUUUAUUGUUCGGAAUACGCAUUACAUGUAAUGUCAUACCCCAGAUUCUAUUGUCCAAAAAAAAAAAAAGAAUUAAAUAUCCAAAAUAUGCAUUACGUGUAAAGUCAUACCCCGGAUACUAAGAGACAAACAAAAUAAAAUUUUUGUUGUUUUUGAAAUAUUGGCCAAUAUUCUCUUGACUUUAAUAAACUGGUUAUUAAAGCCAAAAUGCAUGCUAAAACAUUUUUUUUUUUGUGUAUGAAAAAAUACAAUAUGAAUUUUUAGCUUUGAGACACUUGGCCGUAUGCACAAAAACAUUUCUUUUCUCUUUUUUUAAUUGUUUUGUAUUUUGUGGAAGUUUUUGACGAAAACCGGGUAUUUGAAAAUCAGAUUUUUGUAUUUUUAACAACAUAAAAAAAUACCACCAAAUAUUAAUCAAAAUGACAUAAAAAUUACGCGGAAAAAUUAUAAAAUGCUGAAACAAAUAUUUUUGAUUUUUUUCUUUGAAAUGGGCCGGAUCAGGCCCAAAUAUAUGGGGUGGGCCGAACCUGGCCCAAAGAAUGGGCUGGUUAUUGUGCACGUAGUAACUGGGUUACUGUGUGUACAGUAACCAGAGAAUUAAUCUGCGGGUUACUGUGCACAUGCACAGUAACCGUGAAUUAAUUAGGGAGUUACUGUGCACAGCACAGUAACUCGCUAAUUAAUCUUCAUCUGCUGCAGAACGUAAACGUUCUGCAUGCAGAUGAAGCUGAACCAAAAAAAAAAAAACGACGGGAAAGGCUACCUGGAGCGGUGGUGAUGUUGGCAGCAACUGAUGUGACAGGGGUGGCGGCGGCGGAAUUGGCUGUUCGCGGUGGCCGGCUGUGCUGUUUUCCUCUCUCUCUCUCCUCUGUUUUACUCUCUUCUCUGCUUCUUCUUCUUCUUCUUUUAUUUCGUUCUCUCUCCCUUCUCUUCUGCUUUCUUCUCUCUGUCUCUCCCUUCUCUUCUCUUCCCCCUCUCUUUCGUCUCCUCCUGUUCCUCCUCUAUUUAUAGAGCCCGUGAGCAUGUUUUUUCAUUGUGGAGCCAAGGAACGGGUCAUGCGGCUGCUGGUCGGGCGCGGCUGUCCAGGCGUGCCUCCCUCGGUUUCGGCGGUGCGGUAGGUGGUCGGCCAAUGUCUUCGGUCGGUGGGCUAGAGGGACCGGCGGUUGGUGGGCUUGAGGGACUGGCGUCAUUAAAUAUGCAUUAUUUUUCCUUCUUUCCUGCUGUAUGCUCGGUGGGGAAGAAAGGGGAACAGUGCCGUUCAAAACGGCACCGUUUAGCCUUUCAUUUUUAUUUUUUUUAUAUUUAUUAUUUUUUUAUGGGGACCCAAAAAUGGGUUACAACAAUACACUGGGUCAUCUCAGCAUUUUCAAGGUAGUAUAACAUGCAGAAGUUAGGGCAUAUGUCAAUUUCUGGUAUCCUAAAUCGAGGGGUUUCAUCAUGGACUUCGCAGCAUAGAAGUUCUCUUUCAGCUUGUUCCCUUCAGGUAAAAUGCUUCUCGCCCAUUCAAUAAUUUUGUCAUACCCGGCCUCAAUCAACCCGUGAUCUGACUUGAUGAUGAACACUUGUGCCACGAUCAAUAAUUUACGAUGGUUUGUGCAGCCAUCCCAUAAUGGUUCGUUAUAAUCUUUUAAUAAAUCAAAAAGCCUAGCUGUAUCUACAUUAGGUUCUUCUUCUACGAUUGCACAUUGAAUGACAUUACCUUGAUUCAUUCUCAUUGCAUCCAUAACCAUAUUUCAGUAAGGAUUAGUGUUGUCAUUUGCCGCUUCAUGCACAUUGCUAGCACUAGAAGUUGACCCAACCACCGUUUCUCCCAUUCUCCUCUUACUAACAAAUACUUCUCCAUGUGCAUACCAACACUGGUAAUUCUCCAUAAACCCUUUAUGUAAAAGAUGCACCAUUACAACAUCUGGAUGUAGAUACUUUUUAUUUUGACACUUCCUGCAUGGACACCUAAUACCGCCUACAGUAAAAUUUCUGGGAAUAGAUGUUGCGAAAUUAAUAAAACCCUGAACCUCGUUACAAUAAUCCAUCCUCCGCAAUCCUUGGGGUGAAUCUCGAUACAUCCAUGAACGAUCAUUCAUGACUUAUAUAUAUCGAACCUCUACAAAAUUAUGAUGACAUCAUGUGUUACUUAACUAAGUUAGGUAAAUAAACUUGCAAAAAUAUUACUUUACCUCGAGAUUAUCCAACAAACCAAUCACAACUUAUAAAAAUUAAAUAUUCAUUAUGAUCAUUUAUUUAACGUCCAUACGUACAAAUUAAUAUAUAAAAAUUUACAAAAAUUACCACACCUCAAUACCAUUGCUAAAACUUAAAACGGACCCAUUAAGCAAGCUAUUAAUUAUUUCAAAACAGCACAUGUAAUUCGGUAAUUCCAUAAAGUUUUAACGAUUUACAAACAAAUACAAUCUUACAAAAUCUAAAACAAACCAUAACAGGUAUAAAAUUAUACAUUCAUAUACUACAAGUUUGUUUGAGAAAUAACAAUAAUACAUGUACAUCUACUAACAAAAUACAUAUACUAAAAAAAAAAACAAAAUUGACAUUUAAAUGUUAAAAUUUUUAAACAUAGAAUUACUUACAAAAAUUGAUAAAAUCCUUCGGAAAAUCAAAACACGGAUGCUGUGACCACAAAACUUCAAGAAAUAUAACUUGUUGUGCUGAGAUGAGGGAGAUUUUUGUUUGGGUAUUGGCUAUUUGCAAAUGGGGAGAGUUAGGAUUAGGAAGAAGAAGGAGAAAUAAGGGAGGAGAGGGUCGGCAGCAGGGAAUCAUAUUAACUUUUUUCGAUGGUUUCACCGACAGAAAUAUUCGUCGGCGUUUCUGUUGGAAAAAUAGCCACGUCACAAUACGGAUCAGCCAUUUCAAAUCUGUCGGUAUUUUCAAUGGUGAACCGGUUGCGUCACUGUAUAGGCCUGUCAUUUUGAAUCCAUCGAAAAAAACCUCCCCACCAAAACCUCUUAUGCAACCAUAUUAUUCGAUAGUUUCACUCACAUUUAACUAAUGUUUUGUCCAUGUUUUAUAUGUAAAAUGCCUUGAAAUUCUUUGUUUUAUGUUUUGAAGGCACUUUUGGAUGAAAGAUGCAAAAAGGAGUAAAUUGGAGGUAAUUGGCAGAUUUGACGUUCAGUCGAUAUUUUGUGCAGAGCGUGAGUUCCAGAUAUCGAAAUGAAGUGAUUCCAGUGGCAUUAAAAAGAUAACAUCCAUACCUUUCUGGAAAUGUAAUGCAAGAAAAAUAAAAAGAGAAAGAUCAUGGCAAUCACAUCCUUCAAAGUCAAAUCUCGCAGUCUGCCAAUGUUGACCUUUGCCCAUUCAAAAUUCAAUAUCUGGAGCUUCAGAAGUCCAAUUGAUGCAAACGCAAUUGUUUUAGAUUCCUUACUCAAAUAUCUAUAAACGCUCCAAAUUGCAGCCAAAAAAGAUGUCAUAUGAGGGAGAUAUGAAUUUUAAAAGAUGGCAACUGAAUUCUGCCAGCAAACAGGUUUCGUGAAGAAACAAGUCCAAAUUACGUUUUGAAGCAUCUAAACCGACAUCCAAGUUUUUAUAUCAACAAUUUAACUCCUCUAAGUCAGAUCUUGAAGAUUUCAUGCAAGGCUAUUCUCCUUUUUAGGAAAAAUAGUUAUUGAAGUACUUAAAUGUAAACUACCAACUUAAGGGAGGACUAUUUUGUAAAAUAGAGACUAGGGUUUCUUAGCAUAUAAAAAGAAAGAGAGAAGGAGGCAGCAGCCAACAAAAAAAAAAAGAGGGAGAGCAGAAGGAGGCAGCAGCCAACAGAGAAUAAACACAAAUUCUCUCCUCUACAAACCCAAAAUCAUGCUCUCUUCAUUCUUUAGGAGUAGUUGUUCAAUAGUUGUGCAAGGCUAAGCUCUUGUCUUGGUUGCAAGAACAUAACAAACCUUCGGAUUUCAAGAACCGUGAGAUUUAUUCUUCCUUUUAUUUUUAGUUUAUGUUAUGAAUGAUUAUGAUUGUUUUCCUAUUCAUAUUUUCUAUGAUUGUUGUUGAUGAUUGCUAGAGCGGACUCUAAGUUAUUGUUGUGAACAAUCUAUUGCUAAGUUUAAUAUCAAAACCGUAGUUGUGAUAUACGAACUUGUGAAGCAACUAAGCUUGAUAAUUGUGGCGGAACUACAUUAUUGAACUUAGGGAGAACAUUUAAACAAAGUGACACAAGCUGCGGACAGCUUGUAUGUUCAUCUUGAUGAAAUUAUCUAGUUCUUAAAGCUGCCAUUAAAUUGAAUCAUUAGUGCGGACACUUUGAUUGUUUGUUGGUUAGGAUUAGUUAUACGGCGGAUCCGUUAAUUAAUCAACGUUAAGAAAAGAUAAAAUUUCAAAACAUAAACUGCAAUUUUCGUUUCAAGGAUCAGUUUUUGAAAGAGCCCCGGCAAUGGCGCCAAAAACUUGACACGACCAAAAGCUUGAUGUCUUUUCCCAAGUGCAGGAGUGUCGAAGUAAUAAAUAACCCGGCAAGACGUGUUAAUUGUAUAAAUUAUAAAUAACAAUACAACAACAACAACAACAAUAACAAUAACAAUAACAAUAAUAAUUAUUAUAAUACUCAGUACGUGGCGUUGUUAUACCUGAGAAUGAUCUAAAAGAUUGGGUCACAGGUUUCCAGCCUAUAUACUGAGUUUAUGAAAAGAUCAAAGAUAUAUAUUAUAUAAUAUAAACAGAAUGUAAAUAAUAAUAAUAAUAAUAAUAAUAAUAAAAGCAAAAGAUGAAGAAAUUAAUGAGAACUUUGAGAUGAAAGAUUAACGUAAGGAUUAAACAAUGAUAAAAACACAAAUGUCAAGGUUAGAGGAUCCACUAAUGGUACUUCAAACAAGUAUAGUAUAAACUCUUAUUACUCAAUUGGAAACCACACAUAAAGGAGGUUCCAAUCAGAUUAUAAAUUGUUAACAUGAUUACAUUAGUUAUCUUAUUCGAAUAAAGCUAAUACUUGUAAAUGUUGGCAGGCAUUCAUGAUUAUAACUUAUGUUAACAACAAAUCAAGUUCCUUUCAUAGCUUAGGUGUUGGUUAUACCAUACAGUAUGGGCUAUGAAAGUGCCAAGUAUUUGUUGUACCAAGUGUUAUACAACAUAAAUCUAGAUUAACCAUUUAACAAACAAAGUAUUAAAAGUGAACAAGAUAACAAAUAUAAAACAUGUUAGUAUCCAACAUUAAGGUCCAUGUUAAGUUUAUAUUAUACUUAUUCUUACACCAUUAGUGUACCCUUUUCACCUUGACAUAAUUAACUUAGCUAAACAUAAUGAAAGAAAGAAACAUAAAUGAACAAGAUAAGAACAAGUAAAGGAAAGGAAAUGAAGUGCAUAAACUUGAUAUUGUUGAAAGCAAAACAUAAGCAAUACAAAGAGAGAAAGCAAGAGCAUGAUCUUGAUCUGGAAACCAAGAUGCCUCAAUACAUGGUAAGUGCCUCCUUUUAUAGGCCAAAAUUUGGAACUAUUGAUUUGUUGACUAAUUGAUGAGUGGGUGGCCACAUCUUGACUUGGUGACAAUCCUUAUCUUCUUGUCUGAACAAAACAUCAUUUCUAACAUCAUAAUUUGCCCAUAAUCCUUAGGAAUGUUCUAGGAAAUUGUCUCAGCUUUCCAACAAAAAAAAGAUGAGGUCAUUUGGACUUCUAGAACUCAAGAUAUGGGCUGAACACUAAAUAGUGUCUAGGUUGCAGGACAGCUUCGGACUUCUUCGUUGUUCCUUCAAUUUGGACUUCAAAACGGCCUUUUCAAAUCUUGGGCUCCUGAUGAACGUUGUAGGCCUUUGUCUUACCUUUUAAUCCAUAUAAAAUGGACCUAAAUCCGAGAUCUAGAGCUCCAGAUAUGAUCCAAUUACAGAGCAAUGUUCCAGUUUGGACUGCACCAGCAUCUCUUUUCUAAGUUUGGCCAUCUCUUUGUCCUUUCACUUUCAAUAUUUAAACUCAUCAAUCAAUCUUUUCAUUUAUGUGAUAGACCUGCAUUUAAGAUGAGAAUUUACCAUAAAUUAAGGUAUCCUUAUAGUAUCAAACUUGUUAUUAUAAAACAUGCUUUAGUUAAGGAGUUAUUGAUACUUCAAGUGCAAAAUGAUGAUAUAAAACCUUGAUAAACAUGCACUUUUAAGUACUAAUCACACCCCCCAACCAGCUUAUUACUAGUCCCUAGUAAUCUAAAGCGUUAAAAUAGAGAAACAAUUUGCAAGUUUCACAAAGCAAGGUAUUCAUCAUUCAACUUCCAUUAAUUUAUCCAGAUAGACAAACUCUCAUUAAAUUUAUAUUCCUGCUUCAUACUUCUUAAACAAGAUAUUAAUAAACCUUCUUUUUAUGUGUUUAAUAUAUGAAAACAUAGAUGAUGGGGCUUUUGUUGGAAGAAAACAAUAUUAUGUUCAAAUGUUUAAGGUGAACUUCCUUGGGUUGGGAUUAUUAUUUUUAUUACUUUUUUUUCUUUUUUUUCUUUUUUUUAUAUAUAUACACAUACAACUUAAAACACAAUGUAUCUUUAACCCAUGUAACGAGUUUUAGGCUAAUGACUCUCAGACCAGUUGGUCUUAGGGCAUUAGGUGUUGAGACACCCCUACGAGCUUAACAACUCGGGUUGCAGAUACUGAUACGUAGAUAGUGCAAUGUUUGAUUCCCUUAAGUUUUUCUCCUUAACCCAUGUAACAAGCAUUAGGCCAAUAGCUCCCAAGUCAAUUGACUUUAGGGUAUUAGGUGUUAAAACACCCCUUUGGGCUUAAUUGCUUAGGUUAGGGAGGCUACGAAACCAAACUUAUCUACGUUUUUAUUAUCAUCAAUAUAUAUAUAUAUAUAUAUUGCAAAUUAUAUACUAUCCAUUUUCCUUAGUUGUUACCUUCAACAAAAGAACAUAAAUAAUGUAAUAAUUCAAUGUGCAACCCACAAUCAUAUGUUGAAGUGUGUGUGUGAAAAUGAAGGUUUAAUAAUACUUGUUAAAUGAGUAUAGGAGCAGAACCAAGUGAUAACAAUGCGAGAGUUUGUAAACCUGAAUAUUUCCAGAAGUAUUCUAAUAGGCCUUGUUAUGAAUAUUGCAAAUAACCAUUAAAAUUUUUACUAAGAUGCGUCUCAAGAAUAAUUCCUCUUUACUCUGCCAUCCUAGUAAUAACAGUUUUGCCAAAUGGUUUUUUAAAAACAAAAACAGUUAGUUGGUUAUUUUUUUUUUUUAAACUACUACCCUCUCCCCCCAACCAAAACGAGACAUUGUCCUCAAUGUUCUAAGGUAGAAAGAUAGAGUAUAAAAGACAUCACCUGAAACAACGAACAAUGACAAACCCGAAACACACUUAAACAAGUAUAAGAAGUAACAAAACAAAAUAAUAUGAUAUUAAUAAAACCACAAGACACAAGGUUUCACAGAUGAAGGCUCAAAUCUAAUCUAAGCUUUUUACGGCUUUCCUUAGUUGACCAAUCUAGGCGACUCAUGCAGGGAUCAAUGACAGGGAUGAAAGAUUAUAGUUGGUCAAUCAAUUGUUCAGUAGUAGCAGCAGAGAUGGGUCGGCAGCAGGGAACUAUAGUAAUUUUUUCGAUGGUUUCACCGACGGAAAUAUCCGUCGGUGUAUUUGUCGGCGUUUCUGUCAGAAAAAUAGCCACGUCACAGUACGAAUCAGCCAUUUCAAAUCCGUCGGUGAUUUUGUCGGUAUUUGCAAUGGUGAACCGGUUGCGUCAUUGUAUGGGCCUGUCGUUUUGAAUCCAUCGAAAAAAGCCUCCCCACCAAAACCUCCACGUCAGCGACCAAACUUUUUUUUUUAAUUCGGACCUUUCUGUCUGUAAUUCAGUUGGUAACCACCAACGGACUCUAUCCAUCGGUGGUUACCGACUAAAUUACGGACGGAUAAAUUCCGUAGGUAAUUUCAACCUCAAAUUACUAACAUAAAUAUUUCGUCGGUAAAUCAGUUGCUAUUAAGCGAAUCUCUGGUAAUGCUAUUAGGGUUCUAUGUUUUCUCCAAAAUCUUUUUGAUCUCCCUAUUAGCAAGCUCUACUUGUCCACUUGUCUGAUGGUGAUAAGGGGUGGCAACUUUGUGUGUGAUUCCAUACUUCUUCAUUAAAGACUCAAAUGGUUUAUUGCAGAAAUGUGUUCCACCAUCACUUCUCAUGGCUCGAGGGAUUCCAAAUCGACUCAAAAUAUUUUAUUUCAAGAACUUUAUCACUGUUCUGUGGUCAUUGUUUCGACAUGGAAUUGCCUUUAUCCAUUUUGAAACAUAACCUACUACGACUAAUAUGUACAAGAAACCAAAUGAUGGAGGAAAUGGACCCAUGAAAUCUAUACCCCAAUAGUUAAAGAUCUCAAUGACAAGAAUAGGAUUUAAAGGCAUCAUGUGACGUUUCGAAAUAGAUCCCAACUUUUGACAAUUUUCACAAGUCUUACAGAAUGCAUGUGAGUCUUUGAACAUGGUGGGCCAGUAAAAUCCACUUUGUAAGAUUUUUGCAGUUGUCUUUCUUGAUGAGAAAUGACCCCCACAUGCCUCAGAAUGACAAAAUUUAAUGACACUACUUACCUCAUUGUCAGGAAUGCAUCUUCGAAAUAUUUGAUCAGGACAAUAUUUGAAUAAAUAAGGGUCAUCCCAAUAAAAGUUCUUCACUUCGUUCAAGAACUUUCUUUUGUCUUGGGUACUCCAAUGAGCUGGCAAUUGUCCUGAAACAAGAAAAUUAACAAUAUUAGCAAACCAAGGCAUCGUAGAGACAGAAAAUAAAGAUUCAUCAGGAAAGUAGUCAUCGAUUGGUGUGAUGUCAGAUCUCGAAUCGGUUGUCAAUCUUGACAAAUGAUCCGCGACAACAUUUUCGGUGCCUUUCUUGUCUUUGAUUGUGAUAUCAAAUUCUUGAAGUAACAAAAUCCACCGCACCAAUCUAGCCUUAGAAUCUUUCUUAGAGAGAAGAUAUUUCAAUGCUGCAUGAUCACUAAAAACAAUAACAGGUGAGCCAACAAGAUAAGAUCUGAACUUGUCACAUGCAAAUACUACUGCAAGUAAUUCUUUUUCAGUGGUAGUGUAAUUCAUUUGAGCACUAUUUAAAGUUUUACUUGCAUAGUAAAUCACAUAAGGUUUCUUAUCUUUUCUUUGUCCCAAGACAGCACCCACGGCAUAAUCACUAGCGUCACACAUUAUUUCAAAAGGUAAUGACCAAUCAGGAGGUUGAAUGACAGGAGCAGAAGUAAGCAAGUUUUUAAGUUUAACAAAGGCUUCUUCACAAUGUUCAGUCCAUUCAAAAAUAUUAUCCUUUGUUAGAAGGUUACUCAAGGCUUAGAUAUUACACUAAAAUCUUUGAUGAACCUUCUGUAAAAACCAGCAUGUCCUAAGAAUGAUCUAACAUCUUUAACAGAUUUUGGUGUUGGUAAGUUGGCAAUUAACUCGAUUUUAGAUUUGUCAACCUCAAUUCCUUUCGAUGAAACAAUGUGACCAAGUACAAUGCCGUUUGUUACCAUAAAGUGACAUUUUUCCCAAUUCAGUACAAGAUUCUUCUCUUCACACCUGCUCAAAACCUUUUCUAAGUUAGUCAAACAAUCAUCAAAUGAAUCACCAAAAACAGAAAAAUCAUCCAUAAAAAUUUCAAGAAAACGUUCAACCAUAUCACUAAAUAUGCUAAGCAUGCAUCUUUGAAACGUGGCUGGUGCAUUACAUAAUCCAAAAGGCAUCCUUCGAUAUGCAAAAGUACCAAAUGGACAUGUGAAAGUAGUCUUCUCUUGAUCUUCCAAUGCAAUUUCAAUUUGAUUGUAACCUAAAUAGCCAUCUAAGAAACAAUAAAAUUCAUGACCUGUAACUCUUUCUAGGAUUUGAUCCAUGAAAGGUAAAGGGAAAUGAUCUUUUCUAGUCAUUGAAUUAAGUUUUCUAGUCAAUGCACAUUAAGUUUCCUAUAAUCUUUUCUAGUCCUAGUUGGAAUUAACUCAUUUUUCUCAUUUGUUAUCUCAGUGACUCCAGACUUUUUGGGUACAACUUGGGUAGGACUUACCCAUUUGCUGUCAGAAAUAGGAUAAAUGAUUCCAUUAUCUAGAAGCUUAAUGACUUCAUUUUUCACUACUUCUUUCAUAUUAGGAUUAAGCCUUCGUUGCAUUUCUCUAGAGGGUUUAGCAUUUUCCUCCAAAUAAAUCCUGUGUGUGCAAAUCAAAGGGCUAAUUCCUUUUAUGUCAGCUAUGGUCCAUCCUAAUGCAUUUUUGUGCAUUUUAGAGUCUGUAAUAACUUACCUUCUUGAUGUGCAUUAAGUUUGGAAGAGAUUAUUACCGGAAAAGUUUCAUUUUCUCCCAAAAAUGAGUAUUUGAGAUUAAAUGGUAACGGCUUCAAUCAGGUUUUGGUGGUUGAACACUUGAAGGUAUGGGCUCAAUUGAUCGUGGUGGCAAUUCUUCAAUUUGUGGUCUCCAAUUAUGCCUUUGAUUCUUCCUGAAAGUAACCAUUUGCAAAUCAUCAGAUUCAUCAAUCUCAGUUUCACUAGAAGUGGUUUGAAAUUGAUCAUGAACUAAUUUUUCAAUAAAGUCCACUUCCUGUAAAUCAUUAUCAUCUCCAGGUUGCUUGUAAAUGUUGAAAAUAUUCAUCUCCAAUGUCAUGUUUCCAAAUGAUUCAUUAGUCCAUUCCUACAAUUAAUCAAUGCAUUAGAAGUGGCAAGAAAUGGACGUCCUAAAAUGACAGGAAUUGAAUUACAUGCUUCAACAGGUUGUGUCCAAGACAACAAAAAUCCAAGGAUAAAUGAAUUUAUCAACUUGUACUAACACAUCUUCAACUAUUCCUCUAGGCACUUUUACAGAUUAGAGUAAGAGUUGAUUUUAACUCACCUAGAUUGAGACUUGAAAAACUGAAUAUGGAAGUAAAUUCACACUAGCUCCAAGAUCAAGUAAGGCUCUUUCAAUUUUAUGUUCUCCAAUAAAGCAAGAAAUUGUAGGACAACCAGGGUCUUUAUAUUUCAAAGCAUUAUUGUUCUGAAGAAUGGCACUUACUUGUUCGGCUAAAAAGGCUUUCUUUUUCACAUUCAGUUUUCUCUUCACAGUGCACAGAUCUUUCAAAAAUUUAGCAUAGGAAGGAACCUGUUUAAUAGCAUCCAACAAAGGUAUAUUGAUCCUUACCUGUUUGAAAAUUUCAAAGAUUUCAGAGUUGUGAUUGACUUUCCUUUGUUUGGUCAUGGCAUGAGGAAAUGGAAGUGCUGGCGGAAUCAGCUUUUCUUUGCAAUGUUCAGGUUCAACCCCUUCCUUACCCUCAGAGAUAGACUCAUCAUCUUUCUCACAAGGUUCAAGAAUGGGUUUUUCAAUAACCUUACCACUACGAAGAGUGAUGACUGAUUUGACUUGAUCCAUGUGUUGGCUUCCAGAACUACUUGCAUUUGCAUUGUAUUGCCCCUUUGGAUUUUGCUGUGGUUGAGAAGGAAACUUACCUUUCUCUUGGAAACUGAGAGCAGAUGUUAAUUUUGCAAGAGCAUCUUUAAAAUUUCAUGCUUUGAGCAAGUUGAGUGUUGAUUGUCUCCUGCUUUUCAAUGAAUGCAUGCAAUGUUUCCUCAAGAUUUCUUCUAGGAGGUGGAGCAUAAGGAGGUGCAUAUCCAUGAGAAUUUUGGAAAUUAUGGUGUGCUUGAAACGGUGGUGUGAAGUUUGUGCAUUGUUGCUAUCACUCUUCCAACUAAAUUUGGGUGAUUUCUCCAACCAGGGUUGUAUGUUUGUGAGUAUGGGUUAUGGUUGGGCCUUUGGAAACUGUUUAAAGCAUGGGCUUGUUCAUGGAGGCAUUCCUUGAAAGAAGGCAAAGUUGGACAAUCAUUUGUUGAUGUUCAUUGUUUCACAGAUUUGACACACAAUGUCUUGAACAGAUUUUAAUUGACCACUCUUUUUCAAUUCUAGUGCCUCGACUUUUCUAGCUAAAGAUGCAAACUUGGCUUGGAGGUCAUGAUCUUCCCUAAGGUUGUGCAUACCUCCACUAGAUGUAUGAGGUUGAGUUUUACUUGGUGCCUCAUAAGUACCUGUGGUGUCCCAAUUUUGAGCAUUUUCAGCUAGCAAGUCUAGGUACUCCAUUGCUUCAUUAGGGUCUUUAUCUUCAAAAGUUCCAUUGCACAUCAAUUCAACCAUUUGCCUAUCUCUAGGUGUUAAACCCUUCAUAAAAAUGUGAAACCAAUCUCCAUGUUUCAAAACCAUGAUGAGGGCAAGUAUUAAGCAAAUCUCGAUACCUAUCCCAACAUUGGUAAAAUGUUUCUCCUGGCUUUUGAGUGAAAGUGAUGAUUUGUCUUUUGAAAGAGUUUGUUCUGUGAGAUGGAAAAAACUUCUUUAAAAAUUGUUGUUGCAUUUCAUCCCAAGCACGAAUGGAUCCUGGUCUCAAAUUUUGUAGCCAUGUUUUAGCUUUAUCUUUUAAUGAAAAAGGAAAAAGCUUAAAUCUAAUGGCGUUCAUGCUAUAAUUUGAGUCAUUAUAGGUGUUACAGACCUCCUCAAAUUCCCUUAAAUGCAAGUAUGGAUUUUCUAGGUCUAAGCCAUGAAAAGAAGGUAAAAGUUCAAUAAUUUCUAGCUUAAAAUUAAACUGAGAUGCAUCAGGAGAGAACACUAUGCAUGAGGGUGCACUUGUUCUUGUGGGAUUCAUGUGGUCUCUAAGUGUUCUCACACGGUUAUUCUCAUUAUUCUCACUAUGAAGCGAUUGGUUAUUUUCUUCAGCCAUAUUUUUUGAAAAUGAUGAGGAUACCCAACAAAGUCUACCACUUAAUGUACGUGACCAAACUCUCAUGCAUGUAUAAGAAGAGAAUAAAAGGAAGAAAAGAAAUGAAAAGAAAAUGACACAAAACAAAAGAAACAAAAGUUAGAUAAAAUGUAAAGUGAAAGAGAAAAGAGAAAAUAAAAUAAAUAUUAUAAUUUAUACAAGAAUUUACCUCCCCGAAAACGGCGCCAAAAACUUGACACGACCAAAAGAUUGAUGUCUUCUCCCAAGUGCAGUAGUGUCGAAGUAAUAAAUAACCCGGCAAGACCGGGGUCGAACCACAAAGAGAAGAACUAUAUAAAUUAUAAAUAACAACAACACAACAACAACAACAGCAGCAACAACAAUAGUAGUAGUAGUAGUAGUAAUGAUAAUAGUAAUAGUAAUAGUAAUAGUAAUAGUAAUAAUAAAGAGGACUUUGAGAUGUAAGAUUAAUGUGAGGAUUAAACAAUGAUAAAAAUAAAUGUCAAGGUUAGAGGAUCCACUAAUGGUACUUCAAACAUGUAUAGUAUAAACUCUUAUUACUUAAGUGGAAACCACACACAAAAGAGGUUCCAAUCGGAUUAUAAAUUAUUAACAUGAUUACAUUAAUUAUCUUUUUCGAGUAAUGCUAAUACUUGUAAAUAUUAUCAGGUAUUCAUGGUGAUAACUUAUGUUAACAACAAAUCAAGUUCCUUUCAUAGCACAGGUGUCGGUCAUACCAUACAGUUGGGCUAUGAAAGUGCCAAGUAUUUGUUGUAUGAAGGGUUGUUCAACACAAAUCUAGAUUAACCAUUUAACAAACAAGGUAUUAAGAGUGAGCAAGAUAAUAAAUAUAAAACAUGUUAGUAUCAAGCAUUAAAGUCCAUGUUGAGUUUAUAUUAUACUUAUUCUUACACCAUUAGUGUACUCUUUUCACCUUGACAUGAUAAAAUUAGCUAAUCAUGAUUAAGAAGAAAACAUAAACAAACUAGAUAAGAACAUAGUUAUGAUGAAAAGCAUAAACAAGAGAUUAAUGAGAGCAAAACUUAAACAUUACAAAAAUACAAAGAAAGAGAGCAGGAGCAUGAUCUUGAUCUAACUUAAAAAUACAAACUUAAUUUUUUUGUCUUGUUGUUGCAGCUAAAUGAAAGAAUCAAAUAUUUUUAUCUCCAAGCUUACACCACUGAAUUCUUGACUUCUAAUGCCAGGCAGACUCUUGAGCUCUAUAUAGGAUUUUGAGUUGGGAGGCAAUGGUAUUACUUCUAAUCAGUUUAUCAGCAAUCAAGACCCUGCACUCGUUUUGACGAUCCAUUGAGUCAGCUUCAAGUUCCAGUUCGUUAAUUCUGUUAUUCAUGCUUCCCACAACAGCUUUACUCUACUGCCGACAUCUCUCUUUCAACAUCUUGAAAGCUGGGACCAUUUUUCUUUUACCAGAUUUUGAAAUUGAGAUUGAGCUCCAAAAGCUCUUAAUCAUAAUCCUGAAAUCAGACGCAAGCCACCAACAAUUCAUGAAGCGAAAAGGUUUCAGGCCCCAAUUUGUAGAGUCUAGCAACAGAUGAAUAUUUUGAGAGACCGAAUAAAGUAGAGGAUGGGAAAGCCUGCAACCAAUCCCUCGAUAAAAAUAUUCUAUCAAUGCGGCUCGCCGCAUUACCUCGAGACCAUGUAAACUUUCUCCCAUUUAAGGGGAGCUCCAUAAGAUUACAACCAUCAAUGCAAUUUUUAAAUCUUGUCAUGGAAGAUGUUAUUUUUUAGCCGCCUUUCCUAUCUGAUGGGAAUAAGGUUUCAUUAAAAUCACCCGCAAGACACCAUGGCUUGCUAACACUAUCCCUGAAUGUAACAAGAUAACUCCAAAGCUCAUCCUUCAAGUUCCCAACAUUCGGAGCAUAUACAAAAGAGACUAGGCAAUCUAGAUUGGACCGAGUGAAGGUGCCUUCAAUAUGCAAAAUACAGCCAUUCAUAGCAACAGAAUAGCUAGAGACACAAAAAAGAUCUGGAUUCCAUAUACAUAAUAUCCCCCCUGAAAGGCCUAAUAAGGGAACUGCAUACCAAGCCCUAGGAUGACGACGCCAUAUAGCAUUAAUAGUGAAAUCAUUCAAAUUUUCCAAUUUUGUUUCCAAAAUACCCAGGAUAUCAAGAUUAAAUUUUCUACCAAGAUUCCUCAAACGUCUUUUUUUUUCUCUGCCCCCUAAGCCACACACAUUCCAUACAAUUAUACUACCCAUAGAAGUGAUUAUAGAGACCAUACCUUCAUACUAUUUACAAAAGCAAAUCACGUCUUCUUCCUUAGGAUCCACUCUUCCUGCUCUCGGUCUAGGAAUCCCUGUAGUGUCUAAGUCAUGAGUGUGCUAUCGUCAUGCCCUUGGAGAAUAGCUUUCCCAACUUCCCAGUAAGUAGUGGCUUCAGCCUAGUUAUCAGAAUGUGCAGGCUCAUUUGCUUCAUUACCAGCAUUGGUGUCGGGUCUGUAUCUUGAACUACUUGCCUCAUCCUCACCAAUCGAUUCCUUACCAGCUUUGAUAAUAGCAUUUCUAUUCUUGAUCCCAUUAUCAGAAACUGAGUAUUCAACAAUUACGGUCUCUGAUUGCUUACCGUUGUGAUUUCCCAUUUGACGUGAUUUCCUCCUCUUAAGAGAUUGUGUUUUGCGUGUGAGCUUUUUUGCUUUUUUUUCUAUGAGAUUUCUUGUUUCCUACUUCCAGAGCACAAAGCUCAUAUGGAUCAACAAUAGGAGUGAUGAAGGUUGUAAAAGAUGGCCCAAUGCUUGUUGAGUCAAGAUUGGUUUCCGAGCCUAUGCUUGAAGAUUUCUGCUUUUUCUUACGACCCAUCUUCUUUAGGUGUCCACUAUCAUAAUCUAUAUGCUGAUCCAGCCCAUCCUUAGUAGUAAAGCAAGAAACUUGUUGCACAUCUACCUCUUUGCAUGCAACUGUAUCCACCUCGACAUAUUCGUAAGGUACCAAGGCUAACCAGUUAUCGCCUUCGUACGUACGCUCAUCAGAUAAAACCACAUGUCUGCAAAUUUCAGUAAUUUCUGGGUAGAGGUACAACGGUGAAACUUUAGACGUGGUGAGUGUGCUAGCAAUCUGAGUUUGGGUGCCCAACAAACUGGUGAACUCAGAUUCAAAUUCGGGUCUUUGUUUUGUCUCUAUAUGAGUCGUUUAUGCUCUAUUAGUUUCCUCACAAAAAUCAUCUUCAUUGUCAUCGGAUAACACAGAUGUUGUACACAAUCAUACUUCCAUGGAGUGUUUGACUGUUGUGAGAGAGGGGAUAAACUCACCUUUGAUUUCUUUCAAACUGACCUCAACCUGCACUCCAUCGAGCUGAAGUAACACUUGAUCAUGUAAAGUUUCCAGCUUUGUUGUUCGAAUAAGAACCCUAAUACCUGAUAUGGAACCCAGACUAAUACAGGAAGUGUCGUAUCCUACAAUAUUUCCCCAGCUCUGAAGCAAAAUAUUAAUACAGUUUCUGUUCCACCCUUCCAUUGGCAAACCAAAUAUGGAGAUCCAAGCAAAUUUGUCAUAUGCUCUAGUCCUUGUUUCCCACUGUCUGAGAUUGCUGAAUAGUGAAUGCAGCACAUAUACUUUAUUCCUUUGUUCUUGCACUGAGGCUAACUGAUCCACAUAGGUAAUAAUCACCUGGCUAGCUCCCAAAAAACGAAAGCUCACAGCUUUGUCACUUGAUUUUAAAACCGUUGCCUCUAGUGUUGCUACAUCCAUAUUUGGCAAGAUAAUUCCCACUAAGCUCCUAUGCAACCAUUCAUUAUCCUUGUUGUUAUCUAUUUUUGGGUUCCCAUACAAAAAAUAAGAAAAUACAAAAAAAUAUUCGGAAGGAAUAAAAAAAUAAUAAUAAUAACAGGAGUGAGAAAAGGAUGCUGGAACGCCCAUAAAAUGACUAGGAAUUGGCCGAGGAGGUUCGAAAAUACAAGAAUUUAAAUUUGACGUUAUAUUUUCUACUGAUGAGAGCAUUAUGAACAAAAAAAAUUCAAGUUGAGAAAGAAAAAUAAAAAAUAAGAUGUUUAUAGACUCAAUUAAAUUUUAUUCAAGGUUUAAUUGAAUUUAUGUAGGGUUUAAUUGCAAGAAAAUUGAUUUUUUAAGUCAAUUUAGGCUUUUAUUGGAAGUAAUUAAAGUUAUGGGGUCCAAUUACAAUUUUGAAGAGUUGAUUUGGUCAAAUCAGGGGUUUAAUUGCAUAAUUAUUGAAGUUUGAUGGCCAAUUAAGGACUUAAUUGAAACAAUCCAAAACCAAGGACUAAAUCGGAAAAGGUAAUAAAAUCAAGGGGUCUAAUUAUAAUUUUUCUGGGGGCUUGAUUACAAAAUUGUAGAAAACAUCCAAGGAUCAAAUCAAAAAUAUUCAUUUUGAAAUUUUAAAACGGCGCCGUUUCCUUAAAGAGCACUGUUUAUUGUCUCCUUCAAAGUCGUUUUCAGCAUUAAACCAGAGAUAUGUUUUGCAUCAAAUUGCUCCAAUUAUGGGGCACGUUUUAUGGCUGCUAUCCCGUUGACCGUUACCACUGCAAUGCUUUCGUUGGGCUAUAAAAGCCAGAGGAGGAACCGACACCAGAAAGAAGAGAGAGAAAGAAAAACAGCAGGGGGGGAGAACGUGAUAAAAACAGAGGGGAACGAGACAGGGGGGAAGAAAACUAGAGGGACAACGGACAGAACAGAAAAAACAGAGAGAAAGGGGGGGGAAGAGGAGAAAAACAACGAGACAAAAAGGAACUGAGAAAGUAGAAGACGAGAAAGAUAUUAAAACAGGGAAGAGCUUGUUUUAAAACAGGGGAAGAACCGCUGCAAUUCUCCAUCACAACUGCACCAGCACUGCACAACAGAAAGGAGGCAGACGAGACAGAGAAAAGAAAGAAAGAAAGAAAGAAAGAACAAAAGGAGGGAAGACAACGAGACAGGGAGGGGACGAUAGAGAGAGGAGAGCAGAACAGAGGAGGAAAGACGAGAGCAGAACAUAGGAAAAAAAUAAAGAGGAUAGGGGAGAAGAACGCAGAUAGCAGAAGAAGAAGCCUGCAUCACCAUCGUGUUAAUCUCUCCAGUACCAGGUAUGUUCAAUUCCUUCCACCGUCCCUGUAAUAAAAACUUCGCCUGUGUCUUAAGCAUUUUUUUGUAAGAAGAAGGGUGAACAGUCGCACUGUUCCGCGUGCAUGGACUAACCAGGUCACUGGCCCAGGCUGGGUGGCUGGGUCCAGCCCAGCCACAUGGGCCGGGUUGGGGCCAGUCCAAAAAAUAAAAAAAAUUAAAACAAUUCUUUUCAAAAAUCUGUGAUUUUUCGCAAAUAUUUUAUUGCAUUUUGAUCAAUAUUGGUUUGUAUUUUUAUACUAUAAAGAUACAAAUCCAGUAUUAAAUACAUGGUUUUUAUAAAAACAAAUAAUAAAAUAAAAAAUAAUAAAAUCAAAUAAAAUGUUUUGUUUUCAUGCAUACGGCCAAGUCUCUCUAAUAUAUAUAUAUAUAUAUAUAUAUAUAUAUAUAUAAUAAAAAAAUCAUAUUAUAUCUUCAUAUAUAAAAAAAAGUUUUAGCAUGCAUUUUGGCUUUAAUAACCAGUUUAUUAAAGUCUCGAGAACUGGCCAAUAUUUCAAAAAUUCCAAAAAAAUUAUUUUGUUUUUUUCUUUUAAUAUCUAGGAUUACGACCUUAUACGUAAGACGUAUUUCAAAUAUUAAAUUAUUUGUUGACGUUAGAACGGUUAGGUUUUUCCUAAUAAGAUAAAGAUUUCUUUACCGAAGAGAACUUUUUCUUAAACACAACAAAACUUUAAAUUUUAUCAGACAAUAAAACAAUGCAGCUUACCUUAGGUAGGGCGUAUUUGGGGUGCUAAUACCUUCCCAUUGCGCAACCAGUCCCCAUACCCGAUCUCUAAGACCAGUUAGGGUUCCUAGUGGCCAAAAUACUAGGUGGCGACUCCCAUUCCAAUUUUUCAUUGAUAAGAGACAAGAAUUCCUUGUCUCCUAAUAUUUUCCAGAUCGAUAGAAGAUAAUACAAAAAUUUAAAGGGUGGAUGUUCUCGCCACGACGCCGCACACGUGCGACAAUCCUCAUCUGUGGAGUUGUAUUGUAUCAUUCUCGUCGUCUUUGUGACCAUUUGUUGUGGUUUGGAUGUGAGUACCUCAGCAAAGGAUUUGUUAUGUGAAGCCUGAGAAUAAAGUAUACAAAAAAAGGGGGGGAGUUUAUAAUAAUUUAAAAGUGUUGUUAUAUAUAUAUAUAUAUAUAGAAGGGGCUAAAAUAAGAAAAAGGGAGAAAGAUGGGACCAAAAUGAAUUAAGAAGAGAUGGGACUAUAAAUACCCAUCUCUUCUCUCAUUCAUGACCGGGGAGGUAACAAAAAGAAAAAAGGAGGGAAAUUUUUCAGAUUUUCCUUCACCAAGCCUAGGAGAAGACACCUAAAUUUCUAUACCAACACAAACCUUAGAAUUUCUACAUGGGAAGACAAACUUGGGCAGGAGAUUUGCAAGAAGAAAAGUGACAUAAUUUCUAAGAGAAGAGGGGGUGGGAGGCUGGCUGCCUGUAGAGAAGAAAGGGGUUAUGAAACUUUAAUCAAAUCAGAAAUCAAACCUAAAUUUUCCUCCAGGUAUGAAGUUCUAAACCAAUUGGGAAAGAUAAAUUAAAUUCAUGCAAGAAUUGUGCAUUAAUUUGAAGUUUGAAAGAUUAGGGUCCUUGAGUAAAAUUUGGGGAAAUGUGGAAUUGAUUGGAAUUAAAUGAGUUGAGCAGCAUAGGUUGCCUAAAAAGGAUAGAAUUAUGCAAAGAAGAUUUCAACAAAAUCAAAGAUUAUGGGGGAAAUAAUGGCCGACCAUGGGAUUGUAAGAAAAGAAAGGAAAUUUUGAUAAUUUGCAUUGUUUUCCUUAUUGCAAAAAUUAAAACAGGUUUCAGGAGGUGAAUAAUAAGGAAAUGUGGUGAUUGAGUGUGUGUGUGUGUGUAAAAAAACAACAGAGAGAAGGAAUUGAUUUAAGGACCGAUCACUGGAGGGGAAGGAAAAACAAAACAGGGGAGGUGAACAUAUGACUCCCCUGUUAAUUAAUUAAGUGUGCUGAUGUAGUGUAGUUACAAAUUGUAACUUAUAAGGGAGAGGAACCUACGUUCCAGGUAAGGAAAACAUGGCUGAAAUUGAUGGGAAGUAGGAUUGGAGAUAAAAAUUAUAGGCACCUUCUCUAUUGACAAAAGAGGGCAGGUUCAUUUCCCUGGUUCUUGAGGGAAUCUGGACCUGAAGAUGAUAGAAUUUAGGGAGGGUCCAUCAUAGAAGUUGUAGCUGGGAGUGUUAGCUUUUCAACGAGUCCGACCCCGCCUAAUUUGGAGUCCUGGAACUCCGGAUACAAAUGAAAAUCUGAGGAGAGGUCAAGCUGCCACCUCGGUUGGCAGUUUCGGCAAAGUCGAUAAAAUGGCAAAAUUUAGCCGUAUUAAGGGUAAAAUUUGUUUUCUCUCCCUUCAUAAAGUGUCUUAAUCUUAAAAAAAAGAAGAAGAAGAAGAAGAAUAAAACUGUGAUCAAAAUUGAAUUUAUGAUGUCCACACAUGUUGUAACCCAUUUUCAGGGUCCCCACAUAAAAAAUAAUAAAAUACAAAAAAAUAUAUUAUCAAAAAAAUCUAACAGUGAAAAAAUGCCAGAGCGUCCUAAAAAUGCUCAAAAAUUGAUUAAGGAUGAUCAAAAAUAUAAAAAUUAAAAUUUGACAGUAUAUCAUUAACUGAUGAGAGCCCCGAUGAUAAAGAAAAUUCAAUUUUAUUAAAGGUUUAAUUGAAUUUUUGGAGAGUUUAAUUGCAAGAAAAAUUGAUUUUUGAGUUAAUUUGGGCUUUAAUUGGAAGAAAUUAAUUUUCUGGGGUCAAAUUAUAAUUUUUGAAAGUUAAAUUGGUCAAAUCAGGGGCUUAAUUGCAUAAAUAUUGAAGUUUAAUAGCCAAUUAAGGACUUAAUUGAAGAAAUCCGAGACCAGGGACCAAACACUGCAAAACGCGCGCAAAUUGAGGGUCUGAUUUGAAUCUAGCACGUUUUGGCGCCUUUUCCUUUUAAAUGAAACGGCGCAUUUUGACCAAAACGGCGUCGUUUCAUACACUGUUUAUUAAAAAAAAAAAAAGGAAAACUCAAAACGGUGCUGUUUUGGAACGGCACCAUUGUCUUCUUCCCUGCGCACGCAGAGAACAAGGGAGAAGAAGAUUUUUUCUUCUACACUUUUCGCCUAAUUUCUUUCCCAGUUUUUGCGCAAUAAGACGCCUACCAUUCGAUGCCCACUUGCCUCCUUUUUAUCCAUUGAACGGAUAGUGGAGGGGCGGCCAACAGUGGCCGCCCCACCAUUCGCCCUCCCCCCUAUUUUUGCCUAUAAAAACAGGGGAAGGGGACCGAAGUGAGAAGAAGAAAAAAAGACCGAGGAAGAGAGAAGAGGGAGACGAACCGAGAGAGGAAAGAAGGCAGAGAAAAGAGGAAGAAGCAGAGAAGAAAACGAAAAAAAAAACACAGAGGAGAGAGAGAGAAGGAAAACCGCCGGCCACCGUGCCCCCACCAUCGCCACCGUGCCUCCGCCGCCAGCAACACCGCCUCGACGCCACCGCAGGUAACCUCUCGUUGCCCCGUCUCCUUCUCCUUUUGCAGCUCCUUUUUUUUUUCAUGCAGAACGUGAAUUAAUUCACGUUCUGCAGCAGUUGAAGGAGGUUGGUUACUAUGCUUAGGCACAGUAACCAGCCCAUUUGGUAAUGGGCCGGGUUGGCCCAGCCCACUGAUAUGGGCCGGGUCCGGCCCAUUUCAUUUUAUUAUUAUUAUUAUUAUUAUUAUUAUUUUUACAAAUUUUCCAGCACAUUUUUUUACAAUUUUGCUUAAUAUCGGUCUGUAUUUUACAUCGUAAAAAUAUAAAUAUGGUAUUAAAAUACCCGGUUUUCGUCAUGGCACUGUUCAACAUUCAGAAAGAAAAAAAUCAAAAAUAAUUGUUUCAGCAUUUUAUAAUUUUUCCGCGUAGUUUUUUAUGUCAUUUUGAUUAAUAUCGGACAGUAUUUUUACAUCGUAAAAAUAUAAAUCCGGUAUUAAAAUUCCAAAAAUACAAAAAAAAUAAAAAAAAAGAUAAAAAAAUGUUUUUGUGCAUACGGCCAAGUGUCUCAAAUCAAAAAAAUCAUAUCGUAUUUUUCAUAUGUCAAAAAACAAUAUUUUAGCAUGCAUUUUGGCUUUAAUAACCAGUUUAUUAAAGUAAAGAGAACAUUGGCCAAAAUCUCAAAAACAACAAAAAUAUUAUUUUGUUUGAUUUUAGUAUCAGGGAUUAUGAAUUUAUACGUAAAUCGUAUUCCUGAUAUUAAAAAAAAUAUAUAUAUAUUUUCUUUUGACGACUUUGAAUAGUUAGUUUUUUACCAGAUAAAGAUAAGGAUCUCCUUACAGAGGAGGUCUUUUCUUAAACCGUAAACGAACCAAUAAUUAAAAAACCACAACACAACACGAUUUUAGAUUUUUAUCAGACAUUAAAACAAUGCAGUCUACCUUAGGUAGGGCGUAGUUGAGGUGCUAAUACCUUCCCUUUACGCAACCAGUCUCCGUACUCGAUCUCUAAAGACCAGUUAAGGUUCCUAGUAACCAGAAUACUAGGUGGCGACUCCCAGUCCAUAUUUUCACUUGUAGAGACAAGAAUUCCUUGUCUCUCCUUAUUUGCCAGGAAUAAAUAUUUCGAUUUUCCCUUGAGGGUGGACGAUCGCCGCGCCGCCGCACACUUGCGACAACACAAAUGGGUUGAAAAUGUAAAAGGAUAAUAAUGAGGAAUGAAAGUGAGAAAGAAAAGAUUGAUAAAAGAGAAAUGAAUAUUAUUGCCAUUUUUGCUGUUGUGCUGUGAUAUGUGGACUAAUAUGGAAUAAUGAUGGGUGUUUGUGGUUUCAGGAGGAACCGCGGGAGGAGUAAAACAACAACAGGGAAACGCAAGUUGAGGGUCUACAGCAGGUAGUUACUCGGUACCUAUAUCUCCUCUUGCUAAUAAUUGUUUUAGCUAAUUAUUGAACUAUAUAUAUAUAUAAAGACUUGGUGCAUAUGGAUAAGGAAAAGAAAAAGGGGGAAAGGAAAGGCUAAAUGACGGGAAAAUAGAAAUGGAGGAGUAAAUUUAAUUUUAUGGUUCCUUUUGGAGGAAAUGAACUGUGACAACAAAUUUCGAUUGUUUCUCUUUUGGAGGAAAUGAUUGUUUCUCAAAAUUGAUUAGCAUGUCCCUGAUAUGGGAGGCUAAUGAUGUGUAGCCAAGCUGGUUAACAUCGGCAUUACUGGUACGUGGGGGGAGAAAUAUGAAACUUGAUUAACUAUUCGGGUUCAGAAUAGUUAAUGAUAUCGGCGGGUGACGUCGAUAUCAGCAAAAUUUAUAGACUUGAUUAACUAUUUGGGUUCAGAAUAGUUAAUGAUAUCGGCGGGUGAUGUCGAUAUCGAAAAAAUUUAUAGACUUGAUUAACUAUUCAGAUUUAGAAUAGUUAAUGAUAUCGGCGGGUGUCGUCGAUAUCGGCAAAACUUAUAGACUUGAUUAGCUUUUCGAGGUGAAAGGUAAUGAUGUCAAGAAUCCUUGACAUCGGCAUACCUGAGGACCUCCUUAGGUAGCAAAGAACAGUGAUUAAUUAUUUCGGUCCAAAAAUAUUUAAUGACACCAACUAUCAUGUUAGUGUCGGCAUUUCAUGAAUCUGAUUAGUUGACCACAGGAUGGACAACUAAAGACACUAAUGGAGGUCGUUAGUGUCGAUAUAGUCUUCCUAAGGUGGGGAGAAGUAGUUAAAGGAAAUAAACUGGAUAAUCCUCAAAAGGGAUGGUGGUGGUGUAUUGAAAUUGCAUAUGACUUAAGUAGGUAGAUGUGCUAUAUAAUUUUCUUCCGUGAAUUGUUUGUAUUUUAGUUAUUUUUAAUUUUAUGGAAAAUUUGUGUUUUGCAGGUCCCUCCCAUUCACGUCAGGAGUAGAAUUUAGGUUACUUAUCCCUUUUGUACAAGUUAGGAACUUAAGGAUCUUUCAUGUAAUUUUGUUACGCAGCAAACAUGUAACCUGAAUUGAAUAGUAUGCUCCUUAUAUUAUUUUGUUUUUGGAAUAUUAAUGUAUUAAUCUAUACUUGGAGGAAAAAAAAUUAUAGCGUAAUAGCUUAUGUUCAGAACGCUAAACUGUGUUGUGAUUAUAUAUUAAAUUUUAGUGCUUGGAUGGUCCUCUUAAUUACUAAUUUAUGCAUGUGAUAUGAGAUGGAGAUUGAGAAUGAAGAAUUGUCCUAAAUAUAUUCUCAAAUGAAUAAAAUGAUUGAAUGUACCAAUCAUGGAUGUGAUUAUGGGUGGGAUGUGAUUAUAAUUGUGUGCAGGAUAAAUUAUCGAUAACUUGGGAUCUCCUGGUAUAGGGGAGACUCUGCCGAAAUUUCUAAAUUUCGGUGAAUUUAAAAAAAAACUUUUGUUGACCACGCGUAUGCAAUGUUAGGAUUUUUUAGGUUUUUCUUGAAAAUUUAGGGGGCGAGAGAAAAGGCGAAGAAAAAGAAAAAUGACAACUAGAGCUAUACCAUGGACUCACCGAUGAAUUGUGCUGCCCUAGGAGAGAGAACCUCGUCAUGAUGAUUCCAAUGCUGCCUAUGAAAGUCGCGAACGGAUACUAGAGGAAGCAUCAUGCACCAUGUUGUGUCAUCAGACUCAUCACCUCAACCAUGAAAUUAUGUUUCUCAAUUAUAUUCCUAAUCAACCAAUUUUUAUUUGAUUUAGUAACUAAUUUUUUCAUAAUGUUUUUUAAAUUUUAGUCCCUAAUUCUUAGAUGUUUCUUCAAUUUAGACCAUAUUUUAUCUUACCGAGAAUAAUUAAGACCUGACAAAGGAGGAAAGAUAAGAAGAUAAAUGAAUGUGAUCAAUUGUCAUAUCAAAUUAUAAAUUUAAAAUGUUAAUUUGAAUUAACUGAGAUUAAUCUAAUACAGUGUUUUCUCUUUGUUUUAAUUCGUAAUCUUUUUUUUUUAUUAAACUUUAUUCUUUGGGGGUAUAUUUUUUCCCAAUUUUGUCUUAUCAUGUUAGGCAAACGUUAGAACAAUAACAAACUAAAAUUAUUUUGAGAGCCGAUUUGAGUUUUGAAUGGAGCGAUCUGGUCGCAUUUAAGCUAGCUCAAUGAAAUAGACCAUGCUGAGUAAACUCUAACAUAGUUGGAGUUGAAACCUGGACCAUGCAAGAGAUCAUGACAAUGUGCGAACCUGAAUAAAUAAAAAGCAUAUGAAAUAUGUGAAUUCUUGGUUUAGUUUUUUUUUUAAUAAAAUAUUGAUAUAUAAUUAAAUAAAAAAUGCUAAAUAGCAUGAUGAGUAGUGAUUUUUUUUAAUUUUCAGUCUUCAUUUAUAACUAAUAAUUUUUUAUUUAUUUAUUAAUACAGAUUAAUUUUGUUAAACAGAUAAAGCUUUAGUUAAGCAUUUGAGAUUUUUUAUUGCAACAAAAAAAUUAAAAGUUUCCCCGUGUUUGUUUUACGUUAUCCAGGCCGCAAGAAAUUGAUAACUACUAAUAAAGAGGAGACUGGCCUACCUUAUCCUAGUUGUAUAAUCUGUCUUCGAAUUUUGACCUAAUGUAACACAUAAUUUUCAUUAAAAGCCUAACUUAAUUGGUUCAGCUUGUGUUUGAUAAGAACUCUCAAGGCCGUUGGAUAAGACCACUCCACUAAUAGCACACAACAUGAGAAAUUAACCAUGUAAUUUCCCAUAAUCAAAGAGAAAUCCAGCUCCUUUAAUUUCUUCUCUAUAAAUACCUCCAUAAUUCUCUAUCCUUCUCCAUGCAAAUCAUUUAUAUCUAUAACACUCUCCUAAAUCAAUACUCACAUUAUAAAACAGGACGUGAACGCAGAUUUCUUUUUAAUAUUAACUCGGCUGUGUACUCGGUUAAGAGCCAUCAACGCAGAUUUCUAUUAUACUGCAUCAGAUUAUCAGAUUUAUGGCUCUCAUCUGAUGGUCUUGUGAUUUGGAUCAAUGUCAAAAACAAUAGACCCCCCUUAUUCUGGAAGCCACCUGAUGUUCUUACAUUAAAAUGGAAUGUUGAUGGUUCUUCAAAAGGAAAACAGGGCCUGCAGGUAGAGGAGGGGUAUUAAGGGAUCAUAGGGGGAUUGUUAGAGGUAUCUUCUCUUAUUCAGUGGGCAACAAGGACUCCAAUAAAGCUGAGCUGCUAGCAGUGGUUAAAGCCAUUGAUCUGUCUUCAUCAAAGAAUGAUUUUGUUGGGCUCAAUUUCUUGGUGGAAUCUGACUCUGCUUCAGUGGUCAGUUGGAUGAACAAUCCCUGUUCUAGACCUUGGAAGUUCCAUGAGCUUUUUGUUAAAUUUUCCAGGUUUUCUUCUGGACUGGGUAACAUUUCCUUCUGCCACACGUUUCGAGAAGCGAGCUCCAUUUGCAAAACAAGGGGUGAAUAGAUUGGUGGAUCUUACAUCGUGGACUUGAGCUUACUGGAAGCCUUGAAUAUAAGUUUCUUCAGCUUGAAUUUUCUAUAGUUUUGAGCAGGGGUUUGUGUGUGGAUUGCUAUUCUGUUCAGGAUAGCCUCUGGAUUCUCUGAUGGAAGAAGCUUUAAGAUUUUUAUUACUAGACUGAAGCUUCGGUUUUUUAUAAGCGUUUGUAUUCAGUUUUUGAUGGUUCCUUUCACGCUGCUUGAUUGCUAUUCUGUUCAGGAUAGCCUCUGGAUUCUCUGCCUGUCUUUGGCUUAUCAUGUCUUUGUCUAACAAUAACAAGAAACAAGAAAUGCAGUGCAUGUGUGUAUGGGAUGUGUAGUUAUGCAUAAAGAGAAAUCGUGCCAUGAAUAUUGUUUAGGGUAAGCCAUUCACGCAUGUAGCUAGUAGUAUUGUUAAUUUUGUCAUAAUUCAAUUUUUUAUUUUUAUUUUAUGUAAAUAAAAAAAAUGAAAUGAUGAAUGAAAUGGAAAAAAUGGAAUGAAUGAAGAAAAAUUGAGAUUUUGACCAGACAACACCAAUUUAAUGUUUUAAGGAUUAAUCUAGAUGGAAUUAUAAAUGGCUCCGGCCACAGCAGAUCGAUCACCACACACAGGCCAAAUUCAAGGCCACAUUGUCUACCCACAGAACCCCUAGGAUUUAGUUCGGCAUCCUUCACCCCCACGACUCUUCCCAGACGCGAAGAUAAGCUCCAUCAACAGUCCAACAAUGGCAGGACUGUUAAUGCUUUAAGUCCAUCAAACGCGGAGCAAACAGGGAGGCUGAUGUUGAUCCUGGGAGAAAAGGAACGAAUUUUGACCCUAUAAAAUAAAAACGAAGGCAGAGAACAGGGAGGACAAAAGGAGAGGAACGCAAAAAAAAGAAAAAGAAAAGAGAAAGAACCCAGAACAGAGGAGGGAAUAAAGGACAGAGAGAAAGAGCAGAGAGGCCCAGGACGAACAGAGGACGAACUGAGGGGACACAGAAUAGAGAGAAGAACAAAGAAGGAAGAAGAACCCUUGUCCAGACGUCUUCGCCCCAGGCCACCAGCUCCAGCAGCACGCCCAGGUAAGUCUUCUUUCUCCUGCCCUGUUUUGCAUUUUCAAAUUCACAAUACAGAGGGAAGGUAAUUAUAAUUACCUUAUAUUUUUCUUUGCAUGUUUUUUUAUUUUUUUUGCAUGUUCAAUUUACAAACCAUUACUGUUAAACACAAACAUGUAGUGAAAUUAUUUUUCUCUCUUCUUGUUUAAAAAGAAAAAAAAAAAGUAACAAAAAAAAGCAUAGAAAAAUUGUUUUUUAUUUAUUUAAAUUCAAAUUUUACAGAUUUAUUCACUAGUAUAAAAGUCAGGAACAUCAUACUUUUUGGGUUGUGUAAUAUUUACGAAUGUUAGAGUUGGAAAUAUUGUAAGUAAAUAUUCAUUGACGCCAGAGUCAGGAAUAUUAUAGAAAAAGUAGAAAAGAGAAAAACAAAUUCUUAGCAAUUUUAUACAAAACCAACAAUGUAGUUUGUCUCAAGUAGAACAUUUAAAGGGUGAUAAUAUCUUCUUUUUUGCAUAAUCAAUCCCAUACCAUAAAAUAUUUGUUGACUAGUUAGAGUUCCUGGUGACUAUAAUACUAGGUGGUGACUCCUUGAACUAGACAUUUUUCUCUAAAAAACAAGAUGCUAGAUAUAUGUUCUUUUUUCUUUAAAAAAUUUUAAUUGGUCAUUGUAAUGUCUAGAAGCGUGUUUGGCAGUGUGGUAGCGGUUGCUUUUCAAAUAACUUUUCGUGCCGAAAUGCAUGCCAAUGAUGUUUUUUCAUUUUUUAAAAAUUAUUUUUGACAUCAAAACGAUCCAAAACAUACAAAUAGUAUUAAUUUUUUAUAAAACAAAUUAAAAUUUUUUGGGAAUGCGGUGAACGCUACCUAGGUGUGACAAAAUAACGACUCCACUAGGGAAUUAUAAAACUAGGCUUUGCCUUUUGUUUGUUAAUUGCUAAAAAAUGUUUGUUAUAUUAUGUUUAUAUGGUUAUCACUUUUUACUGCUUUAGCACGCAUAUUUAUUGUCAUGUAUCAUUUCAAGAGAACACACCUUAACUUUUAGGAUAGGUGGAGAAGUAAUGGUACUUCAACGACUAACCUGAGCAAAACAUAUGAAACCUUUCAGCUCUCGUUUGAUUGUUUACUUGAUAGUAGUUGGUACGCCAAUCUGAUAUUACUAAGAGUCUCUAUCUUCACACUACUUGUAAGCCUCAUAUCGACUUUUCGAGGACGAUCACUGAGCAUGUAAAAAACAUUUUGAGACCAGAUAGUAAUCUAUAUCUUAAUGCACUUAACGACUAGAACCUCCCUACUAAGUUGUAUCCUGUGUAAUCCCAUUAUGACAAGCCCAACAUGUAGCAUCUUGAAUUCUAAGACCAUUGGGUUGCAAAAGGUGUUGUAAUUCAUUUUGGGUCCUUGCACAAAAAAGGAGAAAAUACAAAAAAAUAAAAAAUAUAUGUUCGAAAAAACCCAAAAAAUAAUAACAAUGAAAAAAGAAAGCCAGAACACUAAGAAAAUGGUCAAAAAUUAGUUGAGGAGGUUUAAAAAUAAAAAAAAUUAAAAUUUGACAAUAUUUCAUUUACUGAUGAUAGCCUUGAAGAAGAAAAGUCCAAAAUCAGAUGUUUAUGGACUCAAUUAAAUUUUAUUAAAGGUUUAAUUGAAUUUAUAGAGGUUUUGAUUGCAAGAAAAAUUGAUUUUGGAGUUAAUUUGGGCUUUAAUUGGAAGAAUUUAAAGUUCUGGGGUUAAGUUAUAAUUUUUUAGAGUUAAUUUGAUCAAAUCAGGGUCUUAAUUGCAUAAAUAUUGAAGUUUGAUGGCCAAUUAGGGACUUAAUUGAAGAAAUUCAAAAACCAAGGACCAAAAUGCAAAAGCGCGCAAAUUGAAGGCCUAAUUUUGAAUCUGACGUGUUUUGGUGCCAGUUUUCGUUUAAAUAAAACGACACAUUUUGGGAAAAACGACUUGUUUCAUACAAUUUUUUUUAAGAAAAGAAGAAUAAAAAAUGGUGUCGUUUUGAACAACACCACAUGUCUUCUUCUUCCCCUACCUUCUUCUUCCCUUGGACACGUGAAGUAGGGGAAGAAGAAGAUUUUUCUUCCUCUAUCACUGCCAUCUCUCUCUUCAAAAAGACACUGACACCACUUGCCCAAAGCUUUCCACGUGUUAGAGAAGAGGGAGGAGAUAUGCUCAGAUAGUUUUUGGGGCGGCAUCACAGUAGCCACCCCAGCAACGUCCCUCCUCUGUUUUUGCCUAUAAAAACUGUCGCACCCCAAAAAAAAUCAGCGCGCGACAUCGGCUGGCGAUUUAAGUCUCGUAUGUUGUGUCGCGUUUGCUUUGAAUCGGUUCGUUGGGAGUCGCCACCUAGUAAUUUAUUGAAGGCUACUAGGAAACCGGAUGGACUGGUCUUGUCAGAUAUUCGCGGGCAAGGGACUGGUUGUGGUUAGGGAAGGUAUUAGCACCCCUAACGCACCCUACCUGAGGUAAGCUGCUUCACGAAUUUGAUGUGUUAAAGAAGUUUUAAUAAUUGUCUUUUCAUCGGAAAUUAGAAAUAUCACUUACGUAUAAGUUAAUAAUUCUUAACCGUGAUCCGAUCAAAUUAAAUUCUUCUUUAAUAUAUUUGCAAUUUUAUCAUUAAAGAAUAUAACAAAUAAAUAAAACAAAAUACAAACACACACAUUCACUUUCACUAUUUUUAUUUCUUUUCUUUUUCUUUUCUUUUACAUCCACAAUACAAAUACAAACACAAAUUCAAAACAAAUAAAUAAAAAUUACAUUAAUUAAUUUAAAAUUUACAAAAAUAACCCUAAAGCUCUGAAAUCAAUUUUGGGAAGCAUUAUCGGUCUGCCUGAACAGUGGCGGCGCGUUUGCCCACGCGCCACCGCCACUAGCGGCGCGUGGGUUCACGCGCCGCCAUGAAAUCCAACAGCGUGGAGGUGCUGUAAUGCCUUCCUCCCAUCUUCACUUUCCUGCUGCCCGUGAGGACCCCAUCCCCUGCAAAUCUAAGAAAACACAACAAUGGCAGUUGAUUUUAAGCAUUUUUCUUCCUGUUUUUGGAUCUGUCUCAUCUCUCUCUAUCUUCUCCUUUAGAUCUGCUUCAUUGUAGAUCUGCUCUUGAAUGGGUUUUCUCGCCUUCCCCUCUGCUACGGGUAGCUGGCCGGUUGAAGAUCUGGCGGUGACCGGCUUUGUUUGUUGGGUGGAGAAGGCAGGUCUGGCGGCGGUUCUGUAGGCUCUGAUGAGGGAGGAAACGCUGCGGCCCGAUGAGACUGAGGGAAGGCCAAGAGGAAAACAGUGGGGGCUGCCGCUGGGUUCAGCUUGAGGAGGAGAGGAGGAGCCGCGGGGCUGGUUCGUUCGGCUGAAGAAAAACCCAAAUCCAAGGAUGGCGGGGCGCCGUUUCUCUUUUCGUUUGGCCGGGUGGAGAAGAUUAGAGGAGAAAGUGGGGGGUGCGGAGGAGGUUGCUCUGGCCGGUUGGUUGGAGAUCAACGAAGAUGAUGGGGAUGGAACCGGCUGGGAGAGGGGAGAGAACAAUCGGCUGGUCAGUGGGGUUCGGUGAGGAAGGGAAAAAAUCGGUUGUGGCUGGUUGAAGAAGAAGAAAACAAAAAAUCAAAAGGGGGAGUGUGGGGCUGGCCGAUCGGUUGAGGGAGAAGAGAAAGCUCCCGAUGAAGGCUCCGGUGUGGGGGCAGUGAAAGGGAGUUCUAGUCGGGGAGAAGGAGGAUCAAGUGUGCGGCGGCGAUUUCCAAAAAAAAGUUCAAAACCGGGAGGGGGAAAGGCAGUUGUGAUUUAGGGUUUUUUUGUUGUAUUUUGUGUUUCCAAAAUUAGCCCCAUGGAUCAAAAUUCCCCCCCCCUUUUGCAAGUGUUGGAAACCAGUAUUUAUAGGCAAAAAAUGUUGCCAAGUUUUUCAACUUGGUCCCUCAACUUCUUUCUUUUUGUAAAUUUUGAUUUUUCUUAUUUUUUUGUAUUUUUUUGAAAACGAGCAAUAUCAACGUCGACUUAAUGAGGAAAAUCACUUAUUUUAAAAAUGACGCGUGAAAAGUUGAACUUGGUUGAAAAUCUUUUUUUCUUAAAUUUAAAUUCUUUUUUUUAGACGACGCUGAAAAUGCUAAAAUGACAAAAAUAUAUUAAAAAACAUAUUUUUUUGGAUUUUCUUUGUUUUUCUCUAUUUUUGGAUUUUUUAAAAAUAUAUCAAAAACAUGGGUCAAAAAAUGGGUAGCAACAGACGCCCCCUCUUUACAAUGCUUACGAAGCAAAAAUCCUCGAUGUUUUGCAUAGUAAGCUUUGUAAAGAAAACAAAAGAAAAAUGAUUUCAUUAUCUUGGGCGACUUGCCACACACUAACACUGGUCUAUUUUCACGGGCGACCUGCCCACACAUACUCAAAGUGGUCUAUUUUCAGGGGCGACCGGCCCACACACUCACACUAGUCUAUGUUCACGGGCGACCUGCCCACACAUACUCAAAGUGGUCUAUUUUCAGGGGCGACUGGCCAACACACUCACUCUGGUCUAUUUUCAGGGGCAACCGACGCACACUCUCACACUGGUCUGUUUUCACGGGCGACCUGCCCACACAUACUCAAAGUGGUCUAUUUUCAGGGGCGACCGACCCACACACUCACUCUGGUCUAUUUUCAGGGGCGACCGACCCACACUCUCACACUGGUCUGUUUUCACGGGCGACCUGGCCACACAUACUCAAAGUGGUCUAUUUUCAGGGGCGACCGACCCACACACUCACACUGGUCUCUUUUCACGGGCGACCUGUCCACACAUACUCAAAGUGGUCUAUUUUCAGGGGCGACCUGCCCUUUUUUAUUGGGUUUACUUGAGAUCCCAUCUAGCGAUCUAACAAGAACAAAAACCGGUGUGUAGCUCGGUUAACCUGAAAUCCCAUCUAGUGAUUCCCUUUAACCCAAACUGUCUGUGUGGUUAGACUGAACUGAGAUCCCUUCGUCGAUCCCCUUCAACCAGAACAAAAAUCCUUUCCAAUUAGGUUAAAUUAAGAUCCCUUCGUCGAUCCCCUUUAACCAUAACCAAGGUCUGUGUGGUUAGACUGAAUGGAGAUCCCUUCGUCGAUCCCCUUCAACCAGAACCAAAAUCCUUUCCAAUUAGGUUAAACUGAGAUCCCUUCGCCGAUCCCCUUCAACUAGAACCAAAAUCCUUUCCAAUUAGGUUAAACUAAGAUUCCUUCGUCGAUCCCCUUUAACCAUAACCAAGGUCUGUGUGGUUAGACUGAACUGAGAUCCCUUCGCCGAUCCCCUUCAACCAGAACCAAAAUCCUUUCCAAUUAGGUUAAACUGAGAUUCCUUCGCGAUCCCCUUUAACCAUAACCAAGGUCUGUGUGGUUAGACUGAACUGAGAUCCCUUCGCCGAUCCCCUUCAACCAGAACCAAAAUCCUUUCCAAUUAGGUUAAACUGAGAUUCCUUCGCCGAUCCCCUUUAACCAUAACCAAGGUCUGUGUGGUUAGACUGAACUGAGAUCCCUUCGCCGAUCCCCUUCAACCAGAACCAAAAUCCUUUCCAAUUAGGUUAAACUGAGAUUCCUUCGCCGAUCCCCUUUAACCAUAACCAAGGUCUGUGUUGUUAGACUGAACUGAGAUCCCUUCGCCGAUCCUUUUCAACCAGAACCAAAAUCCUUUCCAAUUAGGUUAAACUGAGAUCCCUUCGCCGAUCCCCUUUAACCAUAACCAAGGAAUGUGUGUAGCUCGGUCAACCUGAAACCCCAUCUGGCGAUUUCCUUUAACCAAAGCUACAUGAGAUCCCAUCUGGCGACCUCAUUCAACUGGAACAAAAGAAUGUGUAAAAAGUGGUCUCAUUAUAAUGGGUGACCUACCCAAGUGGAAAGGAGGAAGACUGGUCUCAUUCUUAUGGGUGACCUACCCAGGGGGAAGAAUGGCCUCAUUCUUAUGGGUGACCUACCAAGGUAAAAAAAGAUGGAGAAUGGUCUCAUUCUAAUGGGUGACCUAAGUCGCACGUGUGCGGCGGCGCGGCGAUCGUCCACCCUCAAGGAAAAAACGGAAUAAUUUAUUCCUGGAAAAUAGGGAGAGACGAGGAAAUUCUUGUCUCUACAAGUGAAAAAAUUGGAAUGAGAGUCGCCACCUAGUAUUCUGGUUACUAGGAACCUUAACUGGUCUUUAGAGAUCGGGUACGGAGACUGGUUGCGUAAAGGGAAGGUAUUAGCACCCCAACUACGCCCUACCUAAGGUAGGCUGCAUUGUUUUAAUGUAUGAUAACAUCUAAGGUCGUGUUUGUGGUUUUUUAAUUUUAUUGUUCGGAAUACGCAUUACAUGUAAUGUCAUAUCCCAAGUUCUAUUAAAAAAAAAUAUAAAAAAAAUUAAAUAAAUAUCCGGAAUAUGUAUUACGUAUAAUGUCAUACCCCGGAUAUUAAAAGAUAAACAAAAUAAAAUUUUUGUUGUUUUUUUUUUGAAAUUUUGGCCAAUAUUCUCUUGACUUUAAUAAACUGUUAUUAAAGCCAAAAUGCAUGCUAAAACAUUGAUUUUUUUUUUGUAUGAAAAAUACAAAAUAUUUUUUUUUUUGUUGAGACAUUUGGCCGUAUGCACAAAAAAACAUUUUUUUUUUAAUUUGUUUUUGUAUUCUUGAAAGUCAAAAACCGGGUAUUUCAAUACCGGAUUUGUAUUUUACGACAUAGAAAUAUUGUCCCAUAUUACAUAAAAAUGACAUAAAAACGACAUAAAAACUACGCGGAAAAAUUAUAAAUAAAACAAGUAUUUUUGAUUUUUUCUUUUUUUUAUGGGCCGGAUGAAUAGUACCGUAUGAACAGUAACCAGCCACGCUGCAUUUUGCAGCAGAACGUGAAUUAUUCACGUUCUGCAUGCAAGUGCAAGCCGGGGCAGCAGGAGAAGAAAAUGAUCGGGGAGCAGGAGGGUACCUGGGGCGGCGUCGAGGCGGUUCUGCUGGCGGAGGCGGUGCUGCUGUCGCGGUGGUUCCAACGGCGGUCCUCCUUUUUCCUCUUUCUCUCUGUUUUUUCUUUUCUUCCCUCCUCUGCCGCUUCUCUUUCUUCUUCCUUUUGUUCUGUUUUUUUUCUUUUGUUUCUCUCGUCUCUCUACUCUCUUUCUAUCGUUCAAUCCUUCCCCUUCUCCCUCUCUUUUUCUUUUUUUUUUUUUUGUUCGGUCCUCCCCUGUUUUUAUAGGCAAAAACAGGGGGGACAAUGGUGGUGGGGCGGCCACUGUUGGCCGCCCCUCCACUAGCCGUUCAACGGAUAAAAAGGAGGCAAGUGGGCGUCGAAUGGUGGGCGUCUUAUUGCGUAGAAAUGGGGAAAGAAGUUAGGUGAAAAGGGAGAAGAAAAAUCUUCUUCUUCCCCUGCCUCGCGCGUCCAGGGGAAGAAGAAGACCUACAGUGCCAUCAAAACGGCGCCGUUUUGGGCUUAUGUUUUUUUUUUUUUUUUUUUUUUUUUUUGCAACAGUGAAUGAAACGGCGCCGUUUUGGUCAAAACGCGCCGUUUCAUUUAAAAGAAAAAGGCGCCAAAAUGCGUCAGAUUUCAAAGAAGGCCCUCAAAUUGCGCGGGUUUUACAAUUUCGUCCUUGGUCUCGGAUUUCUUCAAUUUAGUCCCUAAUUGGCCAUUAAACUUCAAUAUUUAUGCAAUUAAGCCCUGAUUUGACCAAAUUAACUUCCAAAAAUUAUAAUUUGACCCUAGAAAAUUAAUUUCUUCCAAUUAAAGCCCAAAAUAACUCCAAAAUCAAUUGUUUUUGCAAUUAAAACCUCUAUAAAUUCAAUUAAACCUUCAAUAAAAUUUAAUUGAGUCCAUAAACUUCUAAUUUUGCAUUUUUCUUCCUCAAAUUGAAUUUUCUUUAUCAUCUGGGCUCGCAUAAGCCAAUGAUAUACUGUCAAAUUUUAAUUUUAAUUUUUUUGAACAUCUUCAAUCAAUUUUUGUAUAUUUUUAAGGCGUUCUGGUAUUAUUUUUUUCUUUCUGUUAUAUAUAUAUUUUUUUAUAAUGUAUUUUUUUUGAAUUUUUGUGUAGUUUUAGGUGAAGACCCAAAAACGAGUUAUGGGAAUGUGCGAUACGGGUGAACUCGUAGAUGGCUGGGCGGAUGUUCCCUCCCCGCUUUUUGCUUUUAACAGUUGUUCAAGCAGAUUAGACAUCCGUGACACUUCACUUUUCACUGAUUCUAGCUCGCUCUGGUAGCGGGAUUCUAGGUGAGCCCUCUCUUCGUGUUCCAUUCUUGUUCUGAAUCUGGUGUAAUGGACCUUAUGUGGGGGACCUAUGUUUCAACUGCGGUAUGGAAAAAUGUAAAUGAAUGUAUGGUAAAGAACAAUACAUGAUGCAUAUGUAAUGUGAGUUUGCUUCUUUUUUUUUUUUUUUUUUCAAAACAAAAAAAAUCGAUUGAUGGCCGACAUUUCUUUUUGUGUAAUGGGUAUGGACUCUUUUUUUUCACAUUCCUUAUUAGGAGUAGUUUUGCUCUAUGUUGCUGCUUUGGUAGGCUUAUCCUUACUCUAUAGGAGAUUUUCUUCAACAAAAGAUGGGUCAAGGCCCCUUUUCAUUCAUAAUAUCGGCUAAUACAACCUCUUGAAAAGAGGAUAAACAAAAAGGAACAAAAUACAUCAAUCUUCAUCUUCAUCCAUAUCUCUAGCCACCAGUAGGAAAGCAAGGCCUCGAUUCUCAAUUUUUUCUAAGAAUGCAUCUGUCUCAGCCAAGCUUUGUCGAUAACGAAAGAUGUCUCUCCCCACCCUUCGAGCAUUGGCUCUAAUGAUCCGUGCAUGAAUAGCAGCUUCAUCCAUUUGCUCGUCUACUUUGGCCAUCUUCUCCAUAAGCAACAUGUUGUUCCGAUUCAAUGUAUUGUUGUUGGUGUCGAUCUGUUCUUUAUGUUUUUCUGAAGCUUUCAACCUUUCGGUCAACUGCUUUACCUUUUCUCGUUCUUUGUCAAACUUCACCUUCAACAUCCUAAUUUCAUUUUUCUUAGCUACCAAAUCCACCUUAACAAGCUCCUCCUCUUUCCCCUUUCUUUCAAACUCUUGCAGUUCAACUAGCCUACUUUCCAUCAUCACAUAUUUCUUGUUUAACUCAUCAUACCUCUCAAUUCGGUCUAACAACUCUGCUUGAACAUGCAAGAAUUUGUCCUGAUGGAACCCAACAUUCUCUUGAUAGUCGUUGAAGUCGGCUUUCAAUGCUUCCAAUUCAGAAUUUAGUCGUUGAAGUCGGUUUUACAAUUUCGUCCUUGGUCUCGGAUUUCUUCAAUUUAGUCCCUAAUUGGCCAUUAAACUUCAAUAUUUAUGCAAUUAAGCCCUGAUUUGACCAAAUUAACUUCCAAAAAUUAUAAUUUGACCCUAGAAAAUUAAUUUCUUCCAAUUAAAGCCCAAAAUAACUCCAAAAUCAAUUGUUUUUGCAAUUAAAACCUCUAUAAAUUCAAUUAAACCUUCAAUAAAAUUUAAUUGAGUUCAUAAACUUCUAAUUUUGCAUUUUUCUUCCUCAAAUUGAAUUUUCUUUAUCAUCUGGGCUCGCAUAAGCCAAUGAUAUACUGUCAAAUUUUUAUUUUUAUUUUUUUGAACAUCUUCAAUCAAUUUUUGUAUAUUUUUAAGGCGUUCUGGUAUUAUUUUUUUCUUUCUGUUAUAUUUUUUUUUUUAUAAUGUAUUUUUUUUGAAUUUUUUUGUAGUUUUAGGUGAAGACCCAAAAACGAGUUACAACAACCUACCCCGAAAAAAAUGGUGGUCUCAUUGUGAUGGGUGACCUACCUAGAUGGAAAAGAGGAAGAGUGGUCUCAUUCUUAUGGGUGACCUACCCAGGGGGAAAAAUAUGAAGUGUGGUCUCAUUGUAAUGGGUGACCUACCCAGAUGGAAAAAAUAUGAAGUGUGGUCUCAUUGUAAUGGGUGACCUACCCAGAUGGACAAAAUAUGAUGAAGUGGUCUCGUUGUGAUGGGUGACCUACCCAAAUAGAAAGAAUGUGAAGUGCGGUCUCAUUGUAAUGGGUGACCUACCCAAAUAUGGAAAAAAUAUGAAGUGUGGUCUCAUUGUAAUGGGUGACCCAGAUGGAAAAAAUAUGAUGAAGUGCGGUCUCAUUGUCAUGGGUGACCUACCCGGAUGGAAAAAAUGUGAAAAGUGCGGUCUCAUUGUCAUGGGUGACCAACCCAACUGGAAGAUGUGAUAUGACAAGUGUGAAAAAUAGGACUUACCUGGCGAAGUCUUUGAGGGGAUGACAGAAGAAGGGCUGGAAAACUUGGUGCUUCCUGAUAAUUCCCGAUCAUAGGAUUUGAAAACUCGGUGUUUCCUGACUGCAAGAGUUGAAAACUCGAGGCUUCCCGAUUGCAAGGUUGAUCUUUUCAUUUCUUUGGGAUUUUCCUAAUGGCAGGGUUCAUCCCAUCGUCCUUUUAUUCCAUGAUCAAAAUCGAUUCUUUAUUAUCAUCACCACAAUGCUUCUUUCUUUUUCCAACAUCUUGCUAGACCUCAUUAAGGAUUUUCCUGUAACAAUUAAAAAAUAUGUGCAUAUAUUUUUUUUUUUUUUUUGAGGUUAGAUGAUAUGCAUGCAUCCUUACCUGAUUUGAAAUAAUAGGUCCCCAUUUCUUCAUGGUGUGUUUCUUUUCUCACAAGUUGGAGUGUUGGCAGUGAACUUCGAUGGCUUCUUCGCUCUUGCUUACUCGAGUCAUCUCUUGUGAUUUUGACCUCUAGGAAGAAAUUGAUAUCAUCAUAGUUCUCUUUCCUCCGUCCUUUACCUCAAGGGUUGCCAACUUUGCUCGACAUUUUCUUAGAAUGAGAAUCAUGGAGCCUGCCCUAUCAUAUGUUUCUUUAUUACCCCCUAACUUGAUCAUGCCGCCAAGUGUUCAAUUCAGGUUUGUGGACGAGGCUAUGUGAAAGAAGGUUUGACAAGGAGUUGUUUUCAUGCAGAAUUUUUGGAAUUCCAAAGCUAUUCCAAACACAGAAAUCAUUUUGACAUCGAUUCAAAGUAAGCUCAUUCUGAAGAAAUUCAAGUGUUUCCUAUGGAGAGGUUAUCAUAAGUGAUGAAAACUUUUUUUUUUUUUUUUUUUGGCUUUUGGUAGAAAAAAUAUGGAGUGACAUCUGGUUUGUCAGAAAAGGUUUAAAUUUCAGUUUGAGGGUUAUUGAGAACCGAGGUUCAAAGCAUUUAUUUUAUUUGCAUGAAUAAUGAUUUGGCUCACAUGAGAAAGCAUUGCCUACCGAUCCAGAUUGCUUGCCUUUGAUCAGAAAGGGCUUGAUUAGGCACGUAAUGUAGGCUUGGACUCUUGGUUAUGAAGAAAAUGAUAUUUGUAGGCUCAAAAGGUGUUUAAGGGAUUUGAAAACUAAGGAUCACUUGUGUUUGUUUCUUGACCUUUUGUCAUUUGACUGUCUUUUGAAAAUUGUCUAUCGUGCCCCCUUGUGUUGGGCUUGGGCUUGUUCUCUUUGUUUUUGUUUUCUUCAUAUGGUUUUGAGCAUCAUAAUAUUGUUUUUUUUUUUAUGCUCAAAACUCUUGAUCCUUUGGAUUUUUCUUCAUGUCCCUCUAGAUUUGUUCGGGCACUUUUGAUGAUUGAGAAUUUUCUUUUAUGCCCCCUAGUAUUGCUUGGGCACUUUCGAUCAUUGAGGUUUUCUCUAUGUCAUCGCACUUGCCCCCAGUGUGGGGUGUGAUCCUAGCCAAGGUUAUUUAUCUCAAGAAAAGCAUAAGGCUCAAAAGGGGAUUGCAAAUUAUAUAUUUUAGCCUCGUGAAAAGAUUAUCAAAGAUGGCCUUUCUUCAUUUCAAACUCAUGCAUUUAGGAUCGGUAAGCCUUACUUUCAUACGAGUAUGUAAUGUAAUUUCUCAUUAUUCAUUCAAAUAAAACUCAGCUUUUGAAGUCACUUCAUGGGUUCUUGUUGUUUUUUUUUCUUUUCUCUUUUUUUUUCUUUUUUUGGGUUUUUCUAGGUGUAUGGUUACCUUUCUAAGGAAUCACCUGAAUUUCCAGAACUCGUUUGUUUUGCACAAACAGCAACAUGAUUUCAGUUUCUGUACUAAACUUUGAAUUCCCAAAAAUCCUUGUGAACAUGUGCGAUUAUGCAUAGUUUUGAAAGAAAGGAAAACACACCCAAAGAUUCUUGGUGUGAUGGUUUCAUGCUUAAAGAUUAUGCUCAAUAUGUUAUUUGCAUGAAACAACAACAAAAAUGAAGGUAUGUUAUAAACACAUGAUCUUAUUAACAUGAAAGGCUCAUUUGAGAAGGAAAGUGUUGUGGAAUUUUGAGCCAAGUUACCAACAAAAACUGGAAUAGGUUGAAACAAAAAUGAAGAAAUUUUGCAGGCAUGAUCAAACAGAGGUUUUUUUUUUUUUUUUUUACAGAACAAGAAUAGGCUCCAUUAUGCACUGGUGGUGCAAUCCCCUUCGGACAGCCUUCCCACCAAACCUUGUACAGAAAUACAUGAUUGUGUCGAGGCUCUUGACCAUGUUUGCCCUCAAUUUCUUCAGGCAGAGUAGUUGUUGAGUUUUGAACAAAGAUGAUAGGUCAGUUGGAAGGAACUUUCCUAGAGUUAUUUUUCAGUAUUUGCUCGAGUAAGCUAGAGGCGAGCCACACAUGUCUUCAAAAAUUACAACAAGCAUACUCUUCAUCUUCCGUGGUUUUCUUCAUUCAAAAUCGGGUGUUGUAGACUCGUAGGGGACCUACUUUUCAUUCUGGUGCAUGCAUGACAAAUGUAUGAACAUGUAAUCUAUAUGAUGAACUUGCCCUUCGAGGGGUGACAAUAUGGUCGUAACUCUUGUAUGAUGGAGCAAGAAUCGUGAUUUUUGCCCAAACUCUACAAUGAAAAUUUUCGGAGUGACGGCCAAUAUGUCACCCACAAGUUCAAGAUGCUUCAAGAAGGGUUUGCCAUGAUGCAAACAAUGAUAGCACAUACAACUUAAGGACAUGUUAUAUUUAUUAUAUGAACAUGGGUAAGUUUUCUAUCUGGUCUCAAAAGGGUUUCAUAUCUGCCCAGUGACGUUCUUCGUAAAGACAGUAUGGGGACGUUGCAAGGAAUGGUUAAGGCACGUAUACCCACCAUUACCAAGCAGGCACUCAGAUAUGAGUUGGGUGUUUCACGCAUCUGAACCCUGACCAAUAGUCUUAGGGCAGAUCGCUAGUUCCCCACCUAACCUAGAAGCUUGUAUGUGCUUUCAAAAAUAAAUACAGGUGAUGCAAGAAACAAUUCUAUAAAAUGCCUGGAAAAAAAAUAUUAACAAAAAGAUAAAAAUGCAAAAAACUUAAACACAUCAAAUACACAAAGCUUAGUCCAAUAAUGUCAGAAACAGUACCUUCCCAAGUGGAGUCGCCAUUCUGUCGCACCCCAAAAAAAAUCAGCACGCGGCAUCGGCUGGCGAUUUAAGUCUCGUAUGUUGUGUCGCGUUUGCUUUGAAUCGGUUCGUUGGGAGUCGCCACCUAGUAAUUUAUUGAAGGCUACUAGGAAAUCGGAUGGACUGGUCUUGUCAGAGAUUCGCGGGCAAGGAACUGGUUGUGGUUAGGGAAGGUAUUAGCACCCCUAACGCACCCUACCUGAGGUAAGCUGCUUCACGAAUUUGAUGUGUUAAAGAAGUUUUAAUAAUUGUCUUUUCAUCGGAAAUUAGAAAUAUCACUUACGUAUAAGUUAAUAAUUCUUAACCGUGAUCCGAUCAAAAUAUUAAAUUCUUCUUUAAUAUAUUUGCAAUUUUAUCAUUAAAGAAUAUAACAAAUAAAUAAAACAAAAUACAAACACACACAUUCACUUUCACUAUUUUUAUUUCCUUUCUUUUUCUUUUCUUUUACAUCCACAAUACAAAUACAAACACAAAUUCAAAACAAAUAAAUAAAAAUUACAUUAAUUAAUUUAAAAUUUACAAAAAUAACCCUAAAGCUCUGAAAUCAAUUUUGGGAAGCAUUAUCGGUCUGCCUGAACAGUGGCGGCGCGUUUGCCCACGCGCCACCGCCACUAGCGGCGCGUGGGUUCACGCGCCGCCAUGAAAUCCAACAGCGUGGAGGUGUUGUAAUGCCUUCCUCCCAUCUUCACUUUCCUGCUGCCCGUGAGGACCCCAUCCCCUGCAAAUCCAAGAAAACACAACAAUGGCAGUUGAUUUUAAGCAUUUUUCUUCCUGUUUUCGGAUCUGUCUCAUCUCUCUCUAUCUUCUCCUUUAGAUCUGCUUCAUUGCAGAUCUGCUCUUCAAUGGGUUUUCUCGCCUUCCCCUCUGCUACGGGUAGCUGGCCGGUUGAAGAUCGCCCGAUGAGACUGAGGGAAGGCCAAGAGGAAAACAGUGGGGACUGCCGCUGGGUUCGGCUUGAGGAGGAGAGGAGGAGCCUGCGGGCUGGUUUGUUCGGCUAAAGAAAAACCCAAAUCCAAGGAUGGCGGGGCGCCGUUUCUCUUUUCGUUUGGCCGGGUGGAGAAGAUUAGAGGAGAAAGUGGGGGGUGCGGAGGAGGUUGCUCUGGCCGGUUGGUUGGAGAUCAACGAAGAUGAUGGGGAUGGAACCGGCUGGGAGAGGGGAGAGAACAAUCGGCUAGUCAGUGGGGUUCGGUGAGGAAGGGAAAAAAUCGGUUGUGGCUGGUUGAAGAAGAAGAAAACAAAAAAUCAAAAGGGGGAGUGUGGGGCUGGCCGAUCGGUUGAGGGAGAAGAGAAAGCUCCUGAUGAAGGCUCUGGUGUGGGGGCAGUGAAAGGGAGUUCCAGUCGGGGAGAAGGAGGAUCAAGUGUGCGGCGGUGGCUUCCAAAAAAAAGUUCAAAACCGGGAGGGGGAAAGGCAGCUGUGAUGGUUUUUUUUUUAGGGUUUUUUUUGUGGUUUAGGGUUCUUUUGUUGUAUUUUGUGUUUCCAAAAUUAGCCCCAUGGAUCAAAAUUCCCCCCCCUUUUGCAAGUGUUGGAAACCAGUAUUUAUAGGCAAAAAAUGUUGCCAAGUUUUUCAACUUGGUCCCUCAACUUCUUUCUUUUUGUAAAUUUUGAUUUUUCUUAUUUUUUUGUAUUUUUUUGAAAACGAGCAAUAUCAACGUCGACUCAACGAGGAAAAUCACUGAUUUUAAAAAUGACGCGUGAAAAGUUGAACGCGUUUGAAAAUCUUUUUUAAAAAAAUUUAAAUUCUUUUUUUAGACGACGCUGAAAAUGCUAAAAUGACGAAAAUAUAUUAAAAUACAUAUUUUCUUGGAUUUUCUUUGUUUUUCUCUAUUUUUGGAUUUUUUAAAAAUAUAUCAAAAACAUGGGUCAAAAAAUGGGUAGCAACAAAAACAGUGGAGGAGAAGAAAAAAAGAGCACAAGAGAGCAAAGAGGCUUGAGAGACUGAAAAAGAGAGAGAGAGAGAGAGGUGAAGACCAAAAGAAAACAAGAAAGGGGAAUAAGGCAGUAAAGAAAGAAAAACAGAGAAAACAGGGGAGAGGUUGCCACUGUCACCGUCGCCACUGUCAUCGCCGCUAACAGCCACGCUCAGGCUGCACCACCCCGAGGACGAACAUGGGACGAACUGAGGGGACACAGAAUCGAGAGAAGAACAAAGAAGGAAGAAGAACCCUUGUCCAGACGUCGUCGCCCCAGGCCACCAGCUCCAGCAGCACGCCCAGGUAAGUCUUCUUUCUCCUACCCUGUUUUGCAUUUUCAAAUUCACAAAACAGUGCGAAGGUAAUUAAUUACCUUCUAUUUUUCUUUUGCAUGUUGUUGUUUUUUUAUUUUUUUCAUGUUCAAUUUACAAACCAUUACUGUUAAACACAAACAUGUAGUGAAAUUAUUUUUCUCUCUUCUUGUUUAAACAGAACAAAGAAUAAUAAUAAAAAAGAGGGGAAAAAAAAGGCAUAGAAAAAUUGUUUUUUAUUCAUUUAAAUUUAAAUUUUAUGGAUUUAUUCACUAGCACCAGAGUCAGUAGUAUCAUACUUUUUGGGUUGUGCAAUAUUUACCAAUGCUAGAGUUGGAAAUGUUGUAAGUAAAUGGUCAUUAACGCUAGAGUCAGGAACAUUAUAGGAAGACUAAAAAAGAGGAAAACAAAUUCUUAGCAAUUUUAGACGAAACCAACAAUGCAUUUUGUCUCAGGUAGAAUGUUUAAGAGGUGAAAAUAUCUUCUCUUUCGCAUAAUCAGUCUCAUACCAUAAAAUAUUUGUUGACUAGUCAGGGUUCCUAGUGACUAUAAUACUAGGUGACGAAUCCUUGAACAAAACAUUUUUUCCUAAAAAACAAGAUGCUAGAUAUAUGUUAUUUUUCCUUUGAAAAUUUUUAAUUGGUCACCGUAAUGUUUAGGUGUGACAUAAUGAUGACUAUCCACUAGGGAAUUCUAGGAAUAGGGUUUGCCUUUUGUUUGUUAAUUGCUAAAAAAUGUUUGUUAUAUUAUGUUUAUAUGGUUAUCACUUUUUACUGUUUUAGCACACGUAUCUAUUGUCAUGUAUCAUUUCAAGAGCACACACCUUAAAUUUUUGAAUAGAUGGAGAAGUAAUAGUACCUCAACGACUAACUUGAGCAAGACUCAUGAAACCUUUAAGCUCUUGCCUAAUUGUUUACUCGAUAGUAGUUGGUACACCAAUCUAAUAUUAUUAAGAGUCUUUAUCUUCACACUAUUUGUAAGUCUAAUAUCAACUUUUUGAGGAUGAUCACUGAGCAUGUAAAAAACUUUUUGAGACUAGAUAGUAAUCUAUCUAUUAAUGCACUUAAUGACUAGAACCUACCUACUAAGUUGUAUCCUAUGUAAUCUCACUAUGACAAGCCCAACAUGUAACAUCUUGAAUUCCAAGACCAUUGUGUUGCAAAUGGUCGUCACAUAAGAUACAAAGAGUUUGAGUUGUUACAAUUGAUAAAAAAAAACUAACUUGAAUUGAAAGCUGAAAGGUUUAUCAAAAGCUCAAACUUAAAUAAGAUUGGACAAGGAUCCCCUCGUUGGCAUGAUGACGACAUCGGGUCCCUAAAAUCCAUGAAUAAAUGACCAUUGCCACCCCGUGAAGGGUGAGUCCAGAUUAAAUCUGCAUUUUCCUUGUUGAUAACAUUAUUACUUGUGCAUGAUUGCAUAAUUUUUUGAACUAGUUCGAUAUAGAAUUUGUGUGUCGGCGAUUCCAUUAGGAAAUUCAUCGGGGAUAAUAAAUCAAUUAUUGACGGUUAGUCUGUUAGUGAUCCAUCGGUAAUAUUUACCGACGCAUUGGUUGACAAAAAAAUAGUCAGCAAAUAUUUGUUUUUUGUUGUGAAUAUAUUCUGUUAGCUAAUCUCCCGAUAGGUAACUUUACCGACCGAAUUAUCAAUAGAUCUAAAAUCCUCAAUGAGAAAAUCUCCUAUGAAAAAUCAUCAUCGGUAAUUUAUAUGCCAACAAAAAUAUAGCUUAAACGCAUAUGGAAUAUUCCGUCGGUGAAAAAUCAUUUUUGAUCGUGAUUUGACUUCAACAAUUAAUUAAUAAUAAUAAAACUUGAAUUUUGACAACUCUGUAAUAAAGACUUUUAUUUCCUUUAUAGCUUAUCCCCUUGCAAUUUUAAAAACCCAAUAAUAAUAAUAAUAAUAAUUAGUAUUAUUAUUAUUAAUAAAAACAUGAUUAUUGGAAUAUCUCAAGAAACCAUGUUAGUCUUCUUUAAAAAAGAGGUGUUAGUACUGGGAGUUGGUUUUUUUUUUUUUAUUAGUCGUAUUAAAGUGUUUAAAUUGGAAAGGAAGUUGAUUCCUUUAUUAAAGAGAUAUUAAUGGACGAUAGUAGAGUAUUUCUUGAUUAAUGCCAUUCUCUUACUAUCAUGCCAAAAUAGCUUUACUUGAUAAACUAGCCAUUGGAAUUUAUUCUCUAACUUGUUUCUUACUUCUGGAAUUCAAUAGCCAUCAACUUGUGGAAUUUAUUUUUCUAACUUGAUUCUUACUUCAGAAUUAAUGCCAAAAGCCAUAAAAAUUUGGCACUAAGUUUCUACGCGUAAUUGGUCACGCCUCGAUAUUCCGACUUUCUUCUUCCGAUUCGAGUCAAGAGUCAUCAACUUGUGGAAUUUAUUUUUCUAACUUGAUUUUUACUUCAGAAUUAAUGUCAAAAGCCAUAAAAAUUUGGCACUAAGUUUCUACGCGUAAUUGGUCACGCUUCGACAUUCCGACUUUCUUCUUCCGAUUCGAGUCAAGAGUCAUCAACUUGUGGAAUUUAUUUUUCUAACUUGAUUUUUACUUCAGAAUUAAUGUCAAAAGCCAUAAAAAUUUGGCACUAAGUUUCUACGCAUAACUGGUCAUCCCUUAACAUUCCGGUCAAGAGCCAUCAAUCUGUGGAAUUUAUUUUCUAACUUGAUUCUUACUUCAGCCAUAACUUUCUGCGCAUAACUGGUCAUCCCUUAACAUUCCGGUCAAGAGCCAUCAACCUGUGGAAUUUAUUUUCUAACUUGAUUCUUACUUCAGAAUGUGAAUAGCCAUAAAAUUUUCUAUGCAUACUGGUCAUGCCUGGACAUUCCGACUUUCUGCUUCCGAUUUGAAUCAAGAGCCAUUAGCCAUGGAAAAUUCAGGUUGCAUUUUUCGGACUUGUGUCCAUAGAAAUUACAAUUCUUCAACAUGUCUAUAAAUUCCAGUAUGCUUCGCAUUUGACUUCAACAAUUAAUUAAUUAUUAUUUUUAUUUUCACUGUUUGAUUGUUACGAUGCAUGACUACAUGUCAUUUUAUUCAUUCAGAUCAACUUGACCCCCAAGAAAUAGAUUAGCGAUUAUAAUCAACAUCAAGUCUUGCAGAUAAAGCCAAAAAAGUCUUCAGGUGGAAACGUUCCGUACCAUAGAGACAGUAUAUAACUGGUGUCCCGUUGAUCGUGAACUAUCCACAUUAAUCCUGCAACUUUUUUUUGCUUUUCCCUCAUUUGUUCAGAUCCUUCAAAAGUUUUAUCUUUGCCAGACUCGAAAUGGCUGGUGGGAAAUAUCAAGAAUCUUCCUCUUCACGGUUUUCUAAUUGUAAACAUCAAGUGUUCUUGAGUUUUAGAGGUGAAGACACCCGCAGGAAAUUUACCGAUCACCUCUACACGGCCCUAGUCCAAGCAGGGAUUCACACAUUUAGAGAUGAUGAUGAGAUUCAGAGAGGACAUAAUAUAGAGUUGGAGAUCCGGCAAGCAAUACAACAAUCAAAAAUAUCGAUAAUCGUGUUCUCCAUUGACUAUGCUCGGUCGAGAUGGUGCCUCGAUGAACUUGUUAUGAUCAUGGAACAUAAGAGGACUACUAACUCCAUAGUUUUGCCGGUAUUCUAUGAUGUGGAUCCAUCCCAAGUCAGAAAUCAAACUGGGAGCUUCGCUGCAGCAUUUGUGGAACACGAAAAGCGCUUCGAGGAGGAGUUGGAGCGGGUGAAUGGGUGGAGGAUUGCUUUGAAGGAAGUUGCAGAUUUGGGAGGAAUGGUUUUAGGAGAUGGGUAAGUUAUAUCUCUUGAUGAAACUACACAUGGCAUAAGAUUAGAAUGCUGGUUCUGAACUCUUAAUUAAUUCAGUUUUUGCAUUUAAGUAUUUAAACGAAGAUUGAUAAUACACUCCUAAUCCAGACUACUAAACCACUCCUAAUCCAGAGAACAUAUAAGAAAAAUAAAAUAAAAUACUUAAGAUUUCUUCAUUGUUUCAUGAUUUUUUUUUUCCAAAUUUAACCAUCAAUCAUUGACACACAACCUGCUUUAAUUUCCUAGCUAAAUGUCGUUUAUUUCUAUUGCUUAUAGCUAGAGAGACUACUAAUUAUCGUACAUUGUAUUUUACUUUUCUGAUGUAGAUACGAGGCACGGUUUGUCCAAUCUAUUGUGGAGCACGUCUCAAAGACUUUGGAUCGAAAAAUAUUUCAUUUGCCCUUUCAUUUCAUUGGUAGAGAUUCUGUAAUACAAUAUAUCAACUCAUGGUUGCAAGAUAGGUCCCAUAGUGCUGCCAUUGCUUUACUCUAUGGAAUUGGUGGAGUUGGAAAGACUGCCAUAGCCAAGAAUGUUUAUAACCAGAACUUUUAUAAAUUUGAAGGAAAGAGCUUUCUUUCAAAUUUUAGAGAAAGGUCAAAGGAAUUCAAGGGUUUAGUUUGCCUACAGAGACAACUUCUUUCCGACAUCCUAAAAAAGAGUGUUGAUGAGAUAAAUGAUGUUGAUGAAGGAAUUUUGAAGAUUAAGGAUGUAAUAUGUUGUCGAAGAACUCUUAUUGUUCUAGAUGACGUGGAGGAAAGGGACCAAUUCAAUGCAAUCGUUGGCAUGCAAAAUUGGCUUUGCAAAGGAAGUAAAAUCAUUGUAACGACCAGAAAUAAGGGUCUGCUUUCAGCUAAUGAUGAGUGGGUCAAGUGCAAAGUUGAACCUCUAGAUAACGGAAAAUCACUUGAGCUUUUCAGUUGGCAUGCCUUUGGACAAGCUGACCCUGUUGAAGGUUUUGUAGAGGACUCUUGGAAAAUAGUGAAUCAUUGUAAUGGACUUCCAUUAGCCCUUCGUGUUAUUGGUUCUUCAUUAUCUGGUAAAAUUCGAGAAGUAUGGGAAAGUGCAUUGCAUGAAAUGGAAGUGAUUCCAAAUUGUAAAGUUCAAAAGAUUCUUCGAAUAAGUUACGACUCUCUUGAUGAUGAUUACCAGAAGAACUUAUUUCUUGAUAUUGCUUGUUUCUUCAAUGGAAUGGAUUACAAUUAUGCUGUUAGGAUACUAGAUGGGCUCGGUAUAGGUGCAAGAUUCAGGAUUGACAAUCUCAUCGAUAGAUGUCUUGUAGAAAUUGUUGAAAUCAACACUGAUAAAAGGUUGUGGAUGCAUCAACUCGUAAGAGAUAUGGGAAGGGAAAUUUCUCGUCAAGAAUCACCCCAGUGUCAAAGAAUAUGGCAUCACAUGGAAGCUUUUACAGUUUUGAAUGAAACAAGUGUAAGUACCUGUUUUUUUUUUCCUAUCUGCAUGGUAUUUAGGCGUCUUAAAAUGUUCAUGCUUUUACUAUAUUGAAAGAAACUACUGUAAGUACCUCAUUUUGUUUAUUCUUUUACUUUCUUUUCUCAUAUACUUUUAAUAUUUUUGAAGCAGGAUGCUGAAAAAUUGCGUGGCCUUACCAUUGAUAUGCAUGCAUUCAUGGAAGAUAAUUGUACCAAAGCUAUCUGUGGUGAUGCAAUGGUUCACCACAAGCAUAACUUCUUUCAACAUUAUCGUCUUCCUACGUUCCCCUCUCGAGAAUGGCUUUCUGAUCUUUUCUUCGGGGAACAAGUACAAAGUGGUCAAGCAAGUUUGUUGCCUGUCCUCAGCACGGAUGCUUUGAGAAAGAUGCAAAAUGUAAAAUUUCUCCAACUAAAUUACCUGAAGUUCCAUGGAAGUUAUGAACACUUCCCUAAGAAUUUGGUAUGGUUAUCCUGGCAUGGAUUCUCUUUGAGAUCCAUACCAAACCAAUUAUGCUUGGAGAAGCUUGUGGUUCUUGAUCUAUCCAGAAGCAGUCUAGUUGAUGCUUGGAAAGGAAAAUUGGUAUGUAUCUGGUCUCUCUCCAUAGCUAUCUCUUUUAUUUUCAAUUGAUAGCAACUAAAAUCGAGUGUUUUUGCAGUCUCUUCCAAAAUUAAAAAUACUUGAUCUGCGUCACUCACAUGGCCUCAUUAGAACCCCAGAUUUGUCAGGUCUGCCAAGACUUGAAAAUCUAAUACUUGAAGACUGCAUCCAUUUGGUUCAAAUUCAUGAAUCUAUUGGAGAUUUACAUUGUCUCAUGAUGUUAAAUCUGAAGAAUUGUAAGAGUCUCGUGGAGCUUCCAGAAGCAGUGAGUCGAUUGAAUUCACUUCAAGAGCUUUAUUUAAAUGGUUGCUCAAAUCUUGACAGCCUGAAUAUGGAGUUAGAGCAUCAUCAGGGACACAGGUUGCUUCAAAGUGAUGGAUUUGUUGCUAGUACAUCAUACAUUUCAUCUUUUUCGUUGAAGCUAUUGUUUCCCUCUAGGUUUUCAGCAAGGAAAACUUCGAGAUUUACAUUGCCACACUCCUUGACGAGACUAGAUUUAAGUGGAACUCCAAUUCGUUUUCUUCCAGAAAGCAUUAAGGACCUCAGUCCACUCAUAGCCCUGACUUUAAGAAAUUGCAAAAUGCUUCAGACCCUCCCAGAGCUUCCAUCCAAUUUGUCUUCGUUAGACGUGUCUAGUAGUUAUUCACUGCAAACAGUUCCAAAUCUAAUCCCUUGGACUGUAGUGUAUGAUUGUGAUCAAUUAGUUGACAUCCAAGAUUCGAUGAAGCUAGAAUUAAUCCAAAAGGCUGACUCACACAUGUUCAGAAUAAUGGAAACGGUCAACGCUCAAAUACAGCCCUGGAUAUUUCAGGUCCUCACACACCCGUCUUAUUGUAUUUAAAAUCUACAUUUGUGUACUUUUCCUGGAAAAUUCUUCCUUUGCUCAUUUUAUAAUGGACAUCGUUUUGAUGGUACAGGUAACAGUUUUUAAGGGCGUAUUCAACGUUGUCUUAGCUGAUGAAGAUGGGAUGUUUAAGUUCUAUGAGGAGGAAGAAGAGGAGUGGAUAAUUCAGAAAGAGUUUGUGGGCUGCCUGUCAUUCCAAAUAGCCUCACCUGCUGCGCACCGGAUAUGUGGUUUUAAUCUAUUCACAAGGUUUUGUACCACGUCAGAAACCCUUCUCUGUGGUUCUGUUUAUCUCGAAAUCAGAAACAAUACCAGUGGUCGAUCCUUGUUUUGUCCCGCCUCUUUCUUUCCUAGUGGCUACAAGCACGGGAAUGCUGUACUCCAAUCGCUAAGCCACUGGAAAUUAGGGGGCGAUGAUCCUACAUUUGAUAAUGGUGAUGACGUGAGCAUUUCGGUGCUUCCACUUGAUCCAACUAUUCAAAUAAUGAUGGUUGGUGUCCUAUGGUUGCAUGAAGAGGAAGGAAAUGGUGGUGAUGAUGAUGAUAUCCAAUCAAAGAAUAAAGUUAUCACAUCCCAAAGUAGUAGCUCAUCAUACAGGGAAUCUAUCACAACCCACAACAGUAGCGAUGAUGAUGAUGUACAUCUAGCCAAUGUAGAAACAGCUACUCAUAUUUUUGGGAAUUAUUCCUGUGCUGCGCGUUAUAAUCCUGGCAACUUGGAAGUAUGUUCGUGGUUAUUUGAAAAGAAAGGUGAGAGGGUAUUAAUAAUCUAUUAUAUUUUAAAGCUAUUAGAUAUUUGGUAUUAUAUUUUAAGGCUUUAAUAGUCAAGGCUUCCUCACAAAGUUCAUGUCAUUAUCUAGUCUUUUUUUUAUUGUAACCACUGUUGAUUAGACUCUGCAAUAUUCUUUUUUGUUUUUGUCAUUUGAUAUUGAUGAGUUUUGAGCUUAUUUUUCUCGGUAGGGAUAUUGGAAGAAAAAGGGAGGCAUCUUUGUUUAGCCUCUUGCAUGGUUGGUGGCGCUGUAAGAGAGAGGGGUUGAUUCUUUCGAAUUGCGGAGGAGAUCAGCGAGCAACAGAUUAUCUCGUGACACAUUUGUCUUCACUCAGGUCUGUCUUAUUGUUUUUGCAUUUCAACUUAUUUUCUUCGAUGUGAUUGUUUGAAGAUUCUUUCAAGGCUUUUUUAGGCUUAUUAUAUAAUGAGAUAUUCUUUUGGAUGAGAUUAUAUGAGAUUAAUUCAUUUGCCAUGGCACGAAAUUGUUUAUUUUCAGCAUUUUUGUGUUUGCUGUUAACGAAAUCAUGGUCAUUGUCUUUUUGGUGUUGGUUCCUGGUUUUUGUAAGAUAGUCUGUUUUAAUUAUCUGUAAGGCUGUAAAAAAGAAAGACAUGUUUAUGGUUUUCUUGGUUUUAGAAAAUAUGAUUUUAUCAAGAUAAGUCUUUGAAAAAUAAGGUGUGGCUGCCACCUUCUAAUCACUAGAUUUUCUUUUAUGGGAUAAAAAAACAGUAAAUUACUCCAUAGAGUACAUGGUAAUGAUUAACGCGUGUUAAGGGUGUAGUUGUUGGGGUCUCCAUUGACAAAGCCACCAUGGUGGUGAUGAACCUUGAUGGUGAAAGUGUUUCAAGAUGAUAAUGACAACACACAGUAGCCAAGUGACAUGGAGGAUGGAAAGUUGGUGAUGACUUUGGAAAAAAGGCAGAGCUUUAUUUGUGGCAGUGUAUAGUGCUCGACCAAGUGUUUCAUGGCUCUGCUUCUUCUUCAUGAUAGCAUUGAUGUUCAUCAUUUGUCCUCUACUUUUUCAGGUCUGGUAGCUGCAGUUUUUCUUGCUUGAUUUAGAGAGGGGCUGCUGGAUUAGUGUUUGAGUGUUGCAGCUUUCCUUCUUCAGUUUUCUUUUUUCUUCCCCUGCUUGCUUCCUCAUGGGUUCUGUUUUGUUGCUCCAAUUUUUUUCUCUUUGGUUUAAUCUAUGUCUUUGUGGUUUGCUCUUUUUAUGAAAGAUUGAUGACUUUGCUUUUGCCUUUUUCUUUUUUCCAGUUUAUUUUAUCUUUAACAGCUUCCAUUCUUCCUUUGGAGAUGUUGCUUAGGUUUCUUUGUUUAAGUUGGAUCUCUAUAGGCAGAUUCGCUUCUGUUUUUUUUCUUGCCUUCUUUUUUCCCCCUCCCAUAUGUUUAUGCCCAAAUUGAGGCAUUGUUUGCUGUAUUUUCUCUACAAUGUUUGUUUAAAUUUAGGAGAUGGUUCGUGUUUAUAUAGAUUUUUGUGUAGGAAUUUCUUCAUCCCUGUCGUGUUAAAUAAUUUAUGGGUUUCAAACUCUUUAUAAUUGAGGAGAUGGUUCGUGUUUAUAUAGAUUUUUGUGAAGGAAAAUUUCCCACCUGCUACUGUGGGAAUUCAAUAACAAUACUUUUGCUUGAAUGUCAUUUAUGGUUGAUGACUUCUUUUUUGCCUUUUUCACAGUUUGGGUGUUAGAUUGGAAGGCAGCAACACACCAGCUUUUUGGAUAUAGUCGCCUUGAUGCCCUACUCUCGAUUCAGUUCAUAUGGCUGAUUUCUAUAGUUUUAAUCUAUGAGCAGUUUAAAUGCAGUAAGUGCAAAGUGUUCUUCAACCAAUACUACCAGUAGGUGUUUUUAGCUUGAACAUUGUGAAAAAUUAGAAAUCAGUUCUGGAUUAUGCAUUAAGUGAAGGUCUGCUUAGAAGUUGAGAUGAGAAGAUGAAGGCUUAAGCUGAAGCAGACCAUGGAAAUGUACAGCAGUACAGCUUGCAAAGAAGCACUUUCUGCAAAAACGAAACUAGUUCCAUUUCAUCAUCCUGCAUUUGAACAUGGACUCAGCUGGCUGCUGAGUGUCAGGAAGGAACUUAACUGAAGAUAUCAACGUCUCCAAAGAUUACCCCUGCGAAGUGCGGGCAUCAUAUCUUGUAUUCGUCUUGGAAGUAAUAGAUGAUACAAAAGUUGAUUAAACAUCAGUUUUUGUCUUAUUUGUGAGCAUGCUGGUUAUGCAGUGUACACUGAUGAAAUGGUGCUGAAUAUCAGCAUAAUAAUACAAACAUUGAUAUCACAAGGAUUCAACUUUUUUGCGAUGUAUAAUGUACAUUUUGUUAAGUUCUAACUUGUAUGUAUACUAUUUUUAUCUGCUGUUUUGGUGAAAAGAGCUAGAUUUGAAUGUGAAAAAGGCUUAAAUAUAGGGAAGGUGGAGCAAAUGAGAGCAAUGGAACGAAAUCUCAUAGGGAUGGCAAGAGAAAUGGAAAAGUUGCACAUUGAUGUCUUGAAUGCUGAUAACAGUGCACGCGGCAACUUUUUUUUUUUUUUUUUUUUUUGAUUAACCUGGGGUGUCCAGGCCAGCUUGCGCGCACCACGACUAAUCCCCAGGGCCUAACUGAACACCCUGCAAGCCCAGAAGGCAGGUAAGUCACCGCGGGGAUGGCAGGAAGGUAUACAAAGGGGUUCCAACCCGUGCGGUAUAGAGAGGGAACAAACGCCUCCCCCACUAGCAGAACCCCCAAGUACAUGGGUGAGCUUGGGAGUCGAACCCAGGCAACUGAGGAGACUUCUGUCUCCCCAGCCGCUGGGCUGGGACCUCCCGCUCAACUUUUUCUUGCAUCUGAAUGUGGUGGUUAUAUCAUUCAAAAUUUUCUUUCAUUUUUAUCUAAUUCUUUUGCUCAUAAAAUUUUCUUCACGUACGGCUCAUGAACUUUUUUUCAUUCAAACCCGCUGGGGCCAAAAGCCUAUCAUGGACCCACAUUGUUAUUGUGUGUGUAUAUAAAAAAAAACACGAUGUUCAAGCAUUGUCAGCAUAUUUUGAAGCAUGAAAAGUUUUUUGCUACCCAAGUCAUAAAUCAUUUUUUAUCCAAUAAAAUGGUUUAAUUUAAUAUCUGAUAAAAAAAAACAACGUUAAUAAAUUUAUUAAAUCCAAAGAGAAAAGGUGAUAACAAUGACUUGCAGAAAAAAAAAAUUCCAAGAAAAAAAAUUAUAAAACUGAAUUAAAAAAUAACUCAAUAUCAAAAGAAAAAAUAAAAAAAUAAAAAAUAACAAAAAAAUAUAAUUGAAUCAAUUCGAGUUAACAUGACCGAGUCAUGAUGUUGGGCCAUCCUUAUAGAAAAUAAAUAAAAAUAAAUACAAAGGUUCAAUUUUAAAAAAAUCAAUAUUGAAAGAUGAAAUUAAAAAUUAGAAUUGGUGUAAAAAAGAUAAAAAUAAAAUAUCGAUCUCAAUUCAGGUUAAUAUUGGAUACCUUGAUCCAGGUUAAGAUAACAAAAUGAUAGCAUUGAAAAAAAAUUAUAAAGCCCAAUUCUCAACAAUCAAAUUGAUCAAGAAUAAAUAAAAAAAAUUAAUUUAAAAAAAAAGCAAAAAAAAUAAUUGAAAUGAAUAAGGACCAAAUAUGUAACAAAUAAAAUAAAAUAAAAUAUUGUAAAACGUCUGAGUCAAUCUAAGUUAGCAUGAUAAAUUUACCCUAGAUCAUGAUGUUGGCUUAUCCUCAUAGAAAGCACAUCAAAAAAAAUAAAGAAGUUCAAUCAUUAAUAAACCUAAUAUUGAAAGAUAAAAUUAAAAAUAAAGAUUGUUGUAUAAAAAAGAGCAAUGUCAACCCAUAUUAACAUUUAAUAUCCAUGACCUAGGUCAUAAGUCAAGAUCAUUGCACUGAGAAAAAUCACACAAAACCAAAAUAUUAUCAACCAAUUCAAUGUUAAAAGACAAAAUAAAAAAAAAUCAAUUUCAAAAAAAAAAUCCAGAGUUAUAAUAAAAAAAUCCAAAGAAAAAAUAAAAAUAUAAGGAUGAAAUUUGACUUAAAAAUAAAAUGAAAUUAAAUGAUGGGGGAUUAAAUUGAAAAAAAAAUCAAUUAAGAAAAGGAUAUUAAAAAAAUAGUAAUCAAAAGAAUGAGGAUCAUAUUUGAUAUAAAAUCAAAUAUAGCUAAAUGAUAAGAGAUGAAAUUAUAAAAAAAAAUUCAAAAAAAAUAAAGACCAAUAAAAAAAAAAUGAUGGUUACAAUUGAAAGAACAACAAAAUGGGAGGAUAACUUUGAGUUUUUGCUUUACUAAUACGAAUCUCGAGGAGAUGUGAGAGGAAAGAAAGAGGAGGAGGAAAACAAAUUCCAUUACGGCCAAACCGUUACGAAUCACACCAUAUGCAUCACCUCAUCGGUUGCGCCACCAUUAAUGCUUUAGAGGACAUGGUGGUUGCUUGUUUUUUACUAUUGGAAAACACCACACACUGCCUAAAUGGUGCGAGUGGUGUCCACUUGAUAGCGCAUUUAUUGUGUGUGUUAGCCAACUUUUUUAUUAAUAUUUUAUAUUUAUUAAGGGAUUAAUUUGUUCCUCUUUCAAAUUGAUUAUUAAAAAAAAUGAUAAAAUAUAUUAAAAACCUUUGACGACAGUUUUUAUUUUUUUUUAUUUUUUAAAGCAAUGCUGUCAUUUUACUAUGGUAGAGAAGGGUAUGAAAAUUGAAAAGCCCCUGAACCUCGAUUUUUUUUUAAAAUAUCUUUAAGUGUAAUUAAGUUAUUUCAAUAAACAUUAAAAAUGUUCUAAGACCUAUAUUUGCUCUCGAUUAAUGUGAUAAUAACAAACGUGUUCCAUAAAAAAACUAUCUUAUCCCUAAUAUAUAAUCACACUGUAGCAAAUAAUGGAAUCCAUAGGAAAAAGGCUAUUUUAUUCCAAUGCAUGCUUUUAUAUUUGUAGUUUAAUUUUAAAUUUGUUUAAUUAAAAAUAUCUGACUAAUUAAACUUAAAAUAUCUAUUUUAAAAGUACUUUUUAACCAACUCUCAAAUCGCAAUUUCAUGAUUCAUUUGUGCUCUUAAUCUUGAAGUUACCUUUCUUAAUUUUGGAAAAAAGAAUUUUCAAAACAGAAGUUUAGAAAUAAGCCUGCAGUAUACGUAAGUACACAGGCAAAUACGUAAGCAUAAAGUGUGGCAACCAAAAUGGUGAACAUAUUUAUUGGACAUCCUGGGUACAUAGUCUAAUGUUUAAAAUGUGAAGCUAAUUAAUUUAAUAAAAUCAAUAUUCUCAAGGUCAAGUGAGGCAGUGCUUUUGUAACGGUUUGUCAAAGACGAAGUACUUGCUUGAGAACAUGGAACGAUGAAACUUGUGCCAAACACGUUAAUUAGAUGAAUGAAAAAGAGUUGAAUUUGUAAGAAUAUGUUUAUUUUAAUUUAUAUUUUAAAAAUAUUUUAAAUAAUAAUUAUUUUAUUUUAAACUAAUAUUUUAGUUUUUAAAUUGUUUCGAGAUGUAUAAAAUAAAUUUUAAAAUUAAAAAUAAUAUUAUUUUAAUAUAUUUUUAAAUAAAAAACUUAUUUUACUAUCUCCGACUAUAAUACUAAAUAAGCUAUAAAUUAUAAAUUUAAGAGGUAGAGAGAGAGAGACUAAGUAGUAACCCUUAGUAUGAAUUGUAGGAAUGAUAUAGUUUACUAGGAAAAAGGAAAUUGCUGGUAUGCUGAAGGGGAGAUUCACCUACACGUUAGUUGUCUAUUUUUGUGUUUUUUCUUCCAAACUUUACCUAAUUAACUAUUUGUAAUUUUUUCAAAGCCUAACAUGGUUUAAUUGAUUUGGAUUAUAAGGCCGUAUAUACUGAAUUGGACCGCUCCACUAAUAUCUAGUAGCUGUACACAGAUUAUAAUAUGAAACCAUGCAAUUCCCUCCAAGUUCAACUUGUUGAUUGCCCAUAAUCUUGCAUCCUUCGUCUCUAUAAAUACCUCUUUGAGCCCUCUUUUCUUCUCCACCCUAAGCGUUCAUAUUAUCACUAGUUGAGUCUCCUCAAUCUCGCAACUCUUUUACUUUUCUUUCUUACUAAUUUACGCAAACAACAUGAAGUCUCUUAAGAUAUUCUUGUUGCUAGCAAUGCUCAUGGCCUUAGCUUAUACUCUAUCUGCUACAACUGAAGAAGACUCGUUCGUGGCCAUCGAAAGUGAUGAUGAUUCUGUAAAUCGAAUAAGAAGAGAUUGAAUCUGCAAAGUUAUAUUUUAUUGAACCUUUGGAGAGAAAUAUAUACAGAUGAUUACAUGCUUAUCUCUUCCUAUAAUAAAGCUAUUCAAUGCUACAAUAAUGCAGAAUUCUAAGGGAUUUGAUUUACAUUCAAUGAAUCAUAAAAGGAAACAAAUACAUGAACAAUAACUGUUAAACAUAUUGCAGCAGAUUAACCUUCCAACACUCCCCCUCAAGUUGGAGAGUGGAUGUCUUGCAAUCCCAACUUGCGGACCAUAGGAAUGAAGAAUUCCUUUCCCAAUGGCUUAGUCAAAAUGUCGGCUAGCUAAUUUUCAGAACUCACAAAUCUUGUUUCUACAGAACCAUCUUGAAUCUUAUCCCUUAUAAAAUGACAGUCCAUUUCUAUAUGUCUCGUCCGUUCAUGAAAAAUAGGAUUCGCUGCAAUGUGUAUCGCGGCCUUAUUAUCACAAUACAAUAAUGCUGAUUGUUGAUGCAACACACCCAAAUCUUUAAGUAAGCAACGAAGCCACGUUAAUUCGCAACAAGCUCCUGUCAUAGCACGAUAUUCUGCUUCAGCCGAAGAUAGAGACACUGUCUUUUGUCGUUUUGAUCGCCAUGAAAUCAAUGAGGGACCUAGGAAUGCGCAGUAUCCUGUGGUCGAUCUUCUCGUAAGUAGGCAUCCUGCCCAAUCAGAAUCAGAGUAAGCUCGCAGUCUGAGAUCACUGGUUGCGGAGAAGAAGAGGCCUUGACCAGGCGCAGAUUUCAGAUAUCUCACCACCCGUAAAGCUGCUUCCCAAUGAUCCUUUCGGGGUUGGUGCAUAAACCUGCUUAAUAUGUGAACAGAAUAUGUAAUAUCUGGCCUUGAAAUCGUGAGGUAUAUCAACCUCCCAACCAAUCGCCUAUAUCGCUCUGGAUUUUUGAGUAACUCACUUUUGUCAGACAAUUUUAGGCUGCGUUCCAUAGGAGUAUUGAUGGGAGCUGCUCCCAGCAAACCUGCAUCCUUAAUAAUUUCCAAUGCGUAUUUUCGUUGAGAGAUAAAAGUAACAGCUUUGGAUGUGGAAAUCUUAAUACCAAGGAAAUAUCUCAGUUUACCAAGAUCUUUAAGAUGAAAUUUUCUAUGCAGGAAUUUCUUGAUAUCAGCUAUGCUCACAGGAUCAUUACCAGUAAUUAAGAUAUCGUCUACAUAUAUCAAAAGAACAGUAAAUGACUUGCCUUGCUUUCUGAUGAAGAGAGAAUAAUCGGCUUUUGACUGUUCAUAACCAGCUGAUUGUAUGGCCUCAGAGAAUUUGGCAAACCAUUGUCGUGAUGCCUGCUUCAACCCAUACAAUAAUUUGUGUAGACGGCAGAAUAAGUGUUCCUCCCCCUGUCUCCGAAGCCCAGGCGGUGGAGACAUGUAAAUUUCUUCGUGAAGAUCACCGUGGAGGAAUGCAUUAUUGACGUCAAGUUGAUGAAGAUUCCAUCCACGGGCAGCAGCCAGAGCUAAUAGACACCGAACUGAGAUGAUCUUGGCUGUUGGGGAGAAAGUAUCCUGAUAAUCAAUGCCAGCCAAUUGUGUGAAACCCUUCGCCACAAGCCGUGCCUUGAACCGUUCAAUUGACCCGUCUGAGUUAUGCUUGACCUUGAAAACCCAACAGCAACCAAUCGGGGUCUUACCAACUGGGAGAGGGGUGAGUGACCAAGUGCCAUUGGCUUGAAGGGCUUGUAGUUCGGUCUGCAUGGCUUGUUGCCAUUCGGGAUGAACAGCGGCCUCAGAGUAUGAUUUUGGUUCCGUGACAGUUUCAAUUUUAGCCACAAAAGAGUGAUAAGCAGGGUUAUAUCUGUGGUAUGAAACGAAAUUGGACAGUGGGUAUCGUGUACCUUUGAUCGGAGCUGGAACGAGGGAGGUCGAUUGAUCGGAGUAAGCAGCGGAGUAGAAGUAAUCGGCGAGUUUAAUUGGAGGAACAAUUUGGCGGCUGGAGCGACGUGGGGCUGCUAGAGGUGAAGUUGUAGGUACUAGAGAGGUGUGGGUUGGGUCAGGUUCAGGCGAGAUGAGGGAUCGGAGGGUUAUUGGUUCAAGCGGUGGAGACGAAGAUUGUGGAAUUGGAUUUGGGGAAGUUUGUGUGGAUGACAGGUCGUUGGCUGGAGAGGGCGUGGACUCGGUUUGGAUAAGUGGAGAGGGGCUGGGCUGAAGGUGAUGAUGUAAUGGAUCGGGAGGUGAGGCUGAGUUGAGGGGAACUGGGCUGGGCCGAAGGUGAUUUUGUAAGGGAUCGGGAGUUUGAGCUGAGGUGAGGGUUUCUGGGCUGGGCCGAAAUUGAGGCUCAAAGGGAUCAUGGAGCGGGGCUGGAAGCGGGAGGGGUCCAGAUUUGUGGGUUGAUGAGUUUUGGGCAGAAUAAUGGGUCACAUGGGAAGGGUUGACCGUGGCAUAUGGAAAAAUAUUUUCAUGAAAUUUUACAUCCCGGCUAGUAAAGACCUUUUUUGUUGAUAAAUCAAAUAACUUGUAUGCCUUUUGACCGAUUGGAUAUCCAAUGAAAAUAGAAGGAAUUGCACGUCGGUCAAAUUUAUGAGAAGUGUGAACAUUAGUGGCAUAAGUGAGACAACCAAAAACGCGAAGAUGAGAGUAUAAGGGUGGUUUGGAAUAGAGAAGUUCAAAAGGUGUUUUGAAAGAGAUAACCGGUGAAGGUAGCCGAUUAAUUAUAUGGACAGCCGUGAGGGCACAUUCUCCCCAAAAUUGUGAAGGGAGUUGAGCAUGGAAUUUUAAAGCACGGGCAACUUGUAAGAUGUGUCGGUGUUUGCGUUCCACUACCCCAUUUUUUUGAGGAGUGUAAACACAAGAAGUUUGAAAAAUGACACCUUUAUCUUGAAAAAAAGAUCGAAGUGAGAUAAAUUCUCCACCAUUGUCACUUCGAAAAAUUUUAAUGCGAGAUUCAAAUUGAGUGAAAAUAUAACUGAAGAAAUGUUGUAAAAUUGAUUGUGCUUCAGUUUUGUGACGCAUUAAAAAUAUCCACGUAAAACGUGUAUAAUCAUCAACAAUGGUGAGAAAAUAAUUAGCGCCAGAAAUAGAUGAAUGUCGAUAACGUCCCCAAAUGUCACAGUGUAUAAUAUCAAAAGGCUUGGUAGAUGAAAUAGUACUAGUACCAAAAGAUAGACGACUUUGCUUAGCCAAAGGACAUAUGUGGCAAGCAUUUUUUGACUCAACGGAAAAAUUCAAAAAAAAAUUAGCGAGAAAACUUAAACGGGAAGGUGAGACAUGUCCUAGACGAUUAUGCCACAGGUCGGUAGAGGAAAGGGUAAGGUAGCAUGCAUGAUGAUUUGUGGUUGAGGAAGGUUUGGUGAGGUUUUUUUUUGUCGCUAGUGCCACCAAAUAGUAUAGCCCGUUUCGCUGUUUACCCAAACCAAUCGUCCUCCUCGUAGCCAGAUCCUGCAAAAUACACCAAUAAGGGAAAAAAGUCACUGAACAGUUCAAACUCCUUGUCAAACGACUGACUGACAUCAAGUCGACUUUGAAUGUAGGCACAGAUAAAACAUCAUGCAGAUAAUAGACUGAAUUUAAGGGUAAAGACCCUUUCGCAAUAAUAUCUGCCUUGUCUCCACUAGGUAACAGUACAGGUGGUAGUGAGUAGUCCUUAUUUUCAUUCAACAAUUCAGAUGAAGAUGUGAUAUGGUCAGUAGCCCCACUAUCAAUAAUCCAGUUAUGGUUAUCAAGUUCAGACAAACCUGGCUUUGUUACUGCAUUGGCUUUUGAGCUAGAACUGUCCUCAUGAUUAUUUAGGAGUGACAAAAGUUGCUUGAGUUGAAUUUCUGACAACGAAACCGUGGGCCUUACCUCAUCUUUAUGGGACAUUUCAGAUACCUGGUUAGCUAAGGGAAAACCAUUGUGCUGAUUUCCAAUUGAGUGCUGAUUUCCAAUCGGGCUUUGAUUUCCAAUCGGGUACCCAUUCAUCCUUGCUUUAGGGUGUCUCGGUGGAGACCCAUUUAACUGGAAACACUUUUGCACCCAAUGCCCCAUUUCUCCACAAUGGGUGCACUGGGAUGGUGGAUACCCAUUUAACUGGAAACACUUUUGCACCCAAUGCCCCAUUUCUCCACAAUGGGUGCACUGGGGUCAUCCCCUUCCUGACCCAAAACGGCGCCGAUCCUGGUCAAAACGGUGUUCUCCUUGCGGUCGAGUAUCACGAGGCUGAGAGAGGCGAUUCACGGAGUGUUGUGGGCGAUCUGUCUCUGAGACAAAAUUUCUUUUUCCUUGAUUAUUAUAACGUACUGCCAUGGCAGCACUCCUACCCAUCUCUGUUUGUGCAACGCUGAGAAAUCGUUUCUUUUCUUCUUGACAUACCGAAGAAUAAGCUUGGCGAAUGGAUGGCAGAGGAUUCAUCAACAAAAUUUGGCCUCGAAUUGCAGAGUAAGUGUCAUUUAAACCCAUUAAGAACUGCAUUAAUCUUUGUUGGUCUGCCUGCGUUCCAUGUGUUGUGUCUGUGUAUGAAGCCAAUUCAUCCCACAAACCUUUCAAUUUCGUGUAAUAUGAGGAGAUGGAGAGCUGCUCCUGUCGAAGAUAUGCAAUGUCCCUCUGAAUUUCAAAUAUGCGAGGCGCAUUGCUCUGUGAAAAACAUUCCUGUAAAUCUUCCCAGACUUCAUGUGCGGUGGGAUAAUAGAUUACACUAUCUGCAAUUUUCGGGUUCAAUGUAUUGAUGAUCCAGGAAUGGACCAUAUCAUUACAUCGUGACCAGGUAGCAUAGCCUUCAGAAUCAGUCUGUUCUGAAGGAAUUUCAAUUGAGCGAUUGAUAAAACCGAGUUUGUUCUUGGAGUUUAGGGCGAGAGUCAUAGCCCUUUUCCACCCAGAAUAAUUAUCUCCAUUCAGUGAUUUGGAGACAAGGAUGAGGCCUGGAUGAUCCGAGUGAUGGGUGAAAUAUGGGUUUGAGAUGUCAGAUUUGCAGAAGUUUGAUGCAAGGUCUGAUUUGGACGAAUCAGAUGGAGCAGCGAUGGUGCUGGGACUUGAUAGAUUGAUUUCUUCAUUGGCCAUGACAGUGAAGGCAAAAUUUCGUGAGAAUGUUUAUGAAGGAUUUUGAAUGCAGAAUUUUGAUUUUAGAAUUUCAAUUUACGUGUGCUAUGAUACCAUGUAAAUCGAAUAAGAAGAGAUUGAAUCUGCAAAGUUAUAUUUUAUUGAACCUUUGGAGAGAAAUAUAUACAGAUGAUUACAUGCUUAUCUCUUCCUAUAAUAAAGCUAUUCAAUGCUACAAUAAUGCAAAAUUCUAAGGGAUUUGAUUUACAUUCAAUGAAUCAUAAAAGGAAACAAAUACAUGAACAAUAACUGUUAAACAUAUUGCAGCAGAUUAACCUUCCAACAGAUUCCACAAACGAGGAUGAAAAUACUGAUCUUCCCUGGCUUGGUACCCAAGAAACAACAUCUUCUUUGCGAGGGCCAAACCGGUUUCUAGCUCAGAAAACUCGGGCUGCCAUGGCAUGCAAUAAGUACCCUAGGGUUUGUCGUGCCAAGGGCAGCCCCGGGUCGGAUUGCUGCAAGAAGAAGUGUGUGAAUGUGCUGACAGACAGGCUUAACUGUGGAAUGUGUGGUAAGAAGUGCAAGUACACUGUGAUAUGCUGCAAAGGUGAUUGUGUGAAGCCCAUGUCUAACAAGAAGCAUUGUGGGGGUUGCAACAACAAGUGCAAGAAAGGGAAUGCAUGUGUGUAUGGAAUGUGUAGUUAUGCGUAGAAAUAUAGAGCCAAUACUGGAUCGAAUGAGCAGAAGGUAGAGAGUUAUCAGUUAAUUGCUGGAAAUGAUCAUAAGGAUUUCGAUAGGGAUUAUUUAUUGUUUUUAUAUGAUAUUAUAAUGUAUGUAAAUCCCAUAUAUAUCCAUCAUUCUUGAUUUAUUUAAAGUUUAUAUUGUGCUUGUUAGGUAUUGUGGGGGUUGCAACAACAAGUGCAAGAAAGGGAAAGGAUUCUGUGAGCCGAGCCAAGCCGAGUUGAGCCGAGCCGAGCCGCGAGCCGAGGGAAAGGAUUCUGUGCAGCAGAGUCUACGUGCAACCGGAUCUGAGAUUAAAUCUGAGCCGUUGAUCAGGCCAGAAUUGUUUUGAUCAAAACUUAGCCGUCUGAAGUGCGAUUUGGACAAUUCAAGACAUGUUUUCAGCUAAUUUGAUCAUUCCGGAUGCAAUGGUACGGUCCGAUCGUUGAGAUUCGAGACCAAAAAUGGCGGUGGUGAAUUAUUAAAGAGAGAUUGCCCGAUCAGGAGGCAUCUGAAGGUCAUCAUGGUGGUCGAUGGAGAUGAAGAAGAGAAAGGUGCACAUGUUUACCCAAUUACAUGUGCUGAACUAUUUAAUGGGGAAAUAUAAUGCCUUGAUGGAAGGAAAAAUUGGGACACUUUGGACACCCGGUCAUGUGGACGAUUUGAGGUGGAGAGUGGAAAUUGACGAAGACCAAUCUUGACGAAUCUAAGCACUGGUAGUCUCGCUAGAUGUUGAGAAAUCAUGUAUUAAACCUGUAUAUUCCAGAUCACUUGUAAAGCAAAGCCGCAACAAAGCUAGCAAAUGGUUGUAUAUACGGAGAGACAGUACGAUGGAUAGAUAUGGCCUAAGAAGUUCUGUCUAGGAGAUUGGGUUUUAAGCGGGACCGUUGUGACCCCUCCAAUCUUUCCUGGGAACUUGCUUAGUGGAAGGAUUAUCCAUACGGUAUUAUUUUCGUAUAUAUAGCAGUUUGUAAUGAAACAGUUGAAGACUAGCAGGAUGACGGCACAAGGGGAACAGUUGGGUUCCGCAUGAUCAAGGAUCUGAUGGAGUGGUGAUUUCUCCAAAGAAGGCAGAUUCGGUGACUGUGUUUUCUCGAAGGAAGAAUUGAUGAAGACCCUGAUAAUGGAAGAGAAAUACAGCAAGGGGAUAAAUAUUGGCACCCUAUUUUGACUUGGACAGGUGUUGUGACAGGAUGAGCUGCUGUCAAACAUAAGCAAGGAAUAGGGAGAAAUCUGGAGAACAGUAAUUGCACGAGGGCACACGAAGAUUGUGCAAGAGUACCCAAGGGAUCCAACGAGGUACUGUAAUGAGACAACAGGUGCAAGGAGAAGAAGUGUUCCCAGAUGAAGCUCAGAGCAGAGACUGUUAAAGUUUGUACAACAGGAAGUCUCUUAUGCUCUUGAUGAAGACAACAUGCGAGGACCUUUCAAUGCAUGCAAGGAUGGAAAGAUGAGCUGUUGCAGAGGCACCUAAUUAAGGGGGUGCAAACGCAUGUGAUAAAAGGCAACCGCCUAUGAUGAAAGGCGAAGCCACCAAAGAGAGUUGGUGUAGGUGGAGCUGUCAAGCAGAAAGGCAUAGAAGCUCCAAACAUAGAAAUCAAGGUGGAGGAUUGCGAGGAGUAUACCGCAAUUUUCUCUUUCUAUGUAGUCAGUGGCAGUAAUCUCUCCCAAGUUCACAUGGUGGUAGAGAAUCUUGAAGUCACUUAAGUCAUCCCGAUGAAGGAGGAUGAGACCGCUUCACGACGAGCGGAGACACCUCGGACGGAAGGUGUGAGGGCCAUGAUAUAAGCCCAGAUUUCAGACCGCCGCAUGAAGACGAGCGGAGACACCUAAGGAGAAGGUGUGUGGGCCACGAUAUGAGCCCAAUUCAGAACGCCCCAGAGCCAAUGUGAUGGCUAGAUAUGAGUGGACAGGUGGAUAGCCAAUGAAGUGGCUAUGAUGAGUAUGAAGACAAAUGCAGGAUUGACUUUCAUGGAUAUUGCCCCCAUGCUAAAGAUCAAUGAGCUAGAAGACAUUUGCCUUGGACAAUAAGUGGAUAACUUAUGGAGCAUUAAGACGCGGCUGCUAUGAAGGAGCAGAGGGCAUGCGCAGGUUCUGGAAACGAGUUGACUCUUGUCAAGGUGGUGAGCUCGGUGAUGGCAUUGUAAUACUCAGAGUAUGAAGACAUACAUGGAUCAACCUUUAAUGGGCUGCCCCCAUGGUUAAAGGUGGAGAGCUACCUGGACUCUUACGACUAAGAGCGAGAGACUCAUGGAGAAGUAAGGCGUGGUUCCUACGGUGGAACAGAGGGUAGGCGCAACUCCUGGAUGAGUAGACUCUUGGAAGAGUGGUGGGCUUGUGAUCAUAUUGAGAUACUCAGAUAAUGACUGUCGCACUUGGAAUAUCCGUUUGAGGGGGUGUUGUAAGCCUUGGUGUGAGGCUUGAUGAAUCAUUCCGGACCGAGCAUGGUUGAUACGCUCGAAGGGGAAUGUUCCCAGAGACAAGCGUUAACACUCUUUAGAUGUGAUGUGUGAGACCAUCUGGUUGAAGUGAUCCUUUGGUGUAAGCAAGGGUGUGCUUUGGUGACUCUGGUGAUUGAAAGGUUUGGCGAGUACCUGUAAACUUGGCCGGAGAUGCUCUCGGAAUGGUAAGCUUGGAAGAGCUGCAGGAUGCAAGAUUGUGCUGAAGAAGCAAGAGGACAAUUGCCCACAUAAAUGGCAAAGGAGGUGAUUGUUAGGUAUUGCCAUUGAUUCUACAUUACCACCAACCCCCACCAAACAUUGACCAGCAGCCUUUGUUGAAGAAGAUGGCAGCCACCAUUGACUGCAGCUGCAGCUGCUGGAAAGAAUAAGAGAAGCCACCAUCAUGCCUAUAAAUAGGCACCAUACAAAGAGAGCUUUGAGAGAGUUGUGAAUAACGUGAGUGUGAAGAGAAAAAGAAGAGAAAGGGCUGCUGCCCAUGGCAGCAGCCCUGCAGCUGAAGGCAGCGAGAGUGAGAUGGGAGUUGAGUGAUUAUAUCCUCCUCCAUGUAUUUAUUGUAUUCUUUCUCUACCUCAAAUAAUAUUGUCUCUCCCGUGGAUGUAGGCGGUUUUGCCGAACCACGUAAAAUAUUGUGUCUCAGUGUGCUUCCCCUCCGUUGAGCAAUUAUCAGUACAUCACCGGUCGCCGGAUUCCGGCCCAACAGUGCUUACAUUGCUUUGCGAGGUGUAUAUCGUUUAGUACGUUUAUGUACUAGCAUAUAAAAUUUCAAGUCAAAGCUGCCCUUUUUAGAGUACUUAUUUCAUGAUUCUUAGUAUAUUACUAGUGAAUUAAUAAGUGACUUGUUUUUAUAUAGAAUUAUAAAAAUUUAAUCGUUUUUUUUUAAAUGAGAUUUUUUAUAUAUAAUGCAAGUUAAAUUCCAUAGCUUUAAUGGUAAAUUGAUUCCAUCAAUAAUAUCUUGAUUAUUAUAAAGAAAUUACAAAUGAAAUUUAAAACUAUAUACAUUAAGAAUCAAGUAGUCCCUAUUAUUCUUGAGCAAAUAUUCCAUAAUUAGUUGUAGUUAUCUACUUCCAUGUGAUGUCAGUAUCAAAUUUACUACUUAAUUUUUUAUCUUGAUUUUGUUAUGGGGAAGAAAUACGAGAUAGAAGCUUGAAGUUUAAUUUAGACGAUUUGUAUGAGAAAAAUGGAACAGGAAAUUAAACAAGGGCUAAAGAUGGUCUCCAUCGGGAAAGUAAUGCAAUUCUGGAAGUCACAUGAUCCCAAAAGAUAUUUUGAACAAAUUCUGAAAGAUCUGUUUGGGGGGGUUUUAUGUUUAAUAUUGUCUGGACUAUAUGGAAUGCUAGGAACAACUUGAUAUUUGAGGAUCAAAAGCCAAUAUGGGAAGAUAUCCUAUGGCUUUUGUUUUACUUUGCUGCAGGAUGGAUUAGGAAUCUCAACUCUUCCUUUUGGUAUACUGGUGCCGAUCUAUACAGGAAUCAUGAAUGCAUUUCGGCAUGGUCUGCUUAAUUUCUGAUUUAGUGUGGGUUUGUUUUUUGCUUGGACUGAUAGUAGGGUUAUAGGUUUUCUUGUAUUCAUUUAUUGUAUGUAGGUUGAUGCCUAGGCUACAAUCUAUGUAGCUAAAGCUAAAGCCCUGCUCGCACUGUUUAUUCUUUCUUUUUUAUAUUAUAUCUAUUCUCGAUUUCAACAAAAAAAAACAUAAUUUGCCAACGAAGCAAGGUUAUAAUAGUCAUUUUAAAUUUGCACAAUAAAAUGACUGCUACGUCUCUAGAGACAAAACUUUCAACACUGGUGGCAAAAGGUAUUUUUCACCUUUUCAUUUCAGUUGUACAGUAAAAUAACUCGGAUGCAUAUAAAUCAGAAUUGCUUUUUCCCUGGGUUAAGAAGUGUUUUAUUUAUUUAUUUAUUUUUUUGUAACCAUGGAGCUUCAUCCAAGGCAAUUUAAUAUUUUUGCAUAAAUAAAAUAAUAAUUAAUCUCAAAAAGUUGGUUGCGCAUGUACUUGACAGUGACACAAACGCGCCCUAGGUUUUUCCACACUCUUAAGAUGAUGUGGAUGACGCUGUCUGGCAGUAAAACUCUGGCUUUCCCAAUAACAUUUUAAUCUUUGCAGCUUUACCUUCAUUUUUUAUCGAUACGUAAAAUAUACUGAGUUUUGCAUGGGUGAUCAUUUUUUUUCCUUCUUUCUUGAUUUUAGAGCUUAUCCUUGCAUAUUUUCAAAGUAACUUUUCAAUUUAUUUAUUUUUUCAAAUUUUUUCCUUAUUUUUUUGUUGUUAUUUGUUUUAUUUUAAAUUAUCCAUAAAAUUUGAAUUUUCUUUUAAUUUGAUUCACCUUCUGUGUUUUCACUUUUCAGAUUUGAUCAUCAUUCUUUUAAUUAUUAUUUUUAUUUUUUAUUAUUUAUUUAAUUAAAUUAUCCUUUUAAUUGUCCCUCAAUAUUUUAUAUCAUCUUUAAUUAGUUUUUUUUUUAAAUUUGGUCUUUAUUCUUUUGAUUUCUAUUUAUUUAUUUUUUAAUCUUUUUUUUAUUGGAACUUUCUUUUUUGAUAACAUCCCUUAAUAUUAUAUUGAUCAGAACUUUACGAAUCUUUUGGGUCAUGGAUUUAAAAGAUUAGACUAGGUUGACUUAGAUUUUAUUUUUUCAUGCCCUUUUUAGUAAAAUUUAUCGCAGUUACUUUUUUAUUGGUACAAGUAACUGUUUGUUUUUAUGUUGCAAAAGCGUUUUUUUAAAAACAAUAUAUUUUUUUUUUUACUUGAAAUUAUUAAUUUUUAGUGUUUUCAAAUCAUUUUGAUGUGUUGAUAUCAAAAAAUAUAUAAAAAAUUAAAAAAAAAACCGUAUUUUAAUGCUUUUCCGAAUAAAAAAAAACUUAAAAAAAAACCGUAUUUCCAAACACUCCUAUAAACAAUUUUCAAAGAACCCAAAAUAAGAAGAUUUUUGAGCGGGAUCAACAAAAGGGUGUAUUGAUCUCCACAAGGAACGGAGACCAUCGCCUGCACUCUCGUGUUGCUAUUUGGGUUUGAUGAUCCUGCCAGUUCCAUCUCUUUCUUUCUUCCAUUUAUUGUGUAUGGGACUUUGCUUGCUAAAUUAUUAUGCCAAAACAAGAAGACAUCAUCUUCCACGUCCAUACCCACAUACUCGCAUCUAGCAAAAAGAUUCCAAAACACAUCACCACACCCACCAGACCACCUUGCAAUGCAUGAGAAUAUGACUCAGAUUCGGCAGCUUCACUUCACUGCACCUGGAUAAACAAUUCAUGUUAUAGCAUACUUGGCGACCAAUUAUGCGGCGAGUACCAAGUUAUCUGGCUACAAUAGGCCUAAGCUCUCCCCAAUCGAGAAGGAUUUUGCUGGAAACAAAACCAUAACCCCUAGGUGGUCUAAAUGUAGACAAAAGUUAGUCAGGCUGAAUAAUCUCAACAGCUGUAUUUCUCAUUAUCAUCCCUCCUCAAACGCAUCCCCAUCGUGACCCUGCUUUAUCAGAAUCAUCGCGGAGAACUUUUCAGUGAUAGGAAAUUGAAUAUGCAAUCCAUCCUCCCCAGUAUUAAACCUUCCUUCCGAGAUCUAACCAUCCAAAAUUCUUCUGUAUGUCUUUCCCGAAUUUUUGCAUGCUUCUUUUUGUAGUUGUAGUACCAGUUUGAGGAAACCUACUUAUGUUUCUCAGCCUUAGAGUUCAAGACAGGACUCUGAGUUAAACACUCUGCAUUUCCAACAUGAGAAACUCUCUCUCUCUCUUGGCAUAAGUUUAUCUUCUAAAGACACCAGCGGAAAGCAAGUUGACUUUUGAUGGCUCGCUGAACUCCUCCACCAAUGAUAACAUGAUCAUCGCCAGCAUUAGCUAUACGGAGUGCCCACUAGCAACUCUUUGCCAAUAUAAUCAAGUCUGACAUGUAAAAAAAUUGUGGCACAAAUAUGAUGGCCGUGUGGCUCAGUCGUCUAUUAAAAAAUAUCUACCAGCACAGAGAAAAUCAAAAUUGAGUCUAUAUUUUUAUGGGUCGCACAAACCAUCUAAAAUCUGCUAUUUCAUUCCGAAAACAAUUUUUACUCGAGUGCUUUAUUUUUUUGCUGGUUAUUUUUAGUGUAUGUUUGAUAAUGAAAUGCAUAGUGUUUUUAUAAGAGUAUAAUUUCAAUUUAAAAUGCUUUCAUAAGAGUAUAUUUUAAAUUUAAAAUGCAUAAAAAUGAUGUUUUCUAGACAUCAAUGUAUUAAAAUUAUAUUAAAAAAUAAUCCAAAAGUUGCAUUAGUCCUAAAUGUUAGGAGUAAAUUGAAAGCAAUCCCGAUUUGUUUUUAGUAUGAUCAGUUUUCUUUGCUCAACUACUUGAAAGACAUUUGAUACAAUACGUUUUGGUCUAAACCCAAGACAAUAAUUGUUUUUUAAUUAAUUUACCUGUUGCUGUUUGGUCUACUAACGAUGUUUUAUGAAAAAAAAAACAUUUAUAAAAGCAUGUGAGGUCAGUGAAACUGAUUGGAAUAUACAGGAGAUAUUUUAGACAAAGGAAAUUAGACGAAAUGGAAAACUAGAAGAAAUUAAUGGCAAAAAGAUAUAAAAUUUAGGUAUUUAAUAUUAUGUUAUUAAAAUAAAGGGAUUAACUAAAUAAUAAUUUACUUCACAAAACAAUUGUUAAAGGAAUACAGUAAUACCAACCACGAAGCAAAAGAUUUGAGAAAAGAGAGAGAAACAGAAAUGAUGUUAAUAGCCAUCAACUUCUCCUCUUAAUUAGAUUUUUCUAACUUGAUUCUUACUUCACCAUGUCAAUAGCCGUCAACUUAAUUGUCGAGUUUAUUUUCUAACUUUUUUCUUACUUCACGAUGUCAAUAGCCGUCAACUCCCGGCACCAAAAUUAGUGAUUGUAUUCAACAUCCAAGUCUUGAUCAAAAUAAAACCAAAAAAGUCCUCACGCGGAAACAUUCCAUACCAUAGAGAGAGUGGACUUGUGGGGAUGACUUGUCUUAAAUUUACAAUCCACCCUUUCUCUCUCAAUUUUGAGCAAAUUAAAAAAAAAAAAAAGGUCCUAACGCGGAAAUGGCCCCUACCACAGAGACUUUUAAGGUUGAUUUAAAAGCAGAAAAUUGAUGAACUGAUAAGAGAACAUCAGCGAAGGGAAAGUGAAGAUUGCAGGUAACUCUGCUUAUCUCUUUUAGUAUUAUGCUAUAUUGUGGAAUGUAACUCAUCAACCCAUUUUGUUGGUUCAGCAUAGAUAUUUAAUUUAUCAUAUGUACAAAUGUUUUUCUGAAAGGGCAUGGAGGAGUUGAUUGCUGGGAAAUAACUUGAAAAUUGUUUUAAAGAUAAAGUAAGAUAAUAAUAUAUGAAUACUUCAGCUUAUUGGUGUGCUGUCGAUCUUGAACUAACGACAUUAAUCCUGCAACUCCUACUUUUUUUGUUCAGAUCUUUGAAAGGUCUUAUCUUUGCUAGAAUCGGAAUGGCUGCUGGGAAAUUUCAAGAAUCCUACUCUUCUCGGUUUUCUAAUUGUAAAUAUCAAGUGUUCUUGAGUCUUAGAGGUGCAGAUACCCGCAAGAACUUUACCGAUCACCUCUACAAGGCCCUAAUUCAAGCAGGGAUUCACACAUUUAGAGAUGAUGAUGAAAUUCGGAGAGGAGAGAAUAUAGAUUUCAAGCUCCAGAUGGCAAUACAACAAUCAAAAAUAUCGAUAAUUGUGUUCUCCAAAGACUAUGCUUCUUCGAGAUGGUGCCUUGAUGAACUUGUAAUGAUCAUGGAACGUAAGAGGAAUGAUGACUGCAUAGUUUUGCCAAUAUUCUAUGAUGUGGAUCCAUCCCAAGUCGGACGUCAAACAGGGAGCUUCGCUGCAGCAUUUGUGGAACAUGAAAAGAGCUUCAACGAGGAGAAGGAGCGGGUGAGUGGGUGGAGGAUUGCUUUGAAAGAAGUUGCAGAUUUAGCUGGAAUGGUUUUAGG
rnacentral:lncRNA from 1 species